UAUAACAAGAAUACAAAGCUCGCUGCCAUCGGUAAAAGAGUGUUGGAAUUUGUGAUCCAAUUCUAGAAACUUCAAGAUAGAUUUGAGCUAGAAAAUUCAAGAAAAAUUCUAGAAGAGUCUACAAGCUAUUGUGUGUUCUAGAAUACUCCAUCUUAUGUUACUAAUAAUAGUAGCUAUUUGUAGAGAAGUCUAGAGACUUCCUCCACCGACUUUGGCAGCUUAUAUAAAGGAGCAAGUGCUCCAUGUUUUGGGUGGGAGCUAAGCAUAAAAACCACAUCAUGCUCCCUCACCAACACCUCCUUCAACUAUUGUAAAAUUAUUUUAUCCAACUAAUGAAACUAUUUCCCAUAUCCUAUGUUCUUUGUCCUUCAAUUAUCAUAUAUUGUCCCUUGUUGAUCCUCUACAAACUAUAUCAUACACUUGCACACGUCACUAACCAAAAACUAUAACUAAUACCAAAACCAUGCUUCCGCACGCAGCGCACACAUCCAAAAUUUUUAAACAAAGAGAAAGGGAGAUGUAAUUGAUACACUGAAUGUAGAGAAUUCUUAGCCUCAUCAAAUGUGAGCCCCUUAAUCACUCCAAGCAAGAUUUAUCAAAACCAUCAACCGAUUAACAAAGAGAAUGGAAAGAAUAAUAGAGAUAGAGAGCAGCAGAAGCCUGCUUUCUAAAGGCCAGCUGCCAUUCACCACAUUAUAUUUUACAAGGCCAGUCCAACAAGGUGUAUGAUCCAAUUACAAAUAAAAAUUCAGCAAAACAAACAUAUUCCUCACAAUGUACAUAAUAUAAACCAAGAAACAGAAAACAAAGAGACAAGUUCCUUAUAAAUUCACCAUAUAUUCGAUGCAACAAAUCCAAUAAGCAAGGAAAGUCAACAACUUUGCUCGACCAAUCAAUUAGUACACCUAUGCGCUGCCGGGAACAGGCGACCAAGUCAAAAUUAAGCAAAAAGAUAGACGAUCGCACCCUCGCACACACACCGGAACGAGUACCCAAAAAUACAGGCACAAACAAAAGCACUCACUUGACCCGAGCGAGCCUGCGGGACUGCUCGUCCUCGGCCAUGGCCUCUUCCUUGAGCGACUUGCCCUGGUCAACGCAGAUGCGGGUCGAGAGUAUCUUGGCGUUGCCCCUGACGCUGAGCUCGCUCAGCUUCGCUGCCCCGUCACCAUCCAGCUGUCCAGCUCGACCUUGAUCACGCCGGACCACGUGCCGGCCAUUGAUGGGUCGGUUGGGAUCAAAGAGGAGAAUUGACUGAGAAAUUGAAAGAUGGAGACUUUUAUAGUGCAGGAGUUUUUGUGGAAUUAGUGCCAGCUUUUCAAAAUGUAUAAGUUGUUAAAUGAAGGCAUUAUUUAAUAUUUAAAUAUUCUAAUAUUCCCCCUCAAACAUAGACUAGAUUUUGGCCUAAGACCAAUUUACGAAAAUAUAUAACUGAGCAGGCAAACGAAGUUGUCUGAAAACAUUCAACCUCAGAAUCUUUUGCUCUUAUACCACUUGAAAUUUUUGUGGGAUUAAUGCUAACUGUUUUAAAACUUAAGUUGUCAAAUAGAGGCGUGAUUUAAUAUUUCAAUAUUGACAAUAUAAAUGAAGUGACAUUGAAACAUAAGCAACUAUACAUAAGAAAUCUGUCACAAGCAAACCGCAGAUUGCAAACCACUAACACAGAUUUUAAAGGACCUUCACAAAAUAAUUCCAGUAAGUACUUUGAUUAUGCAGUAGUUCCUUACGCAAUGGAGACCAGUUCAUUUAAUCUUUGGAGGUCCACAGGUUUCUUCAUGAGUGUCACUCCAUAAGACUUUUGCUCGCUGCCAAAUUUAAUAGAUUUUUUAUGCUACCCAUAGAAAUCUGUAUGCAUAAUCUUCGCUUCAUAUCCUCCUCACGUUUCUGUAAUUUCUUAGCCUUUUCCUCGAUUAGAAAAUCAACAGCACUGACAACAUCAUUGUUGGUCAUGUAAAGUGCCCUCCUGGCAUUACGCUCCUUGAAGCCCAUGCUCAUGACUAGUGAUAAAGAUUCAUCUGGCACCUGCAGCUGAAAUAACCAAAAUUGAAUUGUCAGCUUGGAAAAGGGAAAGAGUCAAGGUAACUACGAGGAAAUAAGAGACGAUUUGAAAAGAAAUGGACAGUCAGAUGAUAAGUUCUUAAGCAGAAGAGUUAGACCUAUCCUACCAUUAACUUUAGAGUGAAUUUUUUUUUCUCAUUUAAACAAAAGAUGCAGAAAUUUACUCGCCAUGAGUUCUGGAAUUACAAAUUUUCUUUCAGUGCUGCAACAAAAUUACAGUCCGAGCUCCUUAAUCAUGCAUGCAAAUAAGACACGAUCUGCUGGUUGAUCAUAGUAAUAAGUCUUGCUUGCAGAAAUGACCAAGAGAGACUCAAGGAAACAGCUUAAAUAUAAUGUGACAAAUGCAAAGGAAAUAGUACUCUAAAAAUGCUGAAACUCUUGAAUGAUAGAUAUGCAAGGUAUAAAUAAAUACCUAUCAAUACCUCAAAGAAUAACAGAACAAACAUAAGCAAAAUAAUUUUAAAAAAAAAAACUAUUUGUUACAUGAACUGCUACAGAAGAAUUCGGUACAAGCAUAAAAUGGGGCUGAGCACCUCAAUAACUUAUCUGUGAUAAGCUACCACUCCUUCCAACAGCUCUAAUGAGCACGCUCAAUCCCUUCUCUGGCCUUUUGCAGUUGAAUUCCAGCCAGAGAGAGUGAUGAGAUGUCUUGAACCACGAAAUAGCACCACACCAUGUCUAUUUGCAGUAUAGGAACAUUGUCAACCAUCUGAAACCAAAGAACAUGAAGCAGAAUAAGUCACACUGACACAUUCAUAAUCUCUCUGUGCGCACAUCAAAGUAUUAACAUACCCCCUUUCCCAAAGAAGGAGCAAAAGUGGAAUUCAUGAAAUCCAAGCCGCAAGCCACAUCAACUGAGUUCAAGUGAAAUUAAAAUAGUUCACAAUUCCCGGACUAACUAGAAAAUUUUGCAUUCAGUCAAUUAUAUGUGAAAUGAAUGCACCGUGAAUCACAAUGAGAAAGGCCAGGCUUAGAAAUAGUCACGAUGUAAACAAAUAGCCAAAUAUUUGGAAAAGCAUUUUCGACAUGAGUGGCUAUCAUCCUCAAAUUAUAGAGUGCCAAACAUCCACUAUAUUAUCAGAAGCUAUUGCACCAUCAUAUCAUCCAAAGAACAAUUAUAAAAUAAAAGAAUGAGUACAGACUAUAUUACAUAAAACUCCCAGGUGAAAACAUGCAGACUUCUUAACUUGGGAGCAUAUCACUGACCUCAAUGAACUGGGGAUUGCAGAGAGAGAAGGACUCCUGCAUGGGGAAGAAAGGAUGGUUAAAGUAAUCAAUUUUUAUAAAUUGGUAGAAAAAAUAACAGGCGGUAUGUCUAUCAAAGUAAUAGAAACAACUAUCAAAUAAUCAUGAGCCUAUGCUCACAAGCAAGAGAAAAAAGAAGCCAUACUCCUUUUUUUGUAGUAAGAAAUUGCUUCAAUGCUUUAUGGUGGUUUCCAGGAACAUACAAAAGAUGCAGCUUUGACAAGCAGUUUUGAGGACAUUCAUUCUAUUAUAAGAACAUUAGAGAGUGUGAAGAUACCUUGAACCAUAGGAGUUCCCGCUGCAUCUGAAGAGCUGCCCCAGACACGCUGUUAAGUUGGUCCAGAGGUGCCAGCUUUCCCGCCAAAUGCAACAAGUUAUUAUUGUUGUCGGGGUCUUUGUAAGUAGUAAUCAUAUUUUUAUGCGCCCCGAGAUCAUGAAUGACGUCAAAUAUCUUUUCUCGGCGGUACAUAACUGCCACAUGAAAAAUGUUAUGGCUUUGCUCAUCAACUGUCCAUAUCAAAUCAGGAUUAGAGCGAACCAGCUCAGUCACAAGCUCAACUAUGCCGAACCCUGCUGCAAUGAGCAACGGCUGCGAGGGAUGCAUUAAAAGAUCUGCAAUUUUGGAGUCCUCCAGCGAUGAAAUCUACUCACAUAACAAUUUCACCAAUUGUAGCACUUGCAAGUGCAUUGUCUUUUUCUCAUGAACUGCCCUGAUUCCUGGCACUAUAGAUUGAAUUCAAUAAAUAAAUAAAAAGUUGCGGUUUUCCAGGAAAAUCGGCAAACAUUUUUUUUGUGCGACCUACCUUUUCACUUUGCCGCACUCCAAAGCUUCUCCAGCAAGUAGAGAGACACUGCACAAGUUUCACAAAGAAAUGGACUCAGUCAUGACCUUGGCUGAACCUGCUGCCUCUCAUUAGAUAUUUGGCUAGGUAUCAUAAGUUUCACAAGAGACGUUUUUCGACAUGACAACAUGGGUGACCUUUUGGGAAAUUGACUAUAUGUAUCGUAAAUCUUAGUAUGAGACGAGUCAAAGAACACUAACUCAGGGGAGUUAAAUUCAGGGGUGCCACAUUAAUUGAAUUAAAAUGGCAUUAAAGCAAGAACUAUAAAGAAAAGAGAGCAAACAAAUGAUGAAGAAACUUCAUGCUACAAGCCAAAAACGAGUUAGUUAUGGAAUCGAUUUAGUAAUUUGUGAAUCCCAGAUCUAGGCUCUGGGCUUCUCGUUUAAAAGAUCAAGCUCUCAUUGACUUUGAGAAGUCUACUGCCAGAAGUAACGACCAAUUCAUCUCUGCAUUUCUCUCAUUCUCGUGCUCGUGCUCAUGCUCAUAUCUUGGUGAAACACUGGAAAAUCUCUCCGGGAAGCAAGAUGAAAUUGAAGGAGCUCUCUGCAUCGCCUUGUUUUGCUGAUCCAUUGCUCAGCGAAGUUGCAAAUUAUCGUCUCUUCUUCUUUUUCCUGCUAUCUGAUAUCUUCAACGACAGAAAAGAUGAAGAUUGAAAAGUUGCAUUGCUUUUGGCAGAGUGAGACAAGAGAAGAGCACCAAUGAGAUGGAGCCAAGAAGACUUCUUUGGUUACUGAAAAAAAGGUCAAUGGGAUAGUGGCAAUUGGCCAUACUACUAGGAAGCUUCUGAAAGCGCGGUUACAACUGGCCCACUCGAGAAAAAAGAUAAGGCCAAUAAUUGUAUAUGGUUAUGAGGUUCACAUUACCGUAUGCUGUGGUGUGGCAAUAAUUGUAUAAAGUUCUAAGCCCCACUUUGGCGAAUUUGCCAAAAAAUUGUUUAGGUGAAUGUGACUCUUCUUUUUCUGAUCUGCUGAAUUCCUUUAAAAAGCAUUGAAUUUAGCUCUCUAUUCCAAAAUCAUCACGGAGCUCUUUCUACACUAUUGUAUGCUGUGAUAUCUCAUCUCCUGAUCAGGCACAUUUCAAUUUUUUUAUGCUGUACUUAUGGAUAGUGGCUAGGUUUCAACAUCGAGAGUUCAAGAAGCUCCAUGCAACUGGGCAAAAAUUAGGGAAAAUUUCACAUGCAAUUUACCAACUAUAGUUCUUCCUUUUCUAGAAAAUGAUUUUUUUUUUUUAAUGAUUGUCAUGCAACAAAUUCUACUCUUGGGAUUCCGAGAACCGGUACAGGCCUCGUCAAUGGUAGUUUCUCAGCCCUUUUACCAACAAAAGAGUACCUUUCGAAGAACUGAAAACCUCCCGACCAUAAAAAAAGAAAGUACUGAAAAUCCUUGCGAUCAGUUCAUUUUUGUUACAUUUUGUUGGUCAACCUUGACGUGACACUCCCAUAUGAUUCUAGCAAUGGGAUUUAGCUUAUUUUCAAAGCACGAGAAUAUCAUGAAAAUCUCAACUCGACAUAUUUAUAAUAAAUUUAUUAUAAAUUAAUUUUUUAAUUAUAAAAAAAUUUCAAAUUGAUACAUUUAUGAUAAUUUUAUUAUUUGUUCGUUUUCAUUAAAUUUUACCGUCAAAAUGCUAAGUUGGAUAAUAUAUAACAAUUGAUGAGUGUACAAAUUUGAAAUUUUACCAUCCAUUUGUCAUAGGUGUAUCGGUUUUAGAUUUUUGUGGAUAAACAAAAAUUAAUGAAUAAUAAAUUUAUCACAAAUGCAUCAGUUUGAGUUUUUGAAAGUUAAAAAAUUAAUUUGAGAUGAAUAUAUAAUAAAUGUAUUAGUUUAGAGUUUUUUCAUAGUUACACUAAUUUUUCUCUUGGUAUUAACCUCUUAUUAAUUGUAACCAGAAACUCCAACGAGAGUGGGAAGUGAUCGCUAGGUGAGAGGUUCUACAUAAAAAGCAACUUAAUGAAGGCUUCUAGCAUGGUGAAAUGAUAAGAAUGAACUAAAUUGCACACCAAAUAAAAUAAGAGCAUUCAUGGAUAAUAUAUAAAACUAGAAUUAAUUCACAUGAUCAUUUUUUUAAAUUAUUGGGAACCACAAUAUUAAGCAUGCUCCUCUUAAGAAAAGUGUAUACCUGCACACCAAAAGAUGAAGCAGGAUCAUCGCCAGGGCAAGAGCGCCCAAACAAAGAGAGACUCCCGGUAAAUUUUUAGAAUGACAAAAGAGGUAUGCCCAUCCCACAAGGGAAGAUUAUUCCUAGAUUAUAUGCGCAGAGCAGGAAUUUAAUUUUCAAGAGACAUUUUUUUGACGUGACAGCAUGAGUGACUUUCUUGAAAAGUGAUUAUUUGUACUGUAAAUCUUGGUAUGAAAUGAGUCAAAGAACACUAACUCAAGUGAGUUAAAUCCAAGGGUGCUUCAUGAAUUGAAUUAAAAUGGGACUAAAGCAAGAACUUUAAAAGAACAGAGAGCAAACAGAUGAUGAAGAAACUUCAUGCUACAAGCCAAAAAUGAGUUAGGUAUGGGAUCAAUUUAGUAAUUUGUGAAUCCCAGACCUUGGGUUUGGUCUUCUUAUUUAAAGAUCAUGCUUUCAUUGACUUUGAGAAGUCUAACGCAGGAAGUAACGAACAAUUCAUCUCUGUAUUUCUCUCUGUCACCCAGAAAGAAAAAGAGAAAUGAAUUGACCUGUUGACUUCCUCCUGCUUAAACAGUCCUUCCCACCUCCCUCCAAACCCAAGAACUCAAUUUUGAAGAUGGCAGGUAGAAACGUUUGGGGGUUGAAGCAGCUGUUUCUGCAGAUGUCAUGCGAGAGAAGAAACUUUGAAGCUUUCUUCAGGAGAUGUGCCUCAACCUCAUCACAAGUGCAUGAGAAUUGCAAAGCCUCACUGCUGAAGAAAUUGAAUGCCAAGAUUCCUGAAGAGAGCGACGAUGUCUGCAUCUACCGAGUCCCCACAAAACUGCAUCAAGUAGAGGCAAAGGCAUAUGAUCCAAGCAUUGUAUCGAUUGGCCCUUAUCAUCGUGGAGAUCAACACUUGAAAGAAAUGGAGGAGGUAAAGCUAAAAAUUUUCCACAGGGUUUUCAAGUCAAGACAAGAAGGUGAAGACGAACUAGACUGAGUGAUUUCGGCAAUGGAGAAACUAGAGCCGAGGGCUAGGAGUUGUUACGCAGACGAUGUUAAGCUGAGCAGAGACGAGUUCACUGAGAUGAUGACCAUCGAUGGCUGCUUCAUCCUGCAGCUCCUGAGGCAGGUCGGCAGCUGUUCUUCUUCAUCCCUUCUUCAAAGGUGGAUGUUGCCAACGCUGCGCCGCGAUUUAAUCAAGCUUGAAAACCAGCUCCCAAUGAUAGUUCUACACAAAUUACUCAAAUUGGUCUAUGCCAAUUCUCAAUGUGAAUACUCGAUUCUUUCCCUACAGGACCUCGCUUUGAAGUUCUUCAAUCCGUUACUGCAGAGGGACUCCCAUACGAAUGCUGCCGGUGCCACCGCGAUGAAUGGGGCCUGUCACUUUCUUGAUCUUUUCUGAUCCAGCAUUCUCCCGGAGAUACAGGAUCAGGACCGGAAAUGGCAACGGCACAUGAUCCAAUCUGUAACUGUGUUAAAGGAAGCAGGAGUAGUCCUUGAGAAAUCACCCAAUGACAGGGCAUUUGACGUCCAAUCCGAGGGAAGGUUCCUGAAGAUUCCGCCACUCCACAUCGACGAUCACAGAGGCACCUUGUUCCGCAACAUGGUGGCCUUCGAGCAAUGCCACAAGAAAUGCAAACCCGAUGCGACAGCAUAUCUGUUCUUCUUUGACGGGCUUGUGAACUCGGCAGACGAUGUGGAAAUCCUCCAUUACAAAGGCAUAGUCCACCACUCCCUCGGAAGUGACGAAGAGGCGGCGAAUCUGGUGAACAAGCNNNNNNNNNNNNNNNNNNNNNNNNNNNNNNNNNNNNNNNNNNNNNNNNNNNNNNNNNNNNNNNNNNNNNNNNNNNNNNNNNNNNNNNNNNNNNNNNNNNNCUAGACAUGAAAUGGAUCCUUGAUGUACUUGAAUGUCCUCUUUGCAUGUACCGAUAUAUCUCAGUAUAGUUGAAUUGAUUUGUGAUAUCAAUGGCAGGCUUGUGUAACUUGGUAAAACUAGAAGAGUUGGAUCUUAGCUUUAACGGAAUUACUGGCAGGCUUCCUAUAUGUUGGCGAAACAUGUCCUCUAUUCGGAUUCUGAAUCUUGAAGACAAUGAAUUUACAGAUAGUGUCGUGUCAUCUCCCCUCACUAGUCUUACAUCUCUCGAAUUUCUUUCCAUUUCGGGCAACCAUUUUGAUAUCCCCUCAUCACUCGGCCCACUCACAAACCAUUCAAGACUUAAGGUGCUAAUUCUUGAUGACACCAAACUAACAAUUGAUACCAAAGUUGCAUCUUUGAUCCCGAGACUCCAGUUGAAGGUUUUAAGUAUGUCAAAUAGUCCAUCAAGAGGAUUCAAAUUGACUUCUCUGGGCUUUCUCAAUCAUCAACAUGACCUGAGAAUUCUCGAUCUAUCCUCGAAUGACAUUUUGGGGCCCUUUCUAGCUUGGUUGUUGGAAAACAACACCAAGUUGGAAGAGCUUUUUAUGGCAAAUAACUUAUUUACGACACUUGAGGUUCCAUCAAUGACACUUUUUAAUCUUUCGACCAUGGACUUAUCCAACAACAACAUGAGAGGAAAGCUCACUACCGAAUUUUGGGCAAAUGUCCCAAAUCUGUCCUACCUUAAUCUAUCAGCCAACGGAUUGGAAGGGAAUAUUCCAUCUGAACUGGGUAGUGUAAAAUCCCUAGAUAUCUUAGACCUGUCUAGCAACAAUUUCUCAGGGGGACUACCUAUCCAGUUACUAGAUAGUAAAUUGGAUAUCCUCAGCGUAGCAUAUAACAAUUUGCAAGGAGAAAUUGUACUUUCCAACCACACCAUGAACCCGAGUUUGUCACUUCUGCGAUUGGAGCACAACUUGUUCAAUGGAAGUCUCUCUUUUCUUUCAUCACUCUUUGAUUUGGAAAUAUUGGACGUUAGCAACAACAUUUUCAUCGGCAAGCUUCCCAGAUUGAUUGCAAACAUGUCAUCGCUUGUGACCCUUGACUUGUCCAAAAAUCAGUUGGAUGGCCUCAUCCCUCAAGAACUCUGCAAUCUUGAUGAGCUUGAGUAUUUGGAUUUGUCUGACAACAAUCUCUCUGGUCCAUUACCAUCAUUUUUUAUCUCACGGUGGAUGCGCCACAUCCAUCUGAGUAGGAACAAACUGAAUGGUACACUCGUGCAUGCGCCCUCUAAUAGCUCCAAUUUGGUGACAUUGGAUCUGAGUGAAAAUGAGUUCUCCGGAAGCAUACCCUAUUGGCUAGGUAACCUCUCUCAAUUGAGCAUUCUUUCACUGAAAGGUAAUAGCUUCUAUGGAACAUUUCCCGAGCAAUUGUGUAAAUUGAAACGCUUAAGUAUGAUCGAUCUUUCUGAAAACAAUCUAUUUGGUCCAUUACCUAAUUGCUUGGGACCCAUGAAUUUAUCCACAAAUUACUAUGAUAAGGUAACUUCAACACAGGAAUUCUUUACAGUUAUAGGAUGGUCACCUUGGACUUAUGUGAGGAGAAGCCAUCCUACGCUCUUCUAUAAACAAAAAAUAGAAGAACUUGAUGCUCCACAUACUGUUGGGUUCACAACAAAAAGAAGGUUUGAUUCUUAUAAAGGCUACGCACUUCUUAAAAUGGUGGGACUAGAUCUUUCUUGCAACCAGUUCAGUGGCGAGAUCCCACCGAAGAUAGCAAUCUUACAAGAAAUGCUUGUGCUGAAUCUGUCACAUAACAAGCUUACAGGACGUAUACCAAUGUCAUUGUCAAGCCUCACGAAGAUAGAGAGCAUUGACCUUUCCUACAACAACUUGAUUGGUUCUAUCCCUGAAGAGCUUACUCAAUUGAAUUCCCUAGAAGUCUUCAAUGUGUCUUACAAUGACUUGUCAGGAACCAUACCAAACAAAAAUCAAUUUGGGGCAUUCGAUGAAAGUAGUUACUAUGGAAACCAUCUUCUAUGUGGACUGCCGUUGAGUAAGAAGUGCUCAACAAUCAUUAACGUUAACUACUCAACAACAAAAUCAUGCGCGAUAGCUAAACAAGAUGGUUUCAUAGACAAACAAACAUUCUAUAUCAGCUUUGGAGUGUCAUACACGACGGUUGGACUGGUAAUUCCGAUUGUUCUAUUCAUCAACCCCCAAUGGCGACAAGGAUGGUUUCACCAUGUGGAACUAGUUAUCACCACAUGUCAGAGCUUAUUCAUCACAUGCUACUAAAUUGUGCAGGACGGUUUUCAAAAACUGUCCAGAGGCCAAACAUUUUAGGUUCUCUCGUUCUGCAUUAACUGGUAAUGGUAGGAUUGGGUUUUUUUUUCCUAUUGUUUGUUAUUGUCGUUGAUCAACAUUGGCCUCAAUGUGGAUCUAUCGAGUCAGUGUAAGUUCUUACCUUCACAACUGAAUAAGGUCUUGUUUUACUGUCCUUGAAGACAAUACAGGGCAUGAUCCUUCCCUCUUUUGAACAGGUGUUUUUACAUUAUUGCUUGCUCAUCUCUAUUUGGUUAGGUGAUCAUACUACUAGUGAUGACAAACAACAUUAGAAAAACAUGGCUGUUUCUUCUCAACUUUUUUGGUUUGUGGUAACAAAUUUGCUUUCCUUUCCGAAUAAAAAUUUUCGUCUCCGUAUAUCACUUGGUCCAUUCGCAAGUCGUUCGAGACAUAAAACUCCUCUUGCUUGACAAUAUAGCACAAACAACUAAAUGUUCUUCAAAGUCUUAGGCUCAUGGCCAAUCUGCAAUUUGGUUAGGACAUCGAUUUCCAUCUAACUUUUAUGAAGGUUUACUUGUUCUUAAGUGUCUCCUGAGAUAAAUUCACGGUCAAACUUGCAUUUUUAUGACCACUUUCGUUGUUCCUGUCUUGGUGGAAUGAUGUUCUAACAUUUUGCUAGGAGCUUAGCUCUAGCUUGGAAAAAGAAGUACUGCACUGAGGCAUGCCCUGUUCAGUAUGAAAGAGACCAAAUUUGUUGUCUUGAUGUCUAGGCCAAAUGCGAGCAAGAACCAAGCCGGAUCGAGGCCCAGAUUGGUGCAAAUGUAUGAAUUCUAUUGUAAACAUUCCAUUCAUACGAGAAGGUCAGCACUGCUGCCACUUUUACAAAUUGGUAGAAAAAAGUAACAGGUGGUAUGUCAAUCAAAGUAAUAGAAACAACUAUCAGAUAAUCAUGAGCCUAUACUCACGAUCAAGAGAAAAAGGAAGCCGGACUCCUUUUUUGUAGUAAGAAAUUACUUCAACGCUUUAUGGCGGUUUCUACGGACAUACAAAAAAUGCAGCUUUGACAAGCAGUUUUGAGGACAUUCAUUCUGUUAUAAGAACAUUGGUCAUCACAAUAUAUAUUAAUAAAAAGUGAUGGUUGAGAUCCAAAUGUGGGCAAGACAUGCAAAGGAGAAUGUCCAGGCAAUUAUUCCCAGUUGAUCUACCAUGCAGCACAUGGUAGGUAUGCUUAGUCAUUCUGAUAUAUAAUUAAUUUGUAUUGAAAAAUAAUAAUGGCGCCACCUUUGUGGGCUUAAUCGUGUGCUAAAUCAUAUUGGUGUAUGCUUUUGGGCCCGGAUUUGGGUCAUCUAUUACAAUGAAUACAUUCUAUACUUUUGUGAUAGUAUAAUGUGUAAUGAAUCUAAGAAAAAAUCUUUUACAGUCAGACUAAUGCACCGGCUAACUCAGAAAUAUGUCACGUGGUUACUAUAUUAUUUAAUAAUAUCAUUGGCAGAAUACACUGAUCAUUCCGAUCCACAAUUUGAAUCACAUAUCCCUCUUAUGGUAAAUUUACCACUCGAAAUAGUAAAUUAAGGUUCAAAAUAUUUUGUUGUGGAGCUAUGCAUCAGAUUUUCUUGUGGAAAGUAAAUCAUGUAUAGUAUUACCUCGUCCCAAAGUACAUACCAAGUAAGAAUUGGUCCUUCACCUAUAUAUCUAGCAUAAUAGACCAUCUGGUGCACAUAUAACUAAUAAUGUAUAAUCUUCCGACAAUGAUCAAACAAGCCUACUUUCACAAUAUUACAUUUUAGACAAGGAACAAUUUUAGUUAUGAUUGACUUCUCAGAAAAAUUCAGCAAAACAAACAUAUUCCUCACAAUGUACAUAUAUAAACCAAAAAAAUAGAAAACAAAGAGACAAGUUCCCGAUAAAUUCACCAUAUGUUCGAUGCAACGAAUCCAAUAAGCAAGGAAAGUCAACAACUUUGGUCAACCAAUCAAUUAGUACAAUCCGCUGCCGGGAACCCAAAAAUCAACAGCACCAAUAAGCUUAAUCAUUUUAGUGCUCGAAGCCACCAUACUUUUACUGCAAUUAAUCACGCGAUCAACGAAGCACUCGGCUCGACCGAUGGCUUCACUAACCUAAACCCCAUAAAUAGAUUCUAAUCAUUUCACAACUCCAGCUCACCAUGCUCCACUAUGCUUAAUAAAGCGAUCAAUGUAGUAUCGAGCUCCGGGAAAUUAACUUUAGAGGAAGUGUAUCAGAUCUGGAGAAAUUAAGCUCCGGCGACGCGGACUUUGAACGCAGAAUGGACCCGCCGAUUAUAAUCGCCGAUCGCCACUCUUCAUCUUCUGCGUCUGAGAAUGGCGAGAGAUGAGGCGGAACAACCGGCGAUCGUAAUCGGCCGGACAGCCCACAUCAUGAAGUACCCCUCCUCCCCUGUCUCCGCUCCCGAUCGUCGCCUCCACUUCAAGGCGGCCGCAUCUCGCCAUCGCAUCGACGGCGCAGGUCCCUCCAGCCGCUCUCGCGUCGCUCUUGGUGGGGAUCUCUCUGGCUCCAUUGCUCGUCGGACAGGUCACGUUCGUGAUUGGGCCGGUUUUGAUGCCCUUGGGUCGCCCUUCUGGUUUUAUUCUUUUACGUGGCGGGAAUGGUGUCCGCUCCGUCGGAGGUGGCUCGGGCGACCCGUAAUCCAUUGGAUUCUCUAGUAAUAGGUUUUUCUUAAUCUGAGAAGUCGAUGGUAUCUUUUUUAUUCUAGUAAUUUGUUGUCUUGAUGUCUUGGCCAAAUUCAAGCAAGAACCAACCCGGAUUGAGGCUCGAAUUGGUGCAAAUGUACGAAAAUGGCUACUAGUCAUUAAUAGGGCUCCCAACCAAGCCUGGCCAGGCCAUGUGGCCGAGCGCUUGGGUGGAAGGGAAUAACCUCCCAUAUCGAAUUUUAAUUAUUUUUAGAGUCUUUUGAUGUUUUACAUGAAGUUUCUUUACUUUGCGAGAGUACUUAGAUUUUUUUUUUUUCUUUUGAGAAUUCUCUUUACAGAUCCUCGCUCUCUCGAGGAGGAAUUGUGAGAAAGCUACGGAUCAUACAACAUCAACCUGAUUGAUCGUAUCAAAUAUGAAGAAGAAAAUCUAACACACAAAAGAGAAUUAUUAUAUCAGAUAGCAUACAAGUAACGUAUCAUACCUUUUUUUUUCCUCAUAAGAGGAGAAAAAGGGGAAAAAUGCCACAUAAAAACUCUAAACUAUGUCAACUGUGAUAUAUUUACCCUAAACUUUUUGUUAUGACACAAAAAAUCCCAAAUUUGUAUAUAUGUGACACAUGUACCCUAAAUUUAUAUCCAUUUACCUGAAUACAAAUCUGGGGUUUUUAGUAUCAUAUAUAGUUUGUGGUAAACGCGUUGUACGAUAAUGAGUUGAGAUUUUUUGUGUCACAGAAAAAUUUGAGAUAAACAUGCCACGCGGGUAUAAGUUCAGGGUCUUUUGUGUCAAAAAAAAGUUUGGAGUAAAUUGUAUCAAAGUGGACAUCACUUAAACUUUUUUGUGAUUUUUUUUUCAAAAAAAAAAAACUAGAGAACUUUUGAAAAAUCAUCCCCGCUUUGGGAAAUACACAAUUUGCAUUUAUAAACUACCCCUCCACCCCAAUUUUUUUUUUUUUUUUUUAUCUCUGUCUCUCUACCUUCCGCCACACCAGUGUUGGCUUCUCUCUCCACAGCCACUAGAGCUCGAAAGUCGCACUCAAGGCCAUGGCCGCAAGCUCAAAGGCAAAUUUAAUGCCUGUGGCCUUCGAGCUCGAAAGUCAUGCGAUUUGGCGAACUCGCCAUGGCCACUAGAUUUGGCAUCAAGUUCAACAAUGGAAUUUGGGUAGCGACAAACAUGAGCUCGAGACAAGACAGAGGGAGAUAGUUGAGGCGGCUGGGUGGUGGCUUGGUGAUGCAACAAGUGUAGAUGGUGCCAGGAGCUUCAAGUCGUACGCUUGGGGUUGGGUAAGUGUCUUGAUCAAGUGGGUUUUGUGGUAGGUUUUGAAUGAUGAGUCGGGAGGAGCAAAGUUGGGGGAAAAUGACGGAUCUGUAAUUAUAAUUAACAUCAUAACUAACGUCAAAUGCAACUUGAAAUGGAAUCUGCUAGAGUGAGGAUGGUUACUACAACCACGAUAACAAACUUCCAACUAGAAUACUACAGUCCCACAUUCACCUUCUCCACACAAAGCUCUCUCUUCCACACCGAAUCUUCCUCUGCAUGUUUGGGUUAUGUGAGCCUAAUGAGAACUGGAGAGCAAAACAAAUUGAAGUGUAAUAUGCUGUCAUGCGAACUCAAUAGUUCUUAUGAUUUCACAUCAUGAUGUGCUAUCUUCAAAAUGUAAAGCGAGGAUCGUCGCAAGGACCUCUUCGGGCUCCCAUACACAACAAACUCGAGCACAAAGCUACUAGUAAAGUUGUCCAAUUAUAUCGGUAUGGGAUCUCCACCAAGAAGGAAUGAGCAUCUAGGAAAGCAAAUUUGUGUGCAAUCCGACUUCCUAACUCAGUGGUCAUUCUCUCAUCUCACUUAUUUAAUUAAUGUCAAGUGUCGCAAUAUUAGUCAAAGAAAGAUUGGGUCCCAGCAACUUCAGAGGUUAAAUUGACUCAGUUAAUCCCGUUUACAUAUAAAUACAUUACAAAUGUCAAGCCAAUGUAGAGAACUCGCCAGACAUGAUAACUAAACAUGUUCCUUUGACAAAACUUAAGCUUUACUUGAGUGCAAUUGUCAUAUGUAGAGAGUGAACGUCCAUCGAGGCGUUGGGAGAAUUCACAUGGAUGAUGAACAUUAUGACUUAGUUAUAAACGUCAAGGCAAGGUAGAGAAUUGUUAAAAUAUGUCUCAAUUUUGAGCCAUUAUGCAAUCUAACCUGAUUGGGUAAGAAAGAAAUCCAAAAAAUCUUUCUUUGAAUGGUGUAUAUAUUAGAGAGUUUCUUUUAUUUGGUUGGACGUAUUCACGAUUACAUCUAGACUUUGCAAUGUAAAAGAUUUGAGAGGAUAUUGCUUGCACACUUGGGUAAGAAAAAGAUAUAAGUUCAAUUUGGGAGGGUUGGACGUGUAGACUCCGGCGCAUUAAACAUUGAUGGAGAAAUUUUUCUAUGGACAGCUGCCAAGGACCCCAAUAGUGAACACAACAAACUCUCACGGUCAAAUUUCCUGUGGGCUUUAAUUGCCUCCUUGGAAUUUUCUUUUUGGUCAUACAAAAGAGAGCGUGUGGGGUAAGGAAGUAGUCAAAGAAAAGAAAAUAAAUUAAAAGCAAGAUUUUGCUUUUUUGGGUUUCAUUUCCUCGAGAAGCCUAAUAGUGGAAUUCCAUUAGAAAUUGGGCCACUGCACGAAAAGUAAAAGAAAGAACAUACGAACAUUCUUGAAUUAGCUAUGCGAAGGGUUUUGCUAUGGGCUUCUAUGAGCUUUGCAUGCAAUUAAGUUUUUUAUUCAUAAAGUUAUUUGGAUUUGGUCUUAAUCUAAAUAUGGGAAACACUCGAGUUUUUUAACGAUUGUAGUUCUAAUUCUCAAAUUAUAGUGAAUUAUUGGUUGCUAGCUCUCUCUGGGGAUAAAUGCCGACACUCAGAUCAAAUCUCGUAAAUAUUUGGUAUCUUUGUCAUUCCCCAUUUAGUUAUUCAAUGUUCUUGUAUUGAUUUAAUGGGAAGAUCUUCUCAAUUUUCGCGUUAAUUUUGCAACAUGUCUACUUUUGAAAUGCCUCUCAUCAGACAUGAUGACCAAAUAUGUUCAUUUGAUGAGACUUAAGCUUUACUUGAGCGCAGUUGUCAUUUAUAGAGAGUGAACGUCCAUCGAGGAGUUGGGAGAACUGACAUGGAUGAUGAACAUUAUGACUUAGUUAUAAAUGUCAAGGCAAGGUAGAGAAUUAUUAAAAUAUGUCUCGAUUUUGAUCCGUUAUGCAAUCUAACCUGAUUGGGCAAGAAAGAAAUCCAAAAAAUCUUUCUUUGGAUGGCGUAUAUAUUGGAGAGUUUCUUUUAUUUGAUUGGACGUAUCCACGAUUACAUCCACACUUUGCAAUGUAAAAGAUUUGAGAGGAUAUUGCUUGGACGCUUGGGUAAGAAAAAUAUAUAAGUUUAAACGUGUAGACUCCGGCGCAUUAAAUAUUGAUGGAGAAAUUUUUCUGUGGACAACCGCCAAGGGCCCAGUAUUUAAUACAAUGAACUUUCGCGGUCAAAUUUCCUGUGGACUUUAGUUGCCUACUUGGAAUUUUCUUCUUGGUCAUACAAAAGAGAGCACGUGGGGCUAGGAAGUAGUUAGAGAAAAGGAAAUAAAUUAAAAAGCAAGGUUUUGCUUUUUUGGGUUUCCUUUCCUCGAGAAGCCUAAUAGUGGAAUUCUAGUAGAAAUUGGGCCACCGCACGAAGAGUAAAAGAAAGAACAUACGAACGUUCUCGAAUUAGCUGUGCGAAGGGUUUUGCUAUGGGCUUAAACACUCGUUGAUUUGCCCUAUGAGCUUCACAUGCAAUUAAGUUAUUUAUUUAUAAACAUAUUUGGAUUUGGUCUUAAUUUAGGUGUGGGAAACACUCGGGUGUAAGCAAUUGUAGUUUUGAUUCUUAGAUUAUAGUGAAUUAUCUGUUGCUAACUCUUUAUGGGGAUCAAUACUGACACUCGGAUCAAAUCUUGUAAAUAUUUGGUAUCUUUGAUAUUUCCCGUUUAUUUCUUCAAUGUUCUUGCGUUGAUCUAAUAGCAAGAUCUUCUUAAUUUUCGCGUUAAUUUUGCAACAUGUCUACUUUUGAAAUGCCUCUAGUCAAGAUCACUUUGUCCUAAAAGCUCUAAUGUGAAGUAGAUUAAUAGAUCUUCCAUGUUUAGAACCAUCCAAUUUCCAAAUGUUUUCUAGUGCAGUUUUUUGCUUGUACGUAUGGACUCACUGGAACAAUCUACCGUCACCCUUACAAAGGAAGCAAUUUGAAUAAUGUUAAAUGGGCACUCAUUAAGUUAAACUAGCUGCUUUUUGUGAGUCUGAAAGGCAAUCUGUUAUGCUUUUUCUCUAGUGUGAAAUGUGCAAAAGCUAGAGAGUAGUAAUUUUCAAUAUCUUGAAAAUAUAAGCAUUCUAAGUUAGUCAUGCUGAACAAUAAGAACAGAGCACAUCAAUUACCAUAUUUAUAUCCUAUGUUAGUUUCCCAAGCAAGAAACCAGUUCAUUGUGAGUAAUCCUUUAACAUUUACUAAUUUUCAUGUUACCAUCAUUUAAUUGCAUUCUAACUGUUCAACAUGAUCUUGCAUUCCAGCUAGGAGCCAAGUAAUUCACAAGGCAUGUGCUUUUCAUUGGAUAAAGAUUGAAUUAGUCAUAUAAAAGACAAAAGGUGACUAGGCUAGACUAAACUUAACGUGUGGAAAAAGUUAUGCCAAUAGAGACAUUCAGAAAUUUCUCCACCAAUGAAAUAUGGUCAUUGCGUAAGUUACAUUCCCCACCCCACACGCUAAUUAACCUUGUCACCAAAAGGAGCUGACCUACAUUCAUCACUAAAGAUGACCAAGACUUUGACGGGAGCUGACCUACAUUCAUCACUAAAGAUGACCAAGACUUUGGCCAUGACCACAACUUCUACACUUAAGCACAGGCAUUACUGAACUCCUAUAAAGUUGCUCUAACUUGCAAAAAAGAAGUUAACUCAAGAGUGUGAUACAUAUAAAGUUUGGUCACUCGGAUCUGCAGUCAUGAAAAACAAAGCAUCGUGGCCGCUUGUGGUGAUUUGGGGUAUCGCAUGUUUAUGUGACUCUCGUGGGUGUCAGGAGCAAGAAAGGGUUGCACUCUUAGCGCUCAAUGCCACAUUGAACCUGAUAUAUAGGGUGGACUCGGGGGGAUCAUAUUUCAACUGUUGCAGCUAGGAAGGUGUUGAGUGCAAUCCCACCACAGAGCGAGUCACUCAUCUAAUACUCCCCAAUUCGAGACAUUACCGUUUUGGCUUCAAAACUUGGUACCUAAACGCUUCUCUGCUUCUUCCCUUUGAAGAACUCAAGAGCCUUGAGUUGUCCUACAACUUUUUAGGAGGGUGGAUUGCACCAGAAGGUAUAAAUUCGCCGCUCGAUCAUUUCCUAUAAAAGAAGAGAUACUCAUUAUCUAAUGAACUCAAAACUUAACAAUGUCUAGGUCCUUACUCACUUCUUGCAUUAUAGAUGAUUAUGUCCACGUCAUCAUUAAUCCACAAGUCUACGACAUAUUUCCCCCCGAAAUGGCAAUACUGGUUUACGCAUGUACUCAAAUAGAUUUCCGUGAGUUUUACUACAUUUCACUGUUUGUUUGCAAAACCAAAUAUGCUAUCUUCGAGGCUGAGCAAACUAGAGGUGCUUGACUUGAGUAGUAACUCUUUGGAUAAUUCUAUUCUAUCCAUUCUUGGUACAAUUCCAUCUCUCCAGAGUCUGUUCCUCGGUGGCAACAAUUUGAGCAGGACUUUACUUGUGAAAGGUAAAUUUCUCUGGCUUAUUCUCUGCUCAUAAUUCAGUACGAAAUUGCCACCCUACAACAUAUUUCCCCUUUGAAAUGGCAAUACCUAUUUACGCAUGUACUUGAAUAGAUUUCUAUGGAAUUUUAUGCUUUUCGUUGUUUGUUUGCAGAAACAAACCUGCUAUCUUCAAGGCUGAGCAAACUAGAGGUGCUUGAUUUGAGUGGUAACUCUUUGGAUAAUUCUAUUCUAUCCAUUCUUGGUACAAUUCCAUCUCUCCAGCGUCUGUUCCUUAGUGGUAGCAAUUUGAGCGGGACUUUACAUGUUAAUGGUAAAUUUCUCCGGCUUAUUCUCUGCUCAUAAUCCAGUACGAAAUCGCCAUCCUUGACUUAAGUUAACACUAUUUGUGGACAAAUUAGGUGGUUUCAAUAAUUUGAUGGAGUUGGACAUAAGUGAUAAUGCCAUUGAUGCAGUGGCUACUAUUGAAGGUACUAUUUCAAUUUGGAUGAAGGAGCCUCGUUUUUAUUCAUAUAUUAAACUAACUAGCCUAUGAGUCAUGUGGAGUCUUUAAUACCUUUACAUGGGCUUCACAUAAUGAAUAUAGAAGUCAUAUAUUGCAACCCCCUUCUCUUUCCAUAUAGAAAUAUUGUUGAUUCAAAAGAUUCCUAUCCCAAGGUAUCCGCGUGGGUGCUUUCAUUAGUUACUUUGGAUAAUUCUAUUCUACCCGUUCGCGGUAUAAUUUGACUCUCAGGUGUCAAUUCUCCUAACAACAUUUGAAUGGGACUUUACAUGAGAAUGAUAGUUUCUCCAGCUUAUUCUCUAUUCAUAAUUCUGUACAAAAUCGCCGUCCUUGACUUGAGUUAGCAAUAUUUGUGGACAAAUUGGGUGAUCUUAGUAAUUUAAAGGAGCUAGACAUAAGUUAUAAUGCAGUCGAUGCAGUGGCUACUAUUGAAGGUACUGUUUCAAUUUUCAUGCGAAAUCCUCAUUUUUAUUCAUAAAUGAAAGUGACUAGACUGUGAUUCAUGCAUGCUCUUUCAUAUCUUUACAUGUGCUUCAUAUUAAGAAUAUAGAAGUCAUAUAUUGUAAUCCCCUUCUCUUUUUGUAUACAAAUGUUGCUGAUUGAAAAGAUAUCUAACCCUAGGCAUCAGUGUGGGUGCUUUCCCAACUUAACUGCCAAGCAAGUUAAUUACUUGGAAUUUUACUACUAGGCACCAAAAACUUGAGCCACUUAGAGAACCUCUGAUAUAGCUAGUAUAAGUACCUAGAGGGGGGUGAAUAGGUAUAUAAAGGAUUUUUCUCGAUAAUUGCACAAUACUAGACAAUUGAUAGAUUUGAGACAAACGAUAAUCAAAGUAAGAUUGAGAGAAGAGAAAAUUGAACACGCGGUUUAUAGUGGUUUGGCUUAUGUCAAGCCUACGUCCACUCUUCUGCACUGAUAGCUUAUUGGCUGGAUUCCACUAUGAACAAAGAGAUGUUACAGUGUUGUUCUCCCUUGCUUUCUCGGUGUAUAUGAUCUACCACACUCGCUCAAGGUAUCACUAAGUAUAAACACUCUUUGUGUGUACAAUUUUGCUCAAAAUGUAUCGACUGAUAAUCAAGGUACUUCAGACUCUGGAAUUUCUCUAUCGAUCAUGCACUAAAGCAACUAGAAUGUCUUCCUUUUAUACUCCUUUAUGCCAUUAUAUCCGUUGGCACUUACCAAAGGAAUUCCUCCAAUCUACUCGUUGGACGGAAUCAAUCAAGAAGAUCAUUCGAGCUAUUAAAGGAACCUGACGAUAGCCCAUCAAUCAUGUUCGCCCAUACAAUCAGGAUCUUGGUUUCCAAGAAUAGAACCUUCCAAGAAUAUUUCGUCGACCAUUGGAUCUUCAAACGAUCUUGAUUACAAAUAAAAGAAUCCGUUAUAUUUAUCCAGCCAAGAGAUCUUCUCCAGAGGAUAAGACUAAAUCCUCAACCAAAUACUUUGGCUCUGGAUUGCCUUCGUCACUGGAUUAGAAAAACUGUCAAUGAGAAUAGUCUUGAGUCUUGAGUCUUGAGUCUUGAGUCUUGAGUCUGGUGAUCUGAAAGUCUUCAGACUCUAAACAGAAGGUCUGUACUUAUCCAGACUAGACUGAUAGAAAUGUUUUGUCAGCUUCAAAAUAUUCUGGAAAGAUUUCUCCAACAACCUCUACCUAGAUUUUGUCCACUUGAAGCAUGUGGGAACUGUCGUGCGAGCAUUAGGGGCACUGUCAUCUCUGAGGAUCCUUUCUCUCCAAUACAAUACAAUAGAAGGAACAGUACCCGUGAGUGAAUGUAUAUUCACAAUAACGCUCCAUUCAUUUCAUGGAAAACAACUUUCAAGAAAAAGUUUUUUAGAUUUUCCAGCGUUCGGGUCAUGGAAAAUAUAUAAGUAAAGGAAAAUAUUUUCCUUCAAUGGAAAAAGAAUUUUCAAAAGUCAGGAUAAUGAAGAAAUCAUUUUCCAUUCUCUUUCAUUCACCUAGACCUAUUUUCCUUUGUGCGCUCUUUUUAUUUAUUUUAUUUUUUUCUAUUUUCUUUUUUUAAUCAAAUUUUUAUUUUUUAAUUUCUUUCUUUCUUUCUUUCUUUCUUUCUCAGUUGAUUGUUGGUUACAACAACUGCCGGCAACCAACCACACGUGAGGAACAAGCUCACUAAAGGCUGAGGGCUCAUCAAUCUAAUGAGGUCUAAGCUCAUCGGCCUCGAGCAAUCUUGACCUCGCCUGUGACCAGUGAUCGGACGAACAAGAAAGAAAAAAAAAAGAAAAAAUAAUAAUUAAAAAAUCUAUUUUUUAAAAUAAAAUAAAAUAUUAUUGAAAGGAGUGCAUGGAUGAAAAUCAAAUUAGAUUUUUCAUACUAAAUGGUGUAAAAUAUUUUCUACUUCAUUUUCAGGUUCCAGCCGAGCACUAUAAAAUAUUGUCGUUUUCCUAAAAAUGACUUCUCGAAACAUUUUAUAGAAAAGUGAUAUUUUCCGUGAAACAAAUGAAGCGUAAAUUUUUAUUAAAGAAGUUCCAUUCACUCAUGAUAUCUCUGUACCAUUUCUUGAUUAUGCUUGUGUAAGGAAAUCUGAUGUUCGGUAAUCUUUUGACUUUUAAAAAGAUUUCCACAACUUCAGUAAAUUGGAACAACUCAUCUUGGAUGAUUCUUCAUUGAACACAAGCAAAGGAAUCCUUUCCAGCCUUGGUCCGUUGACAUCCCUUAGAUUGUUGUCCUCAUCCGGAACCAAUCUAAGUGGCAACCUAUCAAAUCAUAGUAAGUUCUGAUCUCUUAGUGUAAAUGCUGGACAUGAAAUGGAUCCUUGAUGUACUUGAAUGUCCUUUUUGCAUGUACCGAUAUAUCUCAGUAUAGUUGAAUGACUGUNNNNNNNNNNNNNNNNNNNNNNNNNNNNNNNNNNNNNNNNNNNNNNNNNNNNNNNNNNNNNNNNNNNNNNNNNNNNNNNNNNNNNNNNNNNNNNNNNNNNCAUGACCUUUCCUACAACAACUUGAUUGGUUCUAUCCCUGAAGAGCUACUAAAUUGAAUUCCCUGGAAGUCUUCAAUGUGUCUUACAAUGACUUGUCAGGAACCAUACCAAACAAAAAUCAAUUUGGGGCAUUCGAUGAAAGUAGUUACUAUGGAAACCAUCUUCUGUGUGGACUGCCGUUGAGUAAGAUGGUUUCAUACAUGACGGUUGGACUAGUAAUUCCGAUUGUUCUAUUCAUCAACCCCCAAUGGCGACAGGGAUGGUUUCACCAUGUGGAACUAGUUAUCACCACAUGUCAGAGCUUGUUCAUCACAUGCUACUAUUUUGUGCAGGACGGUUUUCGAAAAUUGUCAAGAGGCCAAACAUUUUAGGUUCUCUCGCUUUGCAUUUCCUGGUAAUGGUAAGAUUGGGUUUUUUUCCUAUUGUUUGUUAUUGUCGUUGAUCAACAUUGGGCUCAAUGUGGAUCUAUCGAGUCAGUGUAAGUUCUUACCUUCACAACUGAAUAAGGUCUUGUUCUACUUUCCUUGAAGACAAUACAGGGCGUGAUCCUUCCUCUUUUGAACAGGUGUUUUUACGUAAUUGCUUGCUCAUCUCUAUUUGGUUAGGUGAUCAUACUACUAGUGAUGACAAACAACACUAGAACAACAUGGCUGUCUCUUCUCAACUUUUUUGGUUAUGUGGUAACAAAUUUGCUUUCCUUUCUGAAUAAAAAUUUUCGUCUCCGUAUAUCACUUGGUCCAUUCACGAACCGUUCAAGACAUAAAACUCCUCUUGCUUGACAAUAUAGCACAAACAACUAAAUGUUCUUCAAAGUCUUAGGCUCAUGGCCAAUCUGCAAUUUGGUUAGGACAUUGAUUUCCGUCUAACUUUUAUGAAGGUUUACUUGUUCUUAAGUGUCUCCUGAGAUAAAUUCACGGCCAAACUUGCAUUUUUAUGACCACUGUCGUUGUUCCUGUCUUGUGGAAUGAUGUUCUAACAUUUUGCUAGGAGCUUAGCUCUAGCUUGGAAAAAGAAGUACUGCACUGAGGCAUGCCCCGUUCAGUAUGAAAGAGACCAAAUUUGUUGUCUUGAUGUCUAGGCCAAAUGCGAGCAAGAACCAACCCGGAUCGAGGCCCAGAUUGGUGCAAAUGUAUGAAUUCUAUUGUAAACAUUCCAUUCAUACGAGAAGGUCAGCACUGCUGCCAUUUUUACAAAUUGGUAGAAAAAAGUAACAGGUGGUAUGUCAAUCAAAGUAAUAGAAACAACUAUCAGAUAAUCAUGAGCCUAUACUCACGAUCAACAGAAAAAGGAAGCCGGACUCCUUUUUUGUAGUAAGAAAUUACCUCAACGCUUUAUGGCGGUUUCUACGAACAUACAAAAAAUGCAGCUUUGGCAAGCAGUUUUGAGGACAUUCAUUCUGUUAUAAGAACAUUGGUCACGACAAUAUAUAUUAAUAAAAAGUGAUGGGUGAGAUCCAAAUGUGGGCAAGACAUUCAAAGGAGAAUGUCCAGGCAAUUAUUCCCAGUUGAUCUAGCAUGCAGCACAUGGUAGGUAUGCUUAGUCAUUCUGAUAUAUAAUUAAUUUGUAUUGAAAAAUAAUAAUGGCGCUACCUUUGUGGGCUUAAUCGUGUGCUAAAUCAUAUUAGUGUAUGCUUUUGGGCCCGGAUUUGGGUCAUCUAUUACAAUGAAUACAUUCUAUACUUUUGUGAUGGUAUAAUGUGUAAUGAAUCUAAGAAAAUAUCUUUUACAGUCAGACUAAUGCACCGGCUAACUCAGAAAUACGUCGCGUAGUUACUAUAUUAUUUAAUAUCACUGGCAGAAUACACUGAUCAUUCCGAUCCACAAUUUGAAUCACAUAUCCCUCUUAUGGCAAAUUUACCACUCGAAAUAGUAAAUUAAGGUUCAAAAUAUUUUGUUGUGGAGCUAUUCAUCAGAUAUUCUUGUGGAAAGUAUAUCAUGUAUAGUAUUACCUCGUCCCAAAGUACAUAACAAGUAAGAAUUGGCCCUUCACCUAUAUAUCUAGCAUAAUAGACCAUCUGGUGCACAUAUAACUAAUAAUGUAUAGUCUUCCGACAAUGAUCAAACAAGCCUACUUUCACAAUAUUACAUUUUAGACGAGGAACAAUUUUAGUUAUGAUUGACAUUCCUCGUUUAAGGGUUGUCCUUGUUUCUGAAACCUUGGUUAGCAUCGUUUAAUAUAUUCCGAUUUUUAAACUCAAUUGCAACAGGGCAUCACAUCAAUUCAGUAGCAAGUUAUGGCAUUCUAAUGGGAAAGGACAAGGUGGCACCUCUUUUUUUAGUAUAUGCAACCAACUAAUAAUCUGAGCAGUUGGUAAAAUCUUCUACAAAAUGACAUACAUCACAAUACAUCUCAAUUCCCACAUUAUGCAUGUUACAGAUUAAGAACCAUUGAAGCUUGGUACUGGAUAAGGCCAAAAAUGCUUAGAUUAUCAUAAGUAACCACAGAGCACCAGCAACGGACCUCACCCAUAGCAAGAACUUCCAAUGCACCUUCAUACUUUUGCCUCCUUGUAAGUUGUUUUGCAUUUGAGUGAAGCAUUAAGCCCAUCAUCACAGCACUGGAGAAAAUCCAAAAGGUUUUUUAAAUGCCAAUUCAAAACAAUAGCAGCUAAACAGCAUAUUGUGAGAAAAGACUGCUUGAGAAAGGAUUUCUUAAAAAACAAAUUAGUCUACUGCCAACCCUCGAUCAGUUUCAGAUCCCAUAUUUACUUUCUUUCCACUCAGAUCUUCAAGUUCUAUGUUUAAGUCUUCCAGUGGCAAUUAGCCAUCUGCAUGUCUCUUAGCCAGUGCAGUGGCAGCUGCUCUGUAUUUAGAAGGAUAUACACAUUCAAUUAUAUGAGUGGAUGUGCACAUACACGCACAGUAGCCAGAAAGACUACUGUCUCUGAAAACAACAAACACGCUGGCCAAUAUCAUCAAAAAAAUAAUACAGGAAAGUGAACCACAAGAGCAGAUAAGCAUGUCCAUGUAAGUGAACAUCUGUAGGUUAGGUAUAUCCAAAUUGCUAGGCUCAUCAGUGCUUCUGGCCAAGCAUAGAAAUUUUAUGGCAUAACUAUAAACAAGUCACUUUAUCAAGACAUGCAGUCUUCUUUUGAAUAAUAAUAAAGCCCCGUGCUCAGAGCCGAAUGUCUCUUUAAGUAUCAAGAUGCACUGCCUCAUGAGUUAAGUAACGUAUGCCACGCUAAGAAUGUUGAUUGGUCCCAUGACCAUAUGCAAAGUUGCUAAAAAGGGGUGAAAACCAAACUAAAUAUGCAUGCGAAAUACAUGAUGAAGGAUUGAUUUGGUGGUGGCCGCUAACAGUUAAAGUGAGCUUGGAAUGAGGAGAAAGCAUCUUCCGAUGCAUCAAAGCUAGUUAAAAACUUCUGCACCACAGAAGCGCCAAAAGCUUCAGACUGAGCAUUAUUAACCAAGGAAGGCAUCUCUUGAACUCGUACACGCUCAUCCUAAGACCACAAAUUGCAUUGCUAUUUGACUCAGACCUGUUCUAGAAAAGCCGAGGCAUUUCGAGUUCCUUCACCUAUAACAAGAAUGUGAAGCUCGCUGCCAUUGGUAAAAGAGAAAGGGAGAUGUAAUUGAUACACCGAAUGUAGAGAAUUCUUAGCCUCAUCAAAUAUGAGCCCCCCUUAAUCACUCCAAGCAAGAUUUAUCAAAACCAUCAACCGAUUAACAAAGAGAAUGGAAAGAAUAAUAGAGAUAGAGAGCAGCAGAAGCCUGCUUUCUAAAGGUCAGCUGCCAUUCACCACAUUAUAUUUUACAAGGCCAGUCCAACAAGGUGUAUGAUCCAAUUACACAUACCCAACUUUUCAGAAUUGGGCAGUGCUCACAUGUUGGUUCACCAUGCCCUAGUCAUACAUGCCAUUCAGUAGCAAUGGAUCAAAACCACCACCUAAAGCCCCUUUCUGUUUAGACAAGUUACUAGCAGUCUCCACCAAAGCCAAUUCCCAAUCUUCCUUGCCAGAUUCGGCAGCUGGGGUUUGCCAAGCAGAAGUCACUUCUGGUUCACCAUUAGAAGGGAAUGCUUCCCACGAAUCAUUCCCUGUAUGGCCCCGCAAAUAGAGCCAAUGCAAAUUUAUUAGCUUGAUCAUCAGCAGUAACUCCAUUAUCUCUCAGAUCCGCUAAAUCCACCAUCACUUGUGGCUUUGGUGGCUCCGGUUUUGGCUCUGCCGUUGGUGCAGGAGUAUAAUUCUAUUGUGGAGGGAAUGCCUUUAUCUCAUUCAUAUCUGGCACAGGCUCCUCCUCCUCCUAAGCCACAGGGGGCAAUUCUUCCCUCCUCUCUGGGCUCUUUGGUCUCUUUGCUCUAUCUCUCACAAACUCCUCCAAUGUCUCCAAAUAUUUACUGGUAAUCCUUUGCACUUCAGGAUAUUCGGACAAUCUUGCCAACCCUGUAUCCUUACACCAAUUGUAGAAUGCAAUCAACUCAUCAAUUUGCUUAACGGCACUCGCAUAAGCAUCGAAAGCCUUGAUGCAAUCCUGGUACUCCAUAUUGAAAAACUUAUCAAGCAAGACAGCCAAAACCUCACAGAUAUCAGCAUAUACCUGAAAUCUCUCCUUCACAACAGUGUACAAUGCAACUAAGAUCAAGCUGCUAUUCUUUGCCAGACAAGUGGACCUACACACCAAGAACUGGUCCAAUAGCCUCUGCAAGUGGCCCAUUUUGCCAAAAAUCCUUUCUUGCUUCAUUUCCCUCAGUGCAGUCACUACCCUUCUAUCUUCUUUCCCUUCCUUCACAGCCACACCAUCGCUCAUAUCCCCAUAUGACCUUGACCUUCUCAUCCCCCCAAAAUUACCAUAUUCUCCUCAAUAAUCACCAUAAUCAUAAUCAUUCGCGUGGUGAGGACCGAAAAUCAUCUCGAUUCCCAUACCUAUCCUCAUUGUGAACACUACCACCACCAUUAGCACUUCCACUAGGACCGCCCCCACCGCUCUUUCUAUCAAACAGAAUCAACUCGAGUUGCUUAUCCAAAUACAUAGCAUAAGUCCGUGCAAAAGCCGAGUGGUCCCAUGAACUAGACUGAGCCUCAUCUCUAAAAUCAGACAAAUUCAACAACCUAGCACCAUGCCAGGUCGCAUACGUUAUCUCCUUGCGAAAAAUUGGGUCUCCAUCAUUCACCAAACGACGGAUGACCACUAGGGAUUUGAGAGCCACAACGUAGUCGUGGGUCUUGCUCAGUCACUUCGAAAGCGCAGAAACAAAUGCAAGAACGUAUCCGCGCGAGAGUGAAGCCAAAUUCAAGGUCCGACGAAUGUAUUUCUCAUCCACAGGAUCAUCAUCGUCGCUCGUGGCUUUCACGAUAUUUACUUUGGCCUCUUGCGCCAUGUUGCCCGCGACCUUCGCGAGGCCGAUGCUUGUCUGGUCCUUGACAGCCCCCAGCAUUUUGCGGAUCGUGCUUUGAGACAUCUUCACCGUCACCCUUACCUACCAAAACCGCACAAGUCAUCUGAACUUGUCCCGCUUGACUCAAAAGCAUCACUUGAGGAUGAUCUAACCAGCUUUCCAGUAAUUUCAAAAAAUCAACAGCACCAAUAAGUUAGUGCUCGAAGUCACCAUACUUUUACUGCGAUUAAUCACGCGAUCAACGAAGCAUUCGGCUCGACCGAUGGCUUCACUAACCUAAACCCCAUAAAUAGGUUGUAAUCAUUUCACAACUACAGCUCACCAUGCUCCACUAUGGUUAAUAAAGCGAUCAAUGUAGUAUCGAGCUCCGGGAAACUAGUUUUAGAGAAAGUGUAUCAGAUCUUGAGAAAUUAAGCUCUGGCGACGCGGACUUUGAACGCAGAAUGGACCCGCCGAUUACAAUCGCCGAUUGCCACUCUUCACCUUUUGCGUCUAAGAAUGGCGAGACAUGAGGCCGAACAACCGGCGAUUGUAAUCGGCCGGACAGCCCACAUCAUGAAGUUCCCCUCCUCCCCUGUCUGCGCUCCCGAUCGUCGCCUCCACUUCGAGGUGGCCGUGUCUCGCCAUCGCGUCGACGGCGCAGGUCCCUCCCGCCACUCUCACGUCGCUCUUCGUGGGGAUCUCUCUGGCUCCAUUGCUCGUCAGACCGGUCACGUUCGCGAUCGGGGCCGUUUUGAUGCCCUUGAGUCGCCCUUCUGGAUCCAUUCUUUUAUGUGGCGGGAAUGGUGUCCGCUCCGUCAGAGUUGGCUCAGGCGACCCGUAAUCCAUUGGAUUCUAGUAAUAGGUUUUUCUUAAUCUGAGAAGUCAAAAGUAUCUUUUCGAUUCUAGUAAUUUGUUGCCUUGGUGUCUUGGCCAAACCCAAUUAACUCGUCAGACAUGAUGACCAACAUGUUUCUUUGACGAAACUUAAGCUUUACUUUAGCGCAAUUGUCAUCUAUAGAGAGUGAAUGUCGAUCGAGGCAUUGGGAGAACUAACAUGGAGGAUGAGCAUUAUGAGUUAGUUACAAACGUCAAGGCAAGGUAGGGAAUUAUUAAAAUAUGUCUUCAUUUUGAGCCGCUAUGCAAUCUAACCUAUUUGCGUACGAAAUAAAUCCAAAAAAUCUUUCUUUAAAUGGUGUAUAUAUUGGAGAGUUUCUUUUAUUUGGUUGGACAUAUCCACGAUUACAUCCAAACUUUGCAAUGUAAAAGAUUUGAGAGGAUAUUGCUUGGACGCUUGGGUAAGAAAAAGAUAUAAGUUCAAUUUGGGAGGUUCGGACGUGUAGACUUCGGUGCAUUAAACUUUGAUGGAGAAAUUUUUAUGUGGACAGCCGCCAAGGGCCCUAGUUGUGAAUACAAUGAGCUCUCCUAUCAAAUUUCCUAUGGACUUUAAUUGCCUACUUGGAAUUUUCUUCUUGGUCAUACAAAAGAGAGCGCGCGGGGCUAGGAAGCGGAUAGGGAAAAAGAAAUAAAUAUAAAGCAAGGUUUUGCUUUUUUGGGUUUCCUUUCCUCGAGAAGCCUAAUAGUGGAAUUCCAUUAGAAAUUGGGUCAAUGGGUCACCGCAUGAAGAGUAAAAGAAAGAACAUACAAACGUUCUUGAAUUAGCUAUGCGAAGGGUUUUGCUAUGGGCUUAAACACUCGGUGAUUUGCCCUAUGAGCUUUACAUGCAAUUAAGUUGUUUAUUUAAAAACAUAUUUGGAUUUAGUCUUAAUCUAGGUAUGGGAAACAUUCGAAUAUAUGAGUAAUUGUAGUUCUGAUUCUCAAAUUAUAGUGAAUUAUUGGUUGCUGGCUCUCUCUAGGGAUAAAUACCAACACUUAGAUCAAAUCAUGUAAAUAUUUGAUAUCUUUGUCAUUUCCCGUUUAUUUCUUCAAUGUUCUUGCGUUGAUUUAAUAGCAAGAUCUUCUCAAUUUUCGCGUUAAUUUUGCAACAUGUCUACUUUUGAAAUUCCUUUAGUCAAGAUCACUUUCUCCUAAAAGCUCCAAUACAAAGUAGAUUAACAAAUCUUCCAUGUUUUGAACCAUCCAAUUUCCAAAUGUUUUCUAGUGCAGUUUUUCACUUGUACGUACGGACUCAUAGGUAUAAUCCACCAUCACCCUUGCAAAGGGAGCAAUUUAAAUAAUGUUAAAUGGGCACUCAUUUAUGUUAAACUAGCUACAUUAAGUGAAUCCAAAAGGCAAUCUGUUAUGCUUUUUCUCUAGUGUGAAAUGUGUAAAAGCUAAAGAGUAGUAAUUUUCAAUAUUUUGAAAAUAUAAGCAUUCUAAGUUAGUCGAGCUGAACAAUAAGAAAAGAGCACUUCAAUGAACCCAUUACCAUAUUUACAUCCUAUGUUAGUUUCCCAAGCAAGAAACCAAUUCACUGUGAGUAAUCCUUUAACAUUUACUAAUUUUCAUAUUACCAUCAUUUAAUUGCAUUCUAACUAUUCAACAUGAUCUUGCGCUCUAGUUGGGAGCCAAGUAAAUCACUAGGCCUGUGCUUUUCAUUGGAUAGAGAUUGAAUUAAUCAUAUAAAUGACAAAAGGUGACUAGGCUAGACUAGACUUAACGUGUGGAACAAGUUAUGCCAAUAGAGACAUUUAGAAAAUUCCCCACCAAUGAAAUCUGGUCAUUGUGUAAGUUACAUACCCCGCCCUGCGCGCUACUUAACCUUGUCACCAAAAGGAGCUGACGUUCAUUCAUCACUAAAGAUGACCAAGACUUUGGCAAUGACCACAACUUCUACACUCAAGCACAGGCAUCGCUGAACUCCUAUAAAGUUACUCUAACUUGCAAAAAAGAAGAGUGUGAUACAUAUAAAGUUUGGUCACUCGAAUUUGCAGUCAUGAAAAAGAGAUCAUUGUGGGCGCUUGUGGCGAUUUGGGGUAUCGCAUGUUUAUGUGGCUCUCGUGGGUGUCGGGAGCAAGAAAGGGUUGCACUCUUAGCGCUUAAUGCCACAUUCAAUCUGAUAUAUGGGGUGGAUGCCGAGGGAUCAUAUUUCGACUGUUGCAACUGGGAUCGUGUUAAAUGCAAUCCCACCACAGGGCGAGUCACUCAUCUGAUGCUCUUCGAGUCGAGAUAUUACCGUUUCGGCUUCAAAACUUGGUACCUAAACGCUUCUCUACUUCUUCCCUUUGAAGAACUCAAGAGCCUUGGCUUGUCCGACAACUAUUUAGGAGGGUGGAUUGCACCAGAAGGUAUAAAUUCACCGUUCGUUCAUUUCCUACAAAAGAAGAGAUACUCAUUAUCUAAUGAACUCAAAACUUAACCAUGUCUUGGUCCUUACUCACUUCCUGCAUUAUAGAUGAGUAUGUCCACAUCAUCAUUAAUCCACAAUUCUACGACAUAUUUCCCCCUAAAAUGGCAAUACUGGUUUACGCGUGUACUCAAAUAGAUUUCCGCAAAUUUUACUGCUUUUCAUUGUUUGUUUGCAGAACCAAACCUGUUAUCUUCAAGGCUGAGCAAACUAGAGGUGCUUGACUUGAGUGUUAACUCUCUGGAUAAUUCUAUUCUAUCCAUUCUUGGUACAAUUCCAUCUCUCCGAAGUUUGUCCCUCCGUCGCAACAAUUUGAGCGGGACUUUACACGUGAAUGGUAAAUUUCUCUAGCUUGUUCUCUGCUCAUAAUUCAGUACAAAAUUGCCAUCCUUGACUUGAGUUAACACUAUUUGUGGACAAAUUAGGUGGUUUCAGUAAUUUGAUGGAGUUGGACAUAAGUGAUAACGCGGUGGCUACUAUUGAAGGUACUAUUUCAAUUUGCACGAAGGAGCCUCGUUUUUAUUCAUAUAUUAAACUAACUAGCGUACGAGUCAUGCGGACUCUUUAACACCUUUACAUGGGCUUCACAAAAUGAAUAUAGAAGUCAUAUAUUGCAAACCCCUUCUCUUUCAUAUAGAAAUGUUGUUGAUUCAAAAGAUUCCUAUCCCGAGGCAUCCACAUGGGUGCUUUCAUUAUUUACUUUCGAUAAUUCUAUUCUACCUGUUCGUGGUAUAAUUACGACUCUUAGGUGUCUAUUCUCCAAACAACAUUUGAAUGGGACUUUACAUGUGAAUGAUAGUUUCUCCAGCUUAUUCUCUAUUCAUAAUUCCGUACAAAUUCACCAUCCUUGAUUUGAGUUAGCAAUGUUUGUGGACAAAUUAGGGGAUCUCAGUAAUUUAAAGGAGCUGGACAUAAGUAAUAAUGCAGUCGAUGCAGUGGCUACUGUUGAAGGUACUGUUUCAGUUUUCAUGCAGAAUCCUCGUUUGUAUUCAUAAAUUAAAGUGACUAGACUGCGAUUCAUGCAUGCUCUUUCAUAUCUUUACAUGUGCUUCAUAUUACGAAUAUAGAAGUCAUAUAUUGCAAUCCCCUUCUCUUUUUGUAUACAAAUGUUGCUGAUUGAAAAGAUAUCUAACCCGAGACAUCAGUGUGGGUGCUUUCACAACUUACCUGCCAAGCAAGUUAAAUUACUUGGAAUUUUAUUGCUAGGCAUCAAAAACUUGAGCCACUUAGAGAACCUCCACCUAGAUUAUGUCUACUUGAAGCAUGUGGCGACCGUCGUGCGAGCAUUAAGGACACUGUCAUCUCUGAGGAUCCUUUCCCUCCAGUGUAAUAUAGUAGAAGGAACAAUUACUACUCAAGGUUAGUCAAACCCGUAAGUGAAUGUAUAUUAACAAUAAUGCUCCAUUCGUUUCAUAGAAAACAACUUUCAAGAAAAUAUUUUUCAAAUUUUUCAGCGUUCGAGUCGUAAAUGAGGAAAUCAUUUUCCAUUCUCUUUCUUUCACCUAGACCUGUUUUCCUCUGUGCACUCUUUUUAGUUAUUUUAUUGUUUUUCUAUUUUCUUUUUCUAGAAAAUUGAAUUUUUAAUUCUUAAUUUCUUUCUUUCUUUCUUUCUUUCUUUCUUUCUUUCUUUCUUUUUCCUUCUUCCUCAGUUGAUUGUUGGCUACAACGAUGGCAAGCAACCAACCACAGGUGAGGAACAAGCUCGCUGAUCUGACGAGGUUCGAGCUCAUUAGCCUUGAGCAAUCUUGACCUCGUCAGUGACCAGUGAUCGGACGAACAAGAAGGACAAAAAAAGAAAAAGAAAAAUAAUUAAAAAAUCUAUGUUUUAAAAUUAAUAUAUAUAUAUAUAUAUAUAUAUUAUUGAAAGGAGUGCACGGAUGAAAAUCAAAUUAGAUUUUUCAUACUAAAUGGUGGAAAAUAUUUUCUAAUUCAUUUUCAGGUAACCGAGCACGAGAAAAUAUUGUCAUUUUCCUAGAAAUGAAUUCUUGAAAAAAAUUUUCUAGAAAACAAAUAGAGCCUAACUUUUUUAUUAAAGAAGUUCCAUUCACUCAUGAUAUCUCUAUACCAUUUCUUGAUUAUGCUUGUGUAAGGAAAUCCGAUGUUCAAUAAUCUUUUGAUUUCUGGGGAACCUAGAAAUGACUUCUUGAAAAACAUUUUCUAUAAAACAAAUAGAGCCUAACUUUUUAUUAAAGAAGUUCCAUUCACUCAUGAUAUCUCUGUACCAUUUCUUGAUUAUGCUUGUAUAAGGAAAUCUGAUGUUCAAUAAUCUUUUGAUUUAUGGGAAGAUUUCCAUAACUUAGUAAGUUGGAAAAACUCUUCUUGGAUGGUUCUUCAUUCAACACAAGCAUAGGAAUCCUUUCCAGCCUUGGUCCGUUGACAUCUCUUAGAUUGUUGUCCUCAUCCAGCACCAAUCUAAGUGGCAACCUAUUAGAUCAUAGUAAGUUCUGAUCUCUCAGUGUAAAUGCUGGACUUGAAAUGGAUCCUUGAUAUACUUCAAUGUCCUCUUUGCAUGUACCGAUAUAUCUCAUUGUAGUUGAAUUGACUUGUGAUAUCAAUAACAGGCUUGUGUAACCUGGUAAAACUAGAAGAGUUGGAUCUUAGCUUUAACGGAAUUACUGGCGGGCUUCCUACAUGUUGGCGAAACAUGUCCUCUAUUCGGAUUCUGAAUCUUGAAGACAAUGAAUUUACAGAUAGUGUCGUGUCAUCUCCCUUCACUAGUCUUACAUCUCUCGAAUUUCUUUCCACUUCGGGUAACCAUUUUGAUAUCCCCUCAUCACUCGGGCCACUUGCAAACCAUUCAAGACUUAAGGUGCUAAUUCUUGAUGACACCAAACUAACAAUUGAUACCAAAGUUGCAUCUUUGAUCCCGAGGUUCCAGUUGAUGGUUUUAAGUAUGUCAAAUAGUCCAUCAAGAGGAUUCGAAUUGACUUCUUUGGGCUUUCUCAAGCAUCAAUAUGACCUUAGAAUUUUGGAUCUCUCCUUGAAUUACAUUUCGGGUCCCUUUCCAGCUUGGUUGUUGGAAAACAACACCAAGUUGGAAAAGCUUUUUAUGGCAAAUAACUUAUUUACAACACUUGAGGUUCCAUCAAUGACCCUUUUUAAUCUUUCAGAAUUGGACAUAUCCAACAACAACAUGAGAGGAGAGCUCACUACCGAAUUUUGCGCAAAUGUCCCAAAUAUGUCCUACCUUAAUCUAUCAGCCAAUAGAUUGGAAGGGAAUAUUCCACCUGAACUGGGUAGUAUCAAAUCCUUAUAUGUCUUAGACCUGUCUAGCAACAAUUUCUUAGGAGGACUACCUAUCCAGUUACUAGAUAGUAAAUUGGGUCACCUCAACGUAGCAUAUAACAAAUUGCAAGGAGAAAUUGUACUUUCCGACCACACCAUGAACCCACAUUUGUCACGUUUGCGGUUAGACCACAACUUGUUCACUGGAAGUCUCUUCUUUCUUUCAUCACUCGUAGAUUUGUGGGUAUUGGACGUUAGCAACAACAAUUUCACCGGCAAGCUUCCCAGAUUGAUUACAAACAUGUCAUUACUUUUGGCCCUUGACUUGUCCAAAAAUCAGUUGGAUGGCCUCAUCCCUCAAGAAAUCUGCUAUCUUGGUGACCUUGAGUAUUUUGAUUUGUCUGACAACAAUCUCUCCGGUCCAUUACCAUUUUUUAUCUCAAAGUCGAUGCUUCACAUCCAUCUAAAUAGGAACAAAUUGAAUGGUACACUCGUGCAUGCCCUCUCUAACAGCUACGGUUUGGUGACCUUGGAUCUAAGUGAAAAUGAGUUCUCCGGAAGAAUACCCUAUUGGCUAGGUAACUUCUCUCAAUUGAGCAUUCUUUCACUGAAAGGUAAUAGCUUCUAUGGAACAUUUCCCGAGCAAUUGUGCAAAUUGAAAAGCUUAAGUAUGAUCGAUCUUUCUGAAAAUAAUCUUUUUGGUCCAUUACCUAGUUGCUUGGGACCCAUGGAUUUAUCCAAAGAUUACACCGAUAAGGUAAUUUCAUCAACAACGGAAAUGGGAGAUGUAAUUAUAGGAUGGUCACCUUGGUCUUAUGUGAGGACAAUUAAAAGCCAUCCUGAGUCCUUCCAUAUAAAAAUGAAAGAAGAAUUUCAAGCUCCACAUACUGUUGGGUUCACAAUGAAAGGAAGGUUUGAUUCUUAUAAAGGCUACGCACUUCUUAAAAUGGUGGGAUUAGAUUUUUCUUGCAACCAGUUCAGCGGCGAGAUCCCACCAGAGAUAGCAAUCUUACAAGAAAUGCUUACGUUGAACCUGUCACAUAACAAGCUUACAGGACGUAUACCAAUGUCAUUGUCGAGCCUCACGAAGAUAGAGAGUAUUGACCUUUCCUACAACAACUUGAUUGGUUCUAUCCCUGAAGAGCUUACUUAGUUGAAUUCCUUGGCAGUCUUCAAUGUGUCUUACAACAACUUGUCAGGAGCCAUACCACACAAAAAUCAAUUUGGGACAUUCAUUGAAAACAAUUACUAUGGAUACCAUCUUUUGUGUGGACUGACGUUGAGUAAGAAGUGCUCGACAACCAUUAAUGUUAAUUGCUUAGCAACAAAAUCAUGCGCGACAACUAAAGAAGAUGGUUUCAUAGAUGAAGAGACAUUCUAUAUCAGCUUCGGAGUGUCAUACACAAUGGUUGGACUAGUAAUUCCGGUUGUUCUGUUCAUCAACCCCCAAUGGCGAUAUGGAUGGUUUCACUAUGUGGAACUGGUUAUCACCACAUGUCAAAGCUUGUUCAUCACAUGCUACUAUUUUGUGCAAGACGGUUUUCGAAAAUUGUCUAGAGGCCAAACAUUUUAGGUUCUCUCACUUUGCAUUUCCAAGUAAUGGCAGGAUUGGGUUUUUCUCCUAUUGUUUGUUAUUGUCAUUGAUCAACAUUGGCCUUAAUGUGGAUCUAUUAGGUGUAAGUUCUUACCUUCAGAACUGAAUAAGGUCUUGUUCUACUUUCCUUGAAGACAAUACACAGCGAGAUCCUCCCUCUUUCGAAAAGGUAUUUUUACGUAAUUGCUUGCUCAUCUCUAUUUGGUCAGUGAUCAUACUACUAACAAUGACAAACAACACGAGAAAAACACAGCUAUCUCUUCUCACCAUUUUUGUUUCUGCGGUAACAAAUUUGCUUUCCUUUCUGAAUAAAAGUUUUAGUCUCCGUAUAUCACUUGGUCCAUUCGCAAACCAUUCGAGACAUAAAACUCCUCUUGCUUGACAAUAUAACACAAACAACUGAAUCUUCUUCAAAGUCUUAGGCUCAUGGCCAAUCCACAAUUUGGUUAGGACAUCGAUUUCCGUCUAACUUUUAUGAAGGUUUAGUUGUUCUUGAGUGUCUCCUGAGAUGGUUAAAUUCACGGUCAAAAUUGCAUUUUUAUGACUACUUUCGUUGUUCCUGUCUUUGUGGAAUCGUUCUAACAUUUUGCUAGGAGCUUUGCUCUAGCUUAGAAAAAGAAGUACGGCAUUGAGGCAUGCCUUGUUCAGUAUGAAAGAGAACAAAUUUGUUGUCCAGAUGUCUAGGCCAAAAUGCGAGCAAGAACCAACCCGGAUCGAGGCCCAGGUUGGUGCAAAUGUAUGAUUUCUAUUGUAAACAUUCCAUUCAUACGAGAAGGUCAGCACUGCUGCCAUUUUUACAAAUUACUAGAAAAACGUAACAGGCGGUAUGUCAUUCAAAGUAAUAGAAACAACUAGCAGAUAAUCAUGAGCCUAUACUCAAUCAAGAGCAAAAAGAAACCGGACUCCUUUUUCGUAGUAAGAAAUUACUUCAACGCUUUAUGGUGGUUUCUACGAACAUACAAAAAAUGCAGCUUUGACAAGCAGUUUUGAGGACAUUCAUUCUGUUAUAAGAACAUUGGUCAUGAGAAUAUAUAUUAAAAAAAAGUGAUGGUUGAUAUAAAAAGUAUAUCAUGUAUAAUAUUACCUCAUCCCAAAGUACAUACCAAGUAAGAAUUGGUCCUUCACCUAUAUAUCUAGCAUAAUAGACCAUCUGGUGCACAUAUAACUAAUAAUGAGUAAUAUUCCGACACAAUGAUCAAACAAGCCUACUUUCACAAUAUUACUUUUUAGACAAGGAACAAUAUUAGUUAUGAUUGACAUUCCUUGUUUAAGAGUUGUCCUUGUUUCUGAAACCUUGGUUAGCAUCGUGUAAUAUAUUCCGUUUUUUAAACUCAAUUGCAACAGGGCAUCACAUCAAUUUAGUAGCAAGUUAUGGCAUUCUAAUGGGAAAGGACUAGGCGGCACCACUUUUUUUUAGUAUAUGCAACCAACUAUUGAUCUGAACAGUUGGUAAACUCUUCUGCAAAAUGACAUCCCUCACAAUACGUCUCAAUUCCCACAUUAUACGUGUUACAGAUUAAGAAGCAUUGAAGCUCGUACUGGAUAAGGCCAAAAAUGCUUAGAUUAUCAUAAGUAACCACAGAGCACCAGCAACGGACCUCACCCAUAGCAAGAACUUCCAAUGCAUCUUCAUACUUUUGCCUCCUUAUAAGUUGCUUUGCAUUUGAGUGAAGCAUCAAGCCCAUCAUCACAGCCCUGGAGAAAAUCCAAAAGGUUUUUUUAAAUGCCAAUUCAAAACAAUAGCAGCUAAGCAGCAGAUUGUGAGAAAAGACUGCUUGAGAAAGGAUUUCUUGAAAACAAGUUAGUCUACUGCCAAACCUGUGAUCAGUUUCAGAUCCCAUAUUUACUUUCUUUCCACUCUGAUCUUCAAGUUCUAUGUUGAAGUCUUCCAGUGGCAAUUAGCCAUCUGCAUGUCUCUUAGCCAAUGCAGUGGCAGCUGCUCUGUGUUUAGAAGGAUAUACACAUUUAAUUAUAUGAGUGGAUGUGCACAUACACGCACAGUAGCCAGAAAGACUACUGUCUCUGAAAACAACAAACACGCUGGCCAAUAUCAUCAAAAAAUUAAUACAGGAAAGGGUACCACAAGAGCAGAUAAGCAUGUCCAUGUAAGUGAACAUCUGUAGGUAUGUAUAUCCAGAUUGCUAGGCUCAUCAGAGCUUCUGGCCAAGCAUAGAAAUUUUAUGUCGUAAUUAUAAACAAGUCACUUUAUCAAGACAUGCAGUCUUCUUUUGAAUAAUAAUAAAGUCCCGUGCUCAGAGCCGAAUGCCUCUUUAAGUAUCAAGAUGCACUGCCUCAUGAGUUAAGUAACGUACGCCACACUAAGAAUGUUGAUUGGUCCCAUGACUAUACGCAAAGUUGCUAAAAAGGGGUGAAAACCAAACUGAAUAUGCAUGUGAAAUGCCUGAUGAAUGAUUGAUUUGGUGUUCGCUGCUCAGAGUUAAAGUGAGCUUGGAAUGAGGAGAAAGCAUCUUCCGAUGCACCAAAGCUAUUUAAAAACUUCUGCACCACAGAAACGCCAAAAGCUUCAGACUGAGCAUUAUUAACCAAGGAAGGCAUCUCUUGAACUCAGACACGCUCAUCCUAAGACCACAAAUUGCAUUGCUAUUUGACUCAGACCUGUUCUGGAAAAGCCGAGGCAUUUUGAGUUCCUUCACCUAUAACAAGAAUAUGAAGCUUGCUGCCAUUGGUAAAAGAGAAAGGGAGAUGUAAUUGAUACACUGAAUGUAGAGAAUUCUUAGCCUCACCAAAUAUGAGCCCCCUCUAAUUCACUCCAAGCACGAUUUAUCAAAACCAUCAACCGAAUAAUGAAGAGAAUGGAAAGAAUAAUAGAGAUAGAGAGCAGCAGAAGCCUGCUUUCGAAACGCAAGCUGCCAUUCACCACAUUAUAUUUUACAGGGCCAGUCCAACGAGGUGUAUGAUCCAAUAACAAAUACCCAACUUUUCAGAAAAAUUCAGCAAAAUAAACAUAUUCCUCACAAUGUACAUAAUAUAAACCAAGAAACAGAAAAUAAAUUCACCAUAUAUUCGAUGCAACGAAUCCAAUAAGCAAGGAAAGUCAACAACUUUGGUCAAUCAAUCAAUUAGUACAAUCCGCAGCCGGGAACCCAAAAAUCAACAGCACCAAUAAGCUUAAUCAUUUUAGUGCUCGAAAGUCACCAUGCUUUUACUGCGAUUAAUCACCCGAUCGACGAAGCAUUCGGCUCGACCGAUGGCUUCACUAACCUAAACCCCAUGCAUAGGUUCUAAUCAUUUCACAACUACAGCUCACCAUGCUCCACUAUGCUUAAUAAAGCGAUCAAGUGAAUCAGAUCUGGAGAAAUUAAGCUCCGGCGACGCGGACUUCGAACGCAGAAUGGACCCGCCGACUACAAUCGCCGAUCGCCACUCUUCAUCUUCUGCGUCUGAGAAUGGCGAGAGAUGAGGCGGAACAACCGGCGAUUGUAAUCGGCCGGACGGCUCACAUCAUGAAGUUCCCCUCCUCCCCUGUCUGCGCUCCCGAUCGUCGCCUCCACUUCGAGGCGGCCGCGUCUCGCCAUCGCGUCGACGGCGCAGGUCCCUCCCGCCGCUCUCGCGUCGCUCUUCGUGGGGAUCUCUCUGGCUCCAUUGCUCGUCGGACGGGUCACGUUCGUGAUCGGGGCCCGUUUUGAUGCCCUUGGGUCGCCCUUCUGGUUUCCUUCCUUUUACGUGGCGGGAAUGGUGUUGGCUCGGGCGACCCGUAAUCCAAUGGAUUCUCUAGUAAAUAGGUUUUUCUUAAUCUGAGAAGUCGAUGGUAUCUUUUUUAUUCUAGUGAUUUGUUGUUUUGAUGUCUUAGCCAAAUUCAAGCAAGAACCAACCCGCAUCGAGGCCCGGAUUAUUGGUGCAAAUGUAUGAAAAUGGCUACUAGUCAUUCAUAGGGCUCCCAACCAAGCCUGGUCAGGCCAUGUGGCCGAGGGAAUAACCUCCCAUAUCGAAUUUAAAUUAUUUUUAGAGUCUUUUGAUGUCUUACGUGAAUUUUCUUUACUUUGUGAGAGUGCUUAGAUUUUUUUUUUUUUUUUUGCUUUUGAGAAUUCUCUUUGCCGAUUCUCGCUCUCUCGAGGAGUAAUUGUGAGAAAGCUACGGAUCACAUAGCGUCAACCUUAUUGAUUGUAUCAAAUAUGAAGAAGCAAAUUUAACAUGCAAAAGAGAAUUAUUAUAUCAAAUAGCAUACAAGUAAGGGAUCAUGCCUUUUCUUUUUUCUUUUUUUCUCAUAAGAGGGGAAAAAAGGGGAAAAAAGCCACACAAAAAAUUCUAAAUUAUGUCUACUGUAACAUAUUUACCCUAAAAAUUUUGUUACGACACAAAAAAUCUCAAAUUUGUACUCAUGUGACAUAUAUAUCCUAAACUUAUAUCCAUGCGACACAUUCAUAUCCAAAUUUAUGGUAUCACCAAACAAAAAAGAAAAUUGUUUGUGGUAUAUGUGUUGCACAAUAAUGAGUUGGGGUUUUUUGUGUCACGGAAAAAUUUGGGAUAAAUAUAUUAAUAAGUUCAGGGCUUUUUGUGUUAUAAAAAAAAGUUUUGAGUAAAUCGUAUCAAAAUGGAUAUAGCUUAAACUUUUUUGUGAUUUUUUUUCAAAAAAGAAAAUAGAGAAUUUUUGAAAAACCAUCCCCACUUUUGGAAAUACACAAUUUGCAUUUAUAAACUACCCCUCCACCCCAUUUUUUUUUUUUUUUAUCUCUAUCUCUCUACCUUCCGCCACACCAAUGUCGGCUUCUCUCUCCAUGGCCACUAGAGCUCGAAAGUCGCACACAAGGCCAUGGCCACAAGCUCAAAGGCAACAUUAAUGCUUAUGGCCUUCAAGCUCAAAAGUCAUGCGAUUAGGCGAGCUCGCUAUGGCCACUAGAUUCGACGUCAAGUUCAACAACGGAAUUUGGUUAGCGAUGGACAUGAGCUCGAGAUAGGAGAGAGGAAAUAGUUGAGGCUGGUGGCUUGAUGACGCAGCAAGUAUAGACGGUGCCAGGAGUUUCAAGUCAUACCCUUAGGUUUAAGUAUCUUGAGGUGGGUUUUGUGGUAGGUUUUGAAUGGUGAGUCGGGAGGGGCAAAGUUGGGGAAAAAAUGACAGAUCUGUAAUUAAAAUUAACAUCAUAACUAACCUCAAAUGCAACUUGAAGUGGAAUUUGCUAAAGUGAGGAUGGUUACUACAACCAUGAUAACAAUCUUCCAACUAGAAUACUACAGUUCCACAUUCACCUUCUCCACACAAAGCUCUCUCUUCCACACCGAAUCUUCCACUGCAUGUUUGGGCUAUGUGAGCCUAAUGAGAACUGGAGAGCAAAGCAAAUUGAAGUGUAACAUGCUGUCAUGCGAACUCAAUAGUUCUUAUCAUUUCGCAUCAUGAUGUACUAUCUUCAAAACGUAGAGCAAGGAUCAUCGCAAGGACCUCUUUGGGCUCCCAUACACGACAAACUCUAGCACAAAGCUACUAGUAAAGUUGUCCAAUUAUAUCAGUAUGGGAUCUCCACCAAGAAGGAAUGAGCAUGUAGGAAAGUAAAUUUGCGUGCAAUCCAACUUCCUAACUCAAUGGUCAUUCUCUUAUCUCACUUAUUUAAUUAAUGUCAAGUGUCCCAAUCUUAGUUAAAGAAAGAUUGGGGUCCCAGCAACUUCAGAGGUUAAAUCGACUCAGUUAAUCCCUUUUACAUAUAAAUAGAUUACAAAUGUCAAGCCAAUGUAGAGAACUCACCAGACAUGAUAACUAAACAUGUUCCUUGUAGAGAGUGAACAUCCAUCGAGGUGUUGGGAGAAUUAACAUGGAUGAUGAACAUUAUGACUUAGUUAUAAACGUCAAGGCAAGGUAGAGAAUUGUAAAAAAUAUGUCUCGAUUUUGAGCCCUUAUACAAUCCAACCUGAUUGGGUAAGAAAGAAAUCCAAAAAAUCUUUCUUUGAAUGGUGUAUAUAUUAAAGAGUUUCUUUUAUUUGGUUGGACGUAUUCAUGAUUACAUCCAGACUUUGCAAUGUAAAAGAUUUGAGAGGAUAUUGCUUGGACACUUGGGUAAGAAAAAGAUAUAAGUUCAAUUUGGGAGGGUUGGACGUGUAGACUCCGGUGCAAUAAACAUUGAUGAUGAAAUUUUCAAAUGGACAGUGGCCAAGGGCCCUAAUAGUGAAUACAAUGAACUCUGUACGGUCAAAUUUCCUGUGGGCUUUUAAUUGCCUACUCGGAAUUUUCUUUUUGGUCAAACAAAAGAGAGCGUGUGGGGUAAGGAAGUGAUCAAAGAAAAGAAAAUAAAUUAAAAGCAAGGUUUUGCUUUUUUGGGUUUCCUUCCUCGAGAAGCCUAAUAGUGGAAUUCCAUUAGAAAUUGCGCCACCGCACGGAAAGUAAAAGAAAGAACAUACGGACAUUCUUGAAUUAGCUGUGCAAAGGGUUUUGCUUGCAUGCAAUUAAGUUUUUUAUUUAUAAAGUUAUUUGGAUUUGGUCUUAAUAUAAAUAUGGGAAACACUCGAGUGUGUUAACGACUGUAAUUCUAAUUUUCAAAUUAUAGUGAAUUGUUGGUUGUUAGCUCUGUUUGGGGAUAAAUGCCGAACACUCGGAUCAAAUUUGGUAAAUAUUUGGUAUCUUUGUCAUUCCCCAUUUAUUUCUUCAAUGUUCUUGUAUUGAUUUAAUUGGAAGAUCUUCUCAAUUUUCACGUUAAUUUUGCAACAUGUCUACUUUUGAAAUGCCUCUCGUCAGACAUGAUGACCAAAUAUGUUCCUUUGACGAAACUUAAGCUUUACUUGAGCACAGUUGUCAUUUAUAGAGAGUGAACGUCCAUCGAGGCGUUGGGAGAACUGAUAUGGAUGAUGAACAUUAUGACUUAGUUCUAAAUGUCAAGGCAAGGUAGAGAAUUUUUAAAAUAUGUCUCGAUUUUGAUCUGUCAUGCAAUCUAACCUGAUUGGGCAAGAAAGAAAUCCAAAAAAAUCUUUCUUUGGAUGGCGUAUAUAUUAGAGAGUUUCUUUUAUUUGAUUGGACAUAUCUACGAUUACAUCCAGACUUUGCAAUGUAAAAGAUUUGAGAGGAUAUUGCUUGGACGCUUGGGUAAGAAAAAGAUAUAAGUUUAAACGUGUAGACUCCGGCACAAUAAACAUUGACGGAGAAAUUUUUCUGUGGACAACCACCAAGGACCCAGUAGUUAAUACAAUGAACUUUCACGGUCAAAUUUCCUGUGGACUUUAGUUGCCUACUUGGAAUUUUCUUCUUGGUCAUACAAAAGAGAGCGAGUGGAGCUAGGAAGUAGUUAGAGAAAAGGAAAUAAAUUAAAAGCAAGGUUUUGCUAUUUUGGGUUUCCUUUCCUCGAGAAGCCUAAUAGUGGAAUUCCACUGGAAAUUGGGCCACCGCACAAACAGUAAAAGAAACAGCAUACGAACGUUCUCGAAUUAGCUGUGUGAAGGGUUUUGCUAUGGGCUUAAACACUUAGUGAUUUUCCCUAUGAGCUUUACAUGCAAUUAAGUUAUUUAUUUCUAAACAUAUUUGGAUUUGGUCUUAAUUUAGGUGUGGGAGACACUCGGGUGUAAGCGAUUGUAGUUCUGAUUCUCAAAUUAUAGUGAAUUAUCUGUUGCUAGCUCUUUAUAGAGAUAAAUACCGGUACUCGGAUGAAAUCUCAUAAAUAUUUGGUAUCUUUGAUAUUUCCCAUUUAUUUCUUCAAUGUUCUUGCGUUGAUCUAAUAGCAAGAUCUUCUUAAUUUUCGCUUUAAUUUUGCAACAUGUCUACUUUUGAAAUGCCUCUAGUCAAGAUCACUUUGUCCUUAAAGCUCCAAUGCGAAGUAGAUUAACAGAUAUUCCAUGUUUAGAGCCAUCCAAUUUCCAAACGUUUUCUAGUGCAGUUUUUUCGCUUGUACGUACGAACUCAUUGGGAGAAUCCACCGUCACCCUUACAAAGGAAGCAAUUUGAAUAAUGUUAAAUGGGCACUCAUUAAGUUAAACUAGCUGCUUUUUGUGAAUCUGAAAGGCAUCUGUUAUGAUUUUUCUCUAGUGUGAAAUGUGUAAAAGCUACAAGGUAGUAAUUUUCAAUAUCUUGAAAAUAUAAGCAUUCUAAGUUAGUCGUGCUGAACAAUAAGAAGAGAGCACUUUAAUUACCAUAUUUACAUCCCAUGUUAGUUUCCCAAGCAAGAAACCAGUUCAUUGUGAGUAAUCCUUUAACAUUUACUAAUUUUCAUGUUACCAUCAUUUAAUUGCAUUCUAACUGUUCAACAUGAUCAUGAUCUUGCGUUCUAGUCGGGAGCCAAGUAAUUCACAAGGCCUAUGCUUUUCAUUGGAUAAAGAUUGAAUUAGUCAUAUAAAUGAUAAUAGUGACUAGGCUAGACUAAACUUAACGUGUGGAAAAAAGUUAUGCCAAUAGAGACAUUCAGAAAAUUCCCCACUAAUGAAAUCCGGUCAUUGCAUAAGUUACAUUCCCCAUCCCACACGCUAAUUAACCUAGUCACCAAAAGGAGUUGACCUACAUUCAUCACUAAAGAUGACCAAGACUUUGAUAGGAGCUCACCUACAUUCACCACUGAAGAUGACCAAGACUUUGGCCAUGACCACAACUUCUACACUCAAGCACAAGCAUCGCUGAACUCCUAUAAGUUGCUCUAACUUGCAAAAAAGAAGUUAACUCAAGAGUGUGAUACAUAUAAAGUUUGGUCACUUGAAUCUGUAGUCAUGAAAAAGAAAGCAUUGUGGGGGCUUGUGGUGAUUUGGGGUAUCGCAUGUUUAUGUGGCUCUCGUGCGUGUCGGGAGCAAGAAAGGGUUGCACUCUUAGCGCUCAAUGCCACAUUGGACCUGACAUAUAGGGCGAACGCCAGGGGAUCAUAUUUUAACUGUUGCAGCUGGGAAGGUGUUGAGUGCAAUCCCACCACUGGGCGAGUCACUCAUCUAAUGCUCUCUGGUAUGAGAUAUUACCGUUUUGGCUUCAAAACUGGGUACCUAAAUGCUUCUUUACUUCUUCCCUUUGAAGAACUCAAGACCCUUGACUUGUCCGACAACUAUUUAGGAGGGUAGAUUGCACCAGAAGGUAUAAAUUCACCGUUCGUUCAUUUCCUAUAAAAGAAGAGAUACUCAUUAUCUAAUGAACUCAAAACUUAACCAUGUCUGGGUCCUUACUCACUUCCUGCAUUAGAGAUGAUUAUGUCCACGUCAUCAUUAAUCCACAAGUCUACAACAUAUUUCUCCUCGAAAUGGCAAUACCGGUUUAUGCAUGUACUCGAAUAGAUUUCCACGAAUUUUACUGCUUUUCAUUGUUUGUUUGCAAAACCAAACCUAUUACCUUCAAGGCUGAGCAAACUAGAGGAACUUGACUUGAGUUAUAACUCUCUGAAUAAUUCUAUUCUAUCCAUUCUUGGUACAAUUCCAUCUCUCCGGCGUCUGUUCCUUAGGGAAACCAAUUUGAGCAGGACUUUACAUGUGAAUGGUAAAUUUCUCCAGUUUAUUCUCUACUCACAAUUCAGAACGAAAUUGCCACCCUACAACAUAUUUCCCCUUGAAAUGGCAAUACCUGUUUACGCGCGUACUUGAAUAGAUUUCUGUGGAUUUUUAUGCUUUUCGUUGUUUGUUUGCAGAACCAAACCUGCUAUCUUCAAGGCUGAGCAAACUAGAGGUACUUGAUUUGAGUAGUAACUCUCUAGAAAAUUCUAUUCUAUCCAUCUCGGUAUAAUUCCAUCUCUCCGACGUCUGUUCCUUAGUGGCAGCAAUUUGAGAAGGACUUUACACGUGAAUGGUAAAUUUCUUCGGCUUGUUCUCUGCUCAUAAUUCAGUACGAAAUCACCAUCCUUGACUUGAGUUAACACAAUUUGUGGACAAAUUAGGUGGUUUCCGUAAUUUGAUGGAGCUAGACAUAAGUGAUAAUGCUAUCGAUGCAGUGUCUACUAUUGAAGGUACCAUUUCAAUUUGCAUGAAAGAGCCUCGUUUUGUUCAUAUAUUAAACUAACUAGCCUAUGAGUUGUGCGAACUCUUUAAUACCUUUACAUGGGCUUCACAUAAUGAAUGUAGAAGUCAUAAAUUGCAACCCCCUUCUCUUUUCCAUAUAGAAAUGUUGCUCAUUCAAAAAGAUUCCUAUCCUAAGGCAUCCGCGUGGGUGCUUUCAUUAUUUACUUUGGAUGAUUCUAUUCUACCCAUUCAUGGUAUAAUUUCGACUCUCAGGUGUCUAUCCUCCAAACAACAUUUGAAUGGGACUUUACAUGUGAAUGAUAGUUUCUCCAGCUUAUUCUCUAUUCAUAAUUUUGUACAAAAUCACUGUCCUUGACUUGAGUUAGCAAUAUUUGUGGACAAAUUAGGUGAUCUUAGUAAUUUAAAGGAGCUGGACAUAAGUUAUAAUGCAGUCAAUGCAGUGGCUAUUGUUGAAGGUAUUGUUUCAGUUUUCAUGCAUAAUCCUCGUUUUUAUUCAUAAAUGAAAUUGACUAGAUUGCGAUUCAUGCAUGCUCUUUCAUAUCUUUACAUGUGCUUCAUAUUAAGAAUAUAGAAGUCAUAUAUUGCAAUCCCCUUCUCUUUUUGUAUGCAAAUGUUGUUGAUUGAAAAGAUAUCUAACCCAAGGCAUCAGCGUGGGUGCUUUCACAACUUAACUACCAAGCAAGUUAAUUACUUAGAAUUUUACUGCUAGGCAUCAAAAACUUGAGCCACUUAGAGAACCUCCACCUAGAUGGUGUCCACUUGAAGCAUGUGGGGAACGUCGUGCGAGCACUAGGGGCACUGCCAUCUCUAAAGAUCCUUUCUCUAUAGGAAAAUACAGUAGAAGGAAAACUUACUACUCAAGGUUAGGCAAACUCAUGAGUGAAUGUAUAUUCACAAUAACGCUCCAUUCAUUUCACGAAAAACAACUUUUAAGAAAAUGCUUUUCAGAUUUUCGAGCAUUGGAGUCAUGGAAAAUAUGUAAGUAAAGGAAAAUGUUUUCCUUUAAUGGAAAAAGCAUUUUCAAAAGUCGGGAUAAUGAGAAAAUCAUUUUCCAUUUUCUUUCUUUCAUCUAGACAUGUUUUCCUCCGUGCACUCUUUUUAGUUAUUUUAUUGUUUUUCUAUUUUCUUUUUUUUUAAAUCGAAUUUCUAAUUUUCAUUUUCUUUCUUUCUAUCUUUCUUUUUUCAUUCUUCCUCAAUUGAUUGUUUACUACGACAACGGCCGGCAACCAACCAUUGGCGAGGAACAAGCUUGCCGAAGGCCAAGGCCUCACUGAUUUGACGAGCUUCAAGCUCAUCGGCCUUGAGCAAUCUUGACCUCACUUGUGACCGGUGAUCGGACGAACAAGAAGAGGAAAAAAAGAAAAAGAAAAAAUAUUAAAAAAUCUAUUUUAAAAAAAAUAAAAAUAAAAUAUCGUUGAAAGGAGUGCACGGAUGAAAAUCAAAUUAGAUUUUUCAUACUAAAUGGUGGAAUAUAUUUUCUAGUUCAUUUUCAGGUUUUAGCCAAACACUAGAAAAUAUUAUCAUUUUCCUAGACAUGACUUCUCGAAUAACAUUUUCCAGAAAAGUCAUAUUUUCUGCGAAACGAAUGGAGCCUACUUUUUUUUUUAAUUUUUAUUAAAGAAGUUCCAUUCACUCAUGAUAUCUCUAUACCAUUUCUUGAUUAUGCUUGCGUAAGGAAAUUUGAUGUUCAGUAAUCUUUUGAUUUUUGGGAAGAUUUCCAUAACUUCAAUAAGUUGGAACAACUCAUCUUGGAUGGUUCUUCGUUGAACACAAGCAUAGGAAUCCUUUCCGGCCUUGGUUCAUUGACAUCUCUUAGAUUGUUGUCCUCAUACAACACCGGUCUAAGUGGCAAUCUAUCAUACCAUAGUAAGUUCUAAUCUCUCAAUGUAAAAGCUAGACAUGAAAUGGAUCCUUGAUGUACUUGAAUGUCCUCUUUGCAUGUACCAAUAUAUCUCAUUGGAGGAGAAUUGACUUGUGAUAUCAAUAACAGGCUUGUGUAACCUGGUAAAACUAGAAGAGUUGGAUCUUCGCUUUAACGGAAUUACUGGCAGGCUUCCUACAUGUUGGCAAAACAUAUCCUCUAUUUGGAUUAUGGAUCUUGAAGACAAUGAAGUUACAGAUAGUGUCGUGUCAUCUCCCCUCACUAGUCUUACAUCUCUCGAAUUUCUUUCCAUUUCGAGUAACCAUUUUGAUAUCCCCUCAUCACUCAGCCCACUUGCAAACCAUUCAAGACUUAAGGUGCUAUUUCUUGAUGACACCAAACUAACAAUUGAUACCAAAGUUGCAUCUUUGAUCCCAAGGCUCCAGUUGAAGGUUUUAAGCAUGUCAAAUAGUCCAUCAAGAGGAUUCAAAUUGACUUCAUUGGGCUUUCUCAAUCAUCAAUAUGACCUGAGAAUUCUCGAUCUAUCCUCAAAUGACAUUCUGGGUCCCAUUCCAGCUUGGUUGUUGGAAAACAACACCAAGCUAGAAAAGCUUUUUAUGGCAAAUAACUUAUUUACCACACUUGAGGUUCCAUCAAUCACUUCUUUUAAUCUUUCGAGCAUGGCCAUAUCCAACAACAGCAUGAGAGGAGAGCUCACUACCGAAUUUUGGGUAAAUGUCCCAAAUCUAUUGAGCCUUAAUCUAUCAGCCAACAAAUUGGAAGGGAAUAUUCCAUCUGAACUAGGUAGUAUAAAAUCCCUAUAUAUCUUAGACCUGUCCAGCAACAAUUUCUCAGGGGGGCUACCUAUCCAGUUACUAGAUAGUAAAUUGCAUCACCUCAAUGUAGCAUAUAACAAAUUGCAAGGAGAAAUUGUACUUUCCGACCACACCAUGAACCCAGGGUUGCUAUUUUUGCGGUUAGACCACAACUUGUUCACUGGAAGUCUCUCUUUUCUUUCAUCACUCGUAGGUUUAUGUGCAUUGGAUGUUAGCAACAACAUUUUCACGGGCAAGCUUCCUAGAUUGAUUGCAAACAUGUCAUCGCUUGUGGUCCUUGACUUGACCAAAAAUAAGUUGGAUGGCCUCAUCCCUCAAGAACUCUACAAUCUUGAUGAGCUUGAGUAUUUGGAUUUGUCUAACAACAAUUUCUCUGGUUCAUUACCAUCAUUUUUUAUCUCACAAAGGGUGCGUCAUAUCCAUCUGAAUGGGAACAAAUUGAAUGGUAUACUCGUGCAUGCGCUCUCUAAUAGCUCCUUUUUGGUGACCUUGGAUAUGAGCGAAAAUGAGUUCUCCGGAAGCAUACCCUAUUGGCUAGGUAACUUCUCUCAAUUGAGCAUUCUUUCACUGAAAGGUAAUAGCUUCUAUGGAACAUUUCCCGAGCAAUUGUGUAGAUUGAAAAGCUUAAGUAUGAUCGAUCUUUUUGGAAAUAAUCUAUUUGGUCCAUUACCUACUUGCUUGGGACCCAUGAAUUUAUCCGAAGAUUACACCGGUAAGGUAACUUCAGCAUCAUACAUUGAAGGUUUUCUUAUAGGAUGGCCACCUUGGUAUUAUGUGAGGACAAUUAAACGCGAUAUUGACUUUAAAUUUUUUAUUAUGAAGAAAUGGGAGAAAAAUUGCAAGUUCCAUAUAUUGUUGGGUUCACAACGAAAGGAAGGUUUGAUUCUUAUAAAGGCUACACACUUCUUAAAAUGGUGGGAUUAGAUUUUUCUUGCAGCCAAUUCAGCGGUGAGAUCCCCCCAAAGAUAGCAAUCUUACAAGAAAUGCUUGUGCUAAACCUGUCACAUAACAAGCUUAUAGGACGUAUACCAAUGUCAUUGUCAAGCCUCACGAAGAUAGAGAGCAUUGACCUUUCCUACAACAACUUGAUUGGUUCUAUCCCUGAAAAGCUUACUCAAUUGAAUUCCCUGGAAGUCUUCAAUGUGCUUACAACGACUUGUCAGGAGCCAUACCAAACAAAUAUCAAUUUGGGGCAUUCGAUGAAAGCGGUUACUAUGGAAACCAUCUUCUAUGUGGACUGCCAUUGAGUAAAAAGUGCUCGACAACCAUUAACGUUAAUUGCUUAGCAACAAAAUCAUGCCUGACAACUAAAGAAGAUGGUUUCGUAGAUGAAGAGACUUUCUUUAUCAGCUUCGGAGUGUCAUACACAAUGGUUGGACUGGUAAUUCCAAUUGUUCUAUUCAUCAACCCCCAUUGGCGACAUGGAUGGUUUCACUAUAUGGAACUGGUUAUCAACACAUGUCAGAGCUUGUUCAUCACAUGUUACUAUUUUGUGCAGGACAGUUUUCGAAAAUUGUCCAAAGGACAAACAUUUUAGGUUCUCUCGCUCUACAUUUCCAAGUAAUGGCAGGAUUGGGUUUUUUUUCCUAUUGUUUGUUAUUGUCGUUGAUCAACAUUGGCCUCAAUGUGGAUCUAUUAGGUCAGUGUAAGUUCUUACCUUCACAACUAAAUAAGGUCUUGUUCUACUUUCCUUGAAGAUAAUACAUGGCGUGAUCCUCCCUUUUUCGAAAAGGUAUUUUUACGUAAUUGCUUGCUCAUCUCUAUUUGGUUGGUGAUCAUACUACUAACAAUGACAAACAACAUGAGAAAAACAUAACUGUCUCUUCUCACCUAUUUUGUUUCUGCAGUAACAAAUUUGCUUUCCUUUCCGAAUAAAAGUUUUCGUCUCCAUAUAUCACUUGGUCCAUUCACAAACCGUUCGAGACAUAAAACUCCUCUUGCUUGACACUUUAGCACAAACACCUGAAUCUUCUUCAACGUCUUAGGCUCAUGGCCAAUCAGCAAUUUGGUUAGGACAUCGAUUUCCGUCUAACUUUUAUGAAGGUUUAGUUGUUAUUGAGUGUCUCCUGAGAUGGUUAAAUUCACGGUCAAACUUGCAUUUUUAUGACUACUUUCGUUGUUCCUGUCUUUGUGGAAUCGUUCUAACAUUCUGCUAGGAGCUUAGCUCUAGCUUAGAAAAAGAAGUACUGCAUUGAAGCUUGCCCUGUUCAGUAUGAAAGAGAACAAAUUUGUCGUCCUGAUGUCUAGGCCAAAAUGCGAGCAAGAACCAACCCGGAUCGAGGCCCAGAUUGAUGCAAAUGUAUGAUUUCUAUUUUAAACAUUCCACUCAUACGAGAAGGUCAGCACUGCUGCCAUUUUUACAAAUUGGUAGAAAAAAGUAACAGGCGGUAUGUCAAUCAAAGUAAUAGAAACAACUAUCAGAUAAUCAUGAGCCUGUACUCACAAUCAAGAGAAAAAAGAAGCCGGACUCCUUUUUCGUAGUAAGAAAUUACUUCAACGCUUUAUGGUGGUUUCUACGAACAUACAAAAAAUGCAGCUUUGACAAGCAGUCUUGAGGACAUUCAUUCUGUUAUAAGAACAUUGCUCAUGACAAUAUAUAUUAAUAAAAAGUGAUGGUUGAGAUCCAAAUGGGGGCAAGACAUGCAAAGUAGAAUGUCCAGGCAAUUAUUUCCAGUUGAUCUAGCAUGCAGCCCAUGGUAGGUAUGCUUAGUCGUUCUGACAUAUAAUUAAUUUGUAUUGAAAAAUAAUAAUGGCGCUACCUUUGUAGGCUUAAUCGUGUGCUAAAUCAUAUUGGCUUAUGCUUUUGGGCCCGGAAUUGGGUCAUCUAUUACAAUGGAUACAUUCUACACUUUUGUGAUAGUAUAAUGUGUCAUGAAUCUAAGAAAAAAUCUUUUACAGUCAGACUAAUGCACUGGCUAACUCAGAAAUACGUCGCGUGGUUACCAAAUUAUUUAAUAAUAUCACUGGUAGAAUACACUGAUCAUUCCGAUCCACAAUUUGAAUCGCAUAUCCUUCUUAUGGCAAAUUUACUACUUGAAAUUCUAAAUUAAGGUUCAAAAUAUUUUGGUGUGGAGCUAUUCAUCAGAUUUUCUUGUGGAAAGUAUAUCAUGUAUAGUAUUACCUCGUCCCAAAGUACAUACCAAGUAAGAAUUGGUCCACCUAUAUAUCUAGCAUAAUAGACCAUCCUGUGCACAAUAACUAAUAAUGAGUAAUAUUCCGACACAAUGAUCAAACAAGCCUACUUUCACGAUAUUACAUUUUAGACAAGGAACAAUUUUAGUUAUGAUUGACAUUCCUUGUUUAAGAGUUGUCCUUGUUUCUGAAACCUUGGUUAGCAUCGUGUAAUAUAUUCCGAUUUUUAAACUCAAUUGCAACAGGGCAUCACGUCAAUUAAGUAGCAAGUUAUGGCAUUCUAAUGGGAAAGGACUAGGUGGCACCACUUUUUUAAAGUAUAUGCAACCAACUAUUGAUCUGAACAGUUGGUAAACUCUUCUACAAAAUGGCAUCCCUCACAAUACAUCUCAAUUCCCACAUUAUACAUGUUACAGAUUAAGAAGCAUUGAAACUUGGUACUGAAUAAGGCCAAAAAUGCUUAGAUUAUCAUAAGUCACCACAGAGCACCAGUAACGGACCUCACCCAUAGAAAGAACUUCCAAUGCAUCUUCAUACUUUUGCCUCCUUACAAGUUGCUUUGCAUUCGAGUGAGCAUUAAGCCCGUCAUCACAGCACUGGAGAAAAUCCAAAAGGUUUUUUAAAUGCCAAUUCAAAAAAUGGCAGCUAAAUAGCAGAUUGUGAGAAAAGACUGAGAAAGGAUUUCUUAAAAACAAAUUAGUCUACUGCCAAACCUCUGAUCAGUUUCAGAUCCCAUAUUUACUUUCUUUCCACUCUGAUCUUCAAGUUCUAUGUUGAAGUCUUCCAGUGGCAAUUACCCAUUUACAUGUCUCUUAGCCAGUACAGUAGCAACUGGUCUGUAUUUAGAAGGAUGUACACAUUUAAUUAUAUGAGUGGAUGUGCACAUACACGCACAGUAGCCAGAAAGACUACUGUCUCUGAAAACAACAAAUACGCUGGCCAAUAUUAUCAAAAAAAUAAUACAAGAAGGUGUACCGCAAGAGCAGAUAAGCAUGUCCACGUAAACAUCUGUAGGUAGGUAUAUCCAGAUUGCUAGGCUCAUCAGUGCUUCUGGCCAAGUAUAGAAAUUUUAUGGCAUAACUAUAAAAAAGUCACUUUAUCAAGACAUGCAGUCUUCUUUUGAAUAAUAAUAAAGUCCCAUGCUCAGAGCCGAAUGCCUCUUUAAGUAUCAAGAUGCACUGCCUCAUGAGUUAAGUAACGUACGCCACGCUAAGAACGUUGAUUGGUCCCAUAACUAUAUGCAAAGUUGCUAAAAAGGGGUGAAAACCAAACUGAAUAUGCAUGCGAAAUACCUGAUGAAGGAUUGAUUUGGUGGUGGUCGCUAAGAGUUAAAGUAAACUUGGAAUGAGGAGAAAGCAUCUUCUGAUACAUCAAAGCUACUUAAAAACUUCUGCACCACAAAAAUGCCAAAAGCUUCAGACUGAGCAGUAUUAACCAAGGAAGGCAUCUCCUGAACUCAGACACACUCAUCCUAAGACCACAAAUUGCAUUGCUAUUUGACUCAGACCUGUUCUGGAAAAGCCGAGGCAUUUUGAGUUCCUUCACCUAUAACAAGAAUUCGAAGCUCGCUGCCAUCGGUAAAAUAGAAAGGGAGAUGUAAUUGAUACACUGAAUGUAGAGAAUUCUUAGCCUCAUCAAAUAUGAGCCCCCCUUAAUCACUCCAAGCACGAUUUAUCAAAACCAUCAACCGAUUAACAAAGAGAAUGGAAAGAAUAAUAGAGAUAGAGAGCAGCAGAAGGCUGCUUUGUAAAGGCAAGCUGCCAUUCACCACAUUAUAUUUGACGAGGCCAGUCCAACAAGGUGUAUGAUCCAAUUACAAAUACCCAAAUUUUCAGAAAACAUCAGCAAAACAAACAUAUUCCUCACAAUGGACAUAAUAAAAACGAAGAAACAGAAAACAAAUAGACAGGUUCUUUAUAAAUUCAUCAUAUAUUCGAUGCAACAAAUCCAAUAAGCAAGGAAAAUCAACAACUUUGCUCGACCAAUCAAUUAGUACACCUAUCCGCUGCGGGGAACCAGCGACCAAGUCAAAAUCAAGCGAAAAGAUAGACGAUUGCAACCUUCCACACACACUGGAAUGAGUACCCACAAACACAGGCACAAACAAAAGCACUCACUUGACCCGAGCAAGCCUGCUGGACUGCUCAUCCUCAGCCAUGGCCUCUUCCUUAAGCAACUUGCCCUGGUCAAGGCAGAUGCGGGUCGAGAGUAUCUUGGCGUUGCCCGUGACGCCGAGCUCGCUCAGCUUCGCCGCCCGUCACCAUCCAGCUGUGCAGCUCGACCUUGAUCACGCCGGACCACAUGCCGGCCACCUUCAGCUUUGCCGCCAUUGAUUGGUUAGUCGGGAUCGAAGAGAAGAGAAUUGACUGAAAAAUUGAAAGAUCGAGACUUUUAUAGUGUGGGAGUUUUUGCGGAAUUAGUGCCAGCUUUUCAAAAUGUAUAAGUUGUUAGAUGAAGGCAUUAUUUAAUAUUUUAAUAUUUUAAUAUUCGCCCUCAAGCACAUACUAGAUUUUGGCCUAAGACCAAUUUAUAGAAAUAUAUAACUGGGCAGGCAAACGAAGUUGUCUGAAAACAUUCGACCUCAGAACAUUUUGCUCUAAUAUCAUGUGAAAUUUUUGUGGGAUUAAUGCUAACUGUUUUUAAAACUUAAGUUGUCAAAUAGAGGCGUGAUUUAAUAUUUCAAUAUUGACAAUAUAAAUGAAGUGACAUUGAAACAUAAGCAACUAUCCAUAAGAAAUCUGUCACAAGCAAACCGCAUAUUGCAAACCACCAACACAUAUCUUAAAGGACCUUCACAAAAUAAUUCCAGUAAGUACUUCGAUUAUGCAACAGUUCCUUACCCAAUGGAGACCAGUUCAUUUAAUCUUUGGAGGUCCACAGGUUUCUUCAUGAGUGUCACUCCAUAAGACUUUUGCUCACUGCAAAAUUUAAUAGAUUUUUUAUGCUACCCAUAGAAAUUUGCAUGCAUAAGUAAACAAGAUAUAGGGGCAAUAUGAAACUCACCUGAGUUCCUGUCUUCGCUUCAUAUCCCCCUCACGUUUCUGUAAUUUCUUAGCCUUUUCCUCGAUUACGAAAUCAACAGCACUACCAACAAUUUGGUUGGUCAUGCGAAGUGCCCUCCUGGCAUUACGCUCCUUGAAGCCCAUGCCGAUGACUAGUGAUAAAGAUUCAUCGGGCACCUGCAGCUGAAAUAACCAAAAUUGAAUUGUCAGCUUGGAAAAGGGAAAGAGUCAAGGUAACUACGAGGAAAUAAGAGACGAUUUGAAAAGAAAUGGACAGUCAGAUGAAAAGUUCUUAAGCAGAAGAGUUAGACCUAUCCUGUGACAUCCAGAAUUUUCAGUACUGUUUUCUAUUAAAUUAAUCGGGCAUUUCAUUGAUGUGUCUAUAGGGUUGUUCUCAGAGCUGAUCACUCUCGAGAUAACUAGACUAGCUGGGUAUGCCAUUAAAGAAUAUUAAGGCAAUAGACUUGAGAAUUCGACCAGGAAGCGGCUUCUCAACCGUGUUCAUCUUUAGAGGUCAUUACUGCACAGUUAAAGAUCGAAUUGAGAUCAGAGAUAGGUCGGUUCGACUGAGAUGUGUGGCCGAUCGUGGGUGACUCCACUAAAUUGGAAAAUUCUCGUCGACCGGCACUAAUUUGAUUUUCUGUCGUUUUGGUACCCUGUGUUGGUAGUCGAGCCCUCGAGAUUUUCACAACAAUUGAGAGUCGCCAAUGUGUCGAGUGGGUUCAUUGUGGCUCGAAGAAAAUCGACCACGAGUCAAUUGCCCUAAAAAGUUCUGAAAACUACCCGGUAGUCUAGGUCACACUAAAAGCACGCUGGAGUGAAAUUAACCGUCGAUUUGAGUCAGAUUUCAGAAAUCGAAAGUUCAGUGAUGUCACAAGCUAUUUUAGGAACGUCAACUCAGUCUCAGAAGAUUUUUCGGAGGUCCCGAGAUUUUUACGGAAAAUGGGUUCGGACGUCGCGGAACUUGGAUGGAAAUUCAGAUUGGCUAAAUUAAUGGGAAAUUUGACUUUCGAGUUGAGCCCGUGUGUGUCGGAGAUUUAUAGAAAAUUUCUUGCGAUUUUUCUACGUCGAAAUUGGACCUCAAUUUGGGAAUUUAUUGGAGAAGUUGAAGUCAAAUGGUGAAAUUCGUAUCAUCCCCUUCCCCUAGCCCAAAAUUGACCAAUUGAGAAGUUGUGAGAGUUGUUGGUGUGGCCAAAUGAAGGCCAAGGUUUAAUACUUGGCCUAGAUUGAUUGUUGAAGAUAUUUCUUAUGGAAAAUUGACAAGGAUGGCCCACCCUCUCUCUUAUCUCCUUCCUCGCGCACGGCUCCUCUUCAUUUUUCUCUGCGGUCUCAGCUUCUGCUUCAUUUUCUUUCGGUCAAAGUCCAGCCCAGCAAAGUCCACCGAAGGAGCUGCCCUCGUCAGUUUUCCUCUCAACGCGCGUCUCUCCUGGCCCAAGCGAAGCUGCUCCUCCUCCGCAACGGUCCACUGUUCUUCAGUCAACCAAACCAGCGAGCUCCACCGUUUGUUGACCGAAGCUGCCAGCGGAUGCCCUUCUCCACUGAGGUUGGUCGGCCAUUUUCACGGUUCUUCAUCAACCCGCGCUUCCUUCUCACGCGGACAACACCGAGCGAAACCUCAUCAGUUGUUGUAGCUCCUCGCGUCCGCACGCCACACGUCUUCGUCAGUCAAUCCGCAAAGCCGAUUGACCGAACCCAGCGAAGUCUUCAUCUUGUUCGCGAAACCAGCCGUUUGCUGCUGCGUUCAUUCCCUCCAGUCAACGACGCCAGCUGAAGGUGACCGAAUUCCCCAGCUCGAAGACCAGCGGAGCCGCACGCCAGCGAAGCCCGUGAAUUCGUAUGCCUUCAGCCCAUCAAUUUCAGUCAUUCAAGUCCAGCAGUUCUUCAGCCAAUUUAGUUCAAGUUGCAGCCCAGUAAUUGAGGCCCAUCUCCUGCAAUCUUCAAGCCCAAUUCAAUCCAAGUGAAGUAAUUAGUCAAGCCCAGUUCAGCAGCCCAUCAACUGAAAUUGGAGACCCAACUUCCAGCAAAGAAAUUUGAAGCCCAUGUUCAGUCUUGAUUUAAGUCCAGUCCAAGUGAAUUAAUUGAUCAAGCCCAAUUUCAACAAAUCAAUUGCAGCCCAGCCCAUAGCUUGAAGCCCAUCUUCGCAGCAGGCCCAAUCCAACUUGAGUCUGGCCCAAAAGCAAGAACAAAUCUCAGUUGGACUGAGAUUUGUUGGGCCAAGUCUUAAGCGCGGUCCGUGUUCGCCGGUGUCGUCGAAAGUCCGAUUUCAGCCGCCGUCGCGUCGCCGUCACGGUGUUCCGAUACCCGCUUUUAAUCAAGUGAGUUUUACUCACUAAAGCUUUAUUAGUUUGCUAAUUAUGCCUUAGGGUUGAUUAGAUUUAAUUAAUUGCAAUUAGGUGGUUAGAUUAGGUUAGAACAAUUAAAUUAGUGACUUGAGGAUGCAUGUUAGGUGGUUAGACCUAGCUAUUAGCAAGUAGAAAUGUUUGGUUAUUUAUUGAAGGCAUCUCGGGAUUUUUCCCGACCCGUUUCGGGCUCCAAUAAGGCAAUAUAGGCCUAAAUUGGAUUUUUAAUGUUUAUUUAUUUAUUUUUCGAAAUUAAUUAUUUAAUUAAUUAUUUUUCCGGAAAUUCAACCGGGAUGGCCGGUGACCGGAAUUUCGUGCUGAUUGUCGUGGUGCAGACCGUUUAUUUAUUUGAGCUCUACGUUGUGUGGAAUUGAAUUUAUUGUGGAAUUUUAGGAAUUGUCCUAAAUUGGUUGUUAUUGAAUAUUUGAUUGGUAAUGGCCAAGCAUGGCUAUAUAGCGCCAGUACGUUGAUGGGCUAUAUAGUAGGGAGAAUGGUGAGACCAAUCAGGUACGAUAUUAUUGGACAUACGUGGUUCGGUGAUUGGAAGUAUCACUGGUGAAAACGGCGCCUUAAAGAACGCACGUAAAUGACUUAUAGACACACGUGGUUCGGUGGUUAUGGGAAUAUCACUGGUGAAAACGGCGCCUUAAAGAACGCACGAUGUUGUCUAUAGCCGAUGUCACCUUGGCGAAAACGGUGCCCUUGAAAGGACACGUGGUUCGGUGAUCAAGGUUAUCACUGGUGAAAACGGCGCCUUAAAGAACGCACGGUGUCGGUGAUCGGUAUGUCAUUGGCGAAAACNNNNNNNNNNNNNNNNNNNNNNNNNNNNNNNNNNNNNNNNNNNNNNNNNNNNNNNNNNNNNNNNNNNNNNNNNNNNNNNNNNNNNNNNNNNNNNNNNNNNUUUUCAGAGACAUUUUUUACGUGACAGCAUGAGUGAGUUUCUUGAAAAGUGACUAUUUGUACUGUAAAUGUUGGUAUGAAAUGAGUCAAAGAACACUAACUCAAGUGAGUUAAAUCCAAGGGUUCUACAUUAAUUGAAUUAAAAUGGGACUAAGGUAAGAACUUUAAAAGAAAAGAGAGCAAACAGAUGAUGAAGAAACUUCAUGCUACAAGCCAAAAUUGAGUCAGGUAUGGGAUCAAUUUAGUAAUUUGUGAAUUCCAGAUCUUCGGUUUGGUCUUCUUAUUUAAAAGAUCAUGCUUUCAUUGACUUUUUUGAGAAGUCUAAUGCAGGAAGUAACAAACAAUUCAUCUCUGCAUUUCUCUCUGUCACCCAGAAAGAAAAAGAGAAAUGAAUUGACCUAUUGACUUCCUCCUGCUUAAAGAGUCCUUCCUACCUCCCUCCAUGUUGGAAGAUAUGCGAGAAUAUUUGAUUGAAGAUUUGAUUUGAUUAGAGCUGAUUGCGAUUUUGUACAUAUCAAUCGUGAUUAGAUUUAGAUACAGAUUGAUACAUAGGAUAAUUUACUUUCUUUAAUUACAUACUCAUUGUAUUAUAUUUACAGAAGAUCUGUACAUUUACAAUCAAUCGAAGAGAAUAGAAUACAAUUUCUUCCUUCGCACUUCACCCUCUCGGUUUCUUUCAUGGUAUCAGAGCCUCCAGGCUUCUGAUCCUAGCUUCCGCUUCAAUCUUCCAUCUCGACCUUCUGCCCAAAUUCUGACCUACAAAAUAGAAUAGCAUCAGGCAUAAGUGUCACUCUUAAGGAAGAUUCUUUCUACUUACCAUGGCUAAUCCGCAAGAUGAAGCUUCUGCUACCGGUAACCAACCCGCUGAAGGAGUAGUCCCUUAGAUCUCGCAGGCUCAGAAUUCACCUGCAUUUUUUCCUUCAAUCGAGCAAUCUUCAGCAAAUGUACAACAGCCGUUCCAGGUCCAACCCAUUCAAUGGCGGCCCUCACAGGCUCAAUUCAAUAUGGGGCAACCCAUGAUGGGCCAACAUUACCAGUGGAUUCCUUAUCCGCUUUACCUUGGGCCAAGCCCAAAUUCAUCAUUGCCCGGAUCUGUGGGCCACUAGAGCCACGUCCAAACCAACGGAGGCCCGCCAACCACAAGUGGGGCAAGCCCAACCGAAGGAGUGGAGCGGACAAAUGGGUCAGGAGAACCGAGUAUGGGAACAAAUCCCUACCCGGGAUAUUACAAUGCGGAUUAUCCAAUCGGGUCGAGUGAAUUGGGUCUAGGGACGAAUCCCUACCCGAAUCUCACACCCAGUUUUCUGCCGUUUCCAACGGCGGCCUUCGCCGGACAACCAGAACCCGGCGACCCUCUGUUCGUUUCUACCGCCGACGGACCAGAACUGUGACUAAUCAACCAGCAGUUGACUGGACCAGAAAAUUAUCCCAGAUGGUCGCAGGAAUUCCGGCGUGCCCUAGCAACGAAGGAGAAAGAUGGUUUUCUUGACGGAACCAUUCUAGUACCUGUCGAUGAGCGUCUGGCCCGACUCUGGAGGAGGAGCAACCGACUCGUCCGAACCUGGAUUGGCAAUUGCAUCUCCCCAGAAGUCUCGGCUGGACUCCCACCGAUAGAGGAUGCGAAGAACAUGUGGGAAAACAUCAAAGAAAUGUACGGUAAACUGGAUCAAGCCAAAAUAUCUACCCUAAUGCUGGAACUUAGCGAGUUAAAGCAGGGAAACAUGACGGUCACGGCUUGUUUUAACAAGCUAUCGUCACUGUGGAACAACCUCGAGGUGGCUAAGGAGAAGCUCGAGGGCCCAGAAUCAACAAUCAAGCAAUACAGAUCCAUCAAAGACAGGGAGAAAGCCACACGCUUUCUUCUUAUUUUGAACGAUACAUUUCUCACCUUUCACUCGCAAAUCCUUGCCAUGGAGCCCAUGCCGCCGAUCGGUCGGAUCUUUCAACUUGCUGUACAGGAGGAGAGCCAGCGCCUUGCGUCACCGGAACAUGCAAGGAACAACGAGAGCAUAGCUCUUGCAGUUCACGGCAAUCGGCGAGAUGGGCUCAAUCGAACCCUAGCACGUGAGGGAGAAAAAAGGGGCACGUUAGGGUUCGGCGGAGCGGAUUCACUUUCCCUUAAAAGGGAAGUCUUCAACGGCUCAGAUCGAGCGCGCGGAUCCGACGGCUCACAGGCAGCCGAUGCUUUAGGCAGAUCGAACGGUGGAGAUCAGUCCGCGGGAAAAGAGAUGGACGAUCAGAUCUUAGCCACGUCAUCAAGGAAUUUCGGGCAAAAUUUCAAUGGAAAGGGUAAAUUAUUUUGCAAAUAUUGCAAGCGUUCUAACCAUAUGAUUGACAGCUGUUGGAAAUUGCAUGGAAGACCGGGAGAAAAAGGAAAGAAAUUUUCAACUGCUUAUCAAGUCAGUGGACCCACUGGUCCAAAUGCUGAUCCUCCUAUCACUUAUGGACAAUACCAACAGUUGAUGCAAGCAAUGCAAACAUUGGAUAAUUCUGACAAAGGAGGGAGUUUCUCAGGUAUCACACAUUGCUUGAUUAAUUCUAUAUCAAGGAAAGCAUGGAUUAUUGAUUCAGGGGCAAGCGAUCAUAUUAUAUGUGACAAAGUUUUUUUCUCAAGUAUAAAUGAAGGACUGGAUUUUCCUAUCUCCGUUCAAUUAUCCAAUGGAAAUAUCACCCAUGUUAAUGUGACAGGAACAGUCAAUCUCAGUCCCCAAAUUAUUCUUUGAAAUGUUCUAUAUGUUCCGGAAUUCCAAUUCAACCUCAUUUCUGUGUCAAAAGUCUGCAAAAAAAAUUCUUGUCAAGUAUUAUUCAAUGCUGAUACCUGUUUCUUUUAGGCCCUUUGGACUGGGAGACUAAUGGGCUGGGGUAACGUUUCCGAAUGACUAUUUUUUUGGUCACAUCUUCCAAGUAAUUUUGAUUUAUCAUGCACUUCAUUGAAUAAACCUUCCUUAUGUAAUUUGAGCAUGAAUGACAAAAAUUUCCUUAUGCACUUGAGAUUGGGUCAUAGUGCCUCCUUUCCUUGUCAGCAGUGUCCUAUAUGUCCUCUUGCAAAACAAUCUCGCACACCCUUCCCAUCCAGUAACUCCUGUACUAGUGAGAUUUUUUCCUUAAUUCAUGUGGAUAUUUGGGGACCUUAUCAUACUAUUAAUCAUGAUGGAUCUCGUUACUUCCUCACCAUAGUCGACGAUUAUUCUCGUGUGACGUGGAUUUUUUUGAUGCAGUCUAAAGAUCAGACUUUCUUCUAUUUGAAAACAUUCAUCACAUUAUCCAAGAAUCAGUUUGGAAAAUCCAUUCAGCGGAUUCGUAUUGAUAACGGAGCAGAAUUCUUCAAUCACAAUUGCUCCUUCCUUUUUUCAUCUCAUGGGAUCGAACAUGAAAGUUCAUGCGUUUAUACACCACAACAAAAUGGAGUGGUUGAACGCAAGCAUCGCCAUUUAAUGGAAGUUGCACGUGCUUUAAAGUUUCAAGCUUCAAUCCCAGAAGAUUAUUGGGGAGAUUGUGUCAUCACGGCGGCCUAUUUAAUCAACCGUAUGCCCACUCGGAUCCUCAAUGGGCGAACGCCAUUUGAACUAUUGUUCCAAAAGAAACCUAAGCUAAAACAUCUCAAGGUUUUUGGAUGUCUAUGCUAUGUUGCCACAGUGGGUCCUCGCGACAAAUUCAGUCCACGUGCUCGACAACAUGUUUUCAUGGGAUAUUCAAAUCUCCAGAAGGGGUAUCGAGUUAUGGAGAUUUCCACAAAGGAAUUUAUUGUCAGUCGUGAUAUCAUAUUUCACGAGAACAUUUUCCCCUUCUCUCAAAAGACAUCUUCAGGUGAAGAUUCAGGGAUCAUUUCAAAUCCUCGUAGGCCAUUAUCCGAGGAAGCAUUCCCUCGUGAUUCUUGUUACAUCUCAUUGGAACAAUCGAAGAAUAUUUCUGUUCCCAUUCCAGCAACACCAGAAAAUGUAGCUGAGAAUCUCAUCUCAUUAGAAAAUACACCAGAAGACUCCAGCACUGAUGAGGAAAUCCAGGAUAUCUCACCAUUGCCUUCCAAUGAGAGUGUCCAAACUCCUAUAGUGGUCGAUCAACCAAGACGUUCUUGUCGAGCCACACGACCUCCAACCUGGACCAAAGAUUAUGUUUGUGCCACACACAAUUCUCCAGGUAUCCAAUAUCCUAUUUCAUCCUAUGUUUCCUUUCAUAGAUUAUCACAGAAACAUAGACGUUGCAUUAGUCGUCUAUCAGAAGGCAAAGAACCAUCUAGUUAUGGUGAGGCGUCCAUUGAUCCGAAAUGGCAACAAGCCAUGCAGGCAGAACUAAAGGCACUGAUUGAUAACCAAACCUGGGAUCUUAUUCCAUUGCCACCCAAUCGCAAGCCAAUUGGGUGCAAAUGGGUUUACAAGAUUAAAUAUCGUGCUGAUGACUCCAUUGAACGAUACAAGGCAUGAUUGGUAGCCAAGGGAUUCACCCAACUAGAAGGUUUUGACUAUCACGAGACAUUCUCUCCAGUCGCCAAAGAUGUCACGAUCCGUUCUUUUUUAAAUGUUGCUGCCAUUAAUGACUGGCCUUUACAUCAAAUGGACGUCAACAAUGCCUUCCUUCACGGUGAUUUAGACGAAGAAAUCUAUAUGGAUAUUCCCCAGGGUUUACGAAGACAAGGGGAGAAUAGAGUAUGUCGUCUUCACAAAUCCCUUUAUGGAUUGAAACAAGCCUCCAGGCAGUGGUAUGCCAAAUUUGCAGAUGCUCUUACAACAACAGGCUUCAAGCAGUCCAAGCAUGACUAUGCUUUAUUUACACAAAGCAAAGGUAUGUCAUCUAUCUAUUUGAUGAUAUAUGUCGAUGAUAUUCUCCUUAUGGGAAAUGAUAAAGCUGCCAUAGAAAGAUUCAAGGAAUAUUUGCAUGCCACAUUUCACAUUAAGGAUUUAGGGGCACCUAAAUAUUUCCUUGGAAUCGAAAUUGCUCGAUCUGACCAAGGGAUUUCUCUUAGUCAAAGGAAAUUUAUUUUGGACAUUAUAUCAGAAGCAGGUCUGUCGGGAUGUAAGCCAGCUGUAAUUCCCAUCGAGCAGAACACUAAAUUGACUUUUGCAGAUUAUGAUAAGGGUAUAUCUAUAAAUGAUGACCCAACACUCAGAGAACCAUCAGGCUAUCAAAGGCUUGUCGGGAGCUCAUAUAUCUGACUAUGACCAAGCCCGACAUCACUUAUGCAAUAUAGACACUUAGUCAGUUCAUGCAUAAUCCCAAGCAAUCUCAUUUGGACGCUGCCUUGAAGAUUGUGAAAUAUUUGAAGAAAUGUCCAGGACUCGGGAUACUUCUAUCCAAGAGAUGUGACAUGAAGAUGACAGCAUACUGUGAUGCAAACUAUGCAACAUGUCCUAUAAGUCGAAGAUCAGUCACUGGAUAUUGCAUCAAAUUCGGAGAAUCACUUCUUUCAUGGAAGACCAAGAAGCAACCUACCGUGUCCUUGUCCUCAACCGAAGCAGAGUACAGAGCUAUGGCAAAAACCACUUGCCAAAUAAUAUGGAUAUGAGGCCUUCUUAAAGAUCUCAGAGUACAAGUGCAAGGACCAACAAAGUUAUACUGUGACAAUGAUGAUGCUCUCAAGCUUGCAGCAAAUCCUAUAGUGCAUGAAAGAACCAAGCACAUAGAGGUGGAUUGUCACUUUACACGGGAGAAGAUUCAAGAAGGAGUGAUUGAGACAAAGGGAAUUGGUACAACAGAACAACCAGCAGACAUCUUUACCAAACCCUUAUGUCAGAGACAACACGCAUAUCUUCUGAACAAGCUAGGCGUCUUGGACAUCUACAAGCCACCAGCUUGAGGGGGAGUGUUGGAAGAUAUGCGAGAAUAUUUGAUUGAAGAUUUGAUUUGAUUAGAGCUGAUUGCGAUUAUGUACAUAUCAAUCGUGAUUAGAUUCAGAUACAGAUUGAUACAUAGGAUAAUUUACUUUCUUUAAUUACAUACUCAUUUUAUUAUAUUUACAGAAGAUCUGUACCUUUACAAUCAAUGAAGAGAAUAGAAUACAAUUUCUUCCUUCGCACUUCACCCUCUCGGUUUCUUUCACUCCAAACCCAAGAACUCAAUUUUGUAGAUGGCAGGUAGAAACGUCUGGGGGUUGAAGCAGUUGUAUCUGCAAAUGUCAUGCAAGAGAAAAAACUUUGAAGCUUUCUUCAGGAGAUGUGCCUCAACCUCAUCACAAGUACAUGAGAAUUGCAAAGCCUCACUGCUGAAGAAAUUGAAUGCCAAGAUUCCUGAAGAGAGCGACAAUGUCUGCAUCUACCAAGUCCCCACAAAACUGCGUCAAGUAGAGGCAAAGGCAUAUGAUCCAAGCAUUGUAUCGAUUGGCCCUUAUCAUCGUGGAGAUCAACACUUGAAAGAAAUGGAGGAGGUAAAGCUAAAAUUUUUCCACAGGGUUUUCAAGUCAAGACAAGAAGGUGAAGACGUACUAGACAGAGUGAUUUCGGCAAUGGAGAAACUAGAGCCGAGGGCUAGGAGUUUUUACGCAGACGAUGUUAAGCUGAGCAGAGACGAGUUCACUGAGAUGAUGACCAUCGAUGGCUGCUUCAUCCUGCAGCUCUUGAGGGAGGUCGGCAGCUGUUCUUCUUCAUCCCUUCUUCAAAGGUGGAUGUUGCCAACGCUGUGCCGCAAUUUAAUCAAGCUUGAAAACCAGCUCCCAAUGAUAGUUCUACACAAAUUACUCAAAUUGGUCAAUGCCAAUUCUCAAUGUGAAUACUCAAUUCUUUCCCUACAGGACCUCGCUUUGAAGUUCUUCAAUUCGUUAUGGCAGAGGGACUCCCAUAUGAAUGUCGCCAGUGCCACCGCGAUUAAUGGGACCUAUCACUUUCUUGAUCUUUUCCGAUCCAGCAUUCUCCCGGAGAUACAGGAUCAGGACCGAAAAAGGCAACUGCACAUGAUCCGAUCUGUAACUGUGUUAAAGGAAGCAGGAGUAGUCCUUGAGAAAUCACCCAAUGACGGGGCAUUUGACGUCCAAUCCGAGGGAAGGUUCCUGAAGAUUCCGCCACUCCACAUCGACGAUCGCAGAGGCACCUUGUUCCGCAACAUGGUGGCCUUCGAGCAAUGCCACAAGAAAUGCAAACCCGACGCGACGGCAUAUAUGUUCUUCUUUGCUGGGCUCAUGAACUCGGUGGAUGAUGUGGAAAUCCUCCAUUACAAAGGCAUAGUCCACCACUCCCUCGAAAGUAACACAGAGGCGGCGAAUCUAGUGAACAAGCUGUGCAGAGAAGUGGACUGGGAUGGAGAAGAGUCGUAUCUGCACAAAGUGGUGUGCGAAGACAUUGACAUCUACUUCAUGAGUGCUCGCGCGAAGCUCAGAGGGCGCCUCGUUCAUUACUACUUCAGCAACUGGACAGUCGGAAUUUCGACUGUGGCAGGAUUGUUCGCGCUAUAUCUGACGCUAAUCCAAACAAGUUGCAGUGUCGCUGAUGCACUAGAAUAUAUGCAGGAGGAAAGCUUCUGGUCAUACCUAAGUCUAUCAUUUUUUCUGCCCUUCUCUCGCCCCUUCAUGCCGCUAGAUCAAAAGGAUUUGAACAAGGAAUGAAGUUUGAGGAUAUGCAAUUAGUUCUUGAUAACAAAUUUGCAGGUUCUUUUGGACGUAUGAUGUGUGGCACCCUGAAGCACCUUAGGUCGCCACAGGCACCUAUCGCUACACCUAAUGGACACUAGUUACAUCUCUUAGAAGAAGCGUCGUACUUCAUAGGCAUAUUUUUUUUUUAGAAAACGGUCCCGGCGCGACUCAUUAGCAGAAGCAAAAUUUAAUAUCACCAUCUCUCCCUCUAACAAUCAUGAUACAAUGCACACGACUAAGUACCAUAGGAAAAGAUAAAGCCAUACCACUUUUAUUUACAUAUUUUAAUGAUGGAUUUUCUCGAGUCGAUGCAACAAAAGAAAGCCAAGAUUUUCAGCUACACUUGGCCAUAUUCCAAAAAGAUACUACGACCCCUAAAGUGAUCACGUGUCAUCCUCCAUCUAACAGUGGCGGCUACUUCCAAAAAGAAACACCAGCUCUCUACCCCUCACGUGACCAUCACACCCAUCCUGGUGCGUUGGGCGGUAGUGGCGGCAACAUCCCCCGAAUCACUCCAUCUCGGCGGACGUGAACCGAUAGAAACUCCUGAAUAACCGGGCCCCCAGCCAAGCCCACAUCGUACAUGACCAGCACUCGCACUCGCACAUAUGUCAAACCAGGGAUGGUAACACAGUCGAUCUCCGUACACUCUACCUCUACAUCUGAUGGGAGGCCAUAGAAGGUGCCUCGCAUGACGGUAAGAAGCGGCAUCUUUCUAAUCUGAAAUGUUGGUCCCCGAAGGGGCGAGUACAUCCAUUCAACAAGUAAAGGACCAAUAAACCACUCAAUGCAUCAUACAAUACAAUCAUCGCAAUUAUAGCACAACACAUGUCAUUCAAGCAUCCAUGCACAAUUUACCUUGAUAUCAUGCAUAUGUCAUCAUACCUCAUGUACAUACAUCAUCAUAUAGUCAUCACCUUCAUGUCAUACACUUACCAUCAUCAUGUCACAUGUACCAUCAUGCCAUAGGUGCACAUACAUCCAUGCACUCACCAUCAUCAUGCAUCCAUGUACUCAUCAUCAUCAUAUCACAUGCACUCAUCAUCAUCAUGUCAUACACUUACCAUCAUCAUGUCACAUGUACCAUCAUGCCAUAGGUGCACAUACAUCCAUGCAUUCACCAUCAUCAUGCAUCCAUGCACUCAUCAUCAUCAUAUCACAUGCACUUAUCAUCAUCAUGUCAUACAUAUACCAUCAUGCAUGAUUCAAUUUCAAUUUCCCAAUUUCAUCCUUUCAUUUUGGAUCGUCAUAUUUCUCUUUCCCGGGACCAAUGUUUGCAUCCCACAUUCAUCACUCGCACCCCACCUGGCAUCGCAAGAACCAUCCGGCACAAUACCUAUCAGGCAUCCAGCACAAUACCUGCCAGGCAUCUCGUACCCCAAUUGGCAUCACGAGGCAUCCCUCGACACAAUACCUGCCGAGCUUCCAGCUCCCCCACUCUCCGGGCAUCUCGAAACUCCCGAGGACCCUCCGGCAUCCGGCCAUUCAAGGCCACCGGGCAACCGACCGUACCCUUCUAGCCAAGCAUCCCAACACUCCCGGGGCAUCGUCGGCGCACACCUCCGACGGCCUUCUCACUUAUCUUAAUUCACAUCUUCAAUUAUCAUUCAAUUUUAACAUGGCAUAUGAUGUAAUGGCAAGCAAGAUCAUUUUCAUCCUUUGAUUCAUACAUGCAUUUCCAAUCAUCAUCAUACAUGCAAUAAGACUCGAUCAUUCAUAACAAUACAAUUCAUGGAGUCCAUACAAUUUAGAAUAGUCCAUUUAUCAUGCCUUUUUGAAGUUUACUAAAUUCCAGCUUGUACCAUUUUAGAAAACAUUUAAACUAAAAAUCCAUAUGAUUCUCGAAAAUCAUAAAAUCAGGACAUGUGAUAGACAAGACAAUAAGGUAACAAUUUCAUGAAGAACACAUGUCCGAAAGAGUUUCACACAAGAAGAUAUAAUUCACACAAAUACAGCAUGUAAUUUCGGAUAGAAACAGAUUGCGCAGUUUUUGAAAUAAUUCGAUUAAAGUACCCGAAUGACCUCCAAAAAUUAUGAAACUUUUACCAGGUUAUAGUAAAGACACUAAAGUAGAUUUUUCAUGAAGACAUCUAGGCCAGCUUCAUUCUAGAUAAUUUUCUAUAGACGUCCAAAGCUCCUGAUUCUAGCACCGAAACGUCCAGUAUAGCUAUCUCCGAAAUAUCGAGUUUUCACCUACUUAUCCUUCUUAGUUUCCUCUGAAAUUUUGAUAUGUUUUGCCUCAAGAGGUCCCCUACAACUUUUAUUAAGGAAUAUAAGUGAAAUUUCCAAAUAAUAGUCACCAUAUGGGUCCAAGAAGUCUCGGGUGUCCAGUACCGUAUUUCCAGAUUUACUGUCUUCAAGAGAAAGUCGAUUCACUAGGCUACACUUUCUCAUUUUACCUAAAAUUUGAGUAUGUUAGUCUUUAGGAUGUUCUCUACAAGUUUCAUGAAGAAGUCGAAGGGAAAUUCUCGGUAAAAAGCAACAUGCAACCCACAAAACUACCAAAAGGUCAGCAAAGCAGCUCCAGAUCUAGUGUCUUCGUAGGAAGAUGGUUUUUCCCCUUAAAACUCAACUAUUUUGUCCCAAAUUUUAGUAUGUUAUUAUUUGAGAUGUUUUCUACAACUUUCAUGAUGGAGGCGAAGUCAAAAUCCAACUCGAAACACACAUGCAAGCUUCCACAAGUUUCUGGGUCAGGCAGUAUACACGAAAUCAGCAAGCAUUUUCAAGAACCAACCACAUUAGCGUCGGUUCCUUACCUCUAAACACCCAAGAUUCAACCACACAUGCAAGACACACAUGCAAGAGUAGAAAUUGAUCCUAACUUGCCUCUAAGAUCAAGUGGACGACGGCACACGGACGGCGAAUGGGUGGUGAAAAUCCAACUCGAAACACACAUGCAAGCUCCCACAAGUUUCUGGGUCAGGCGGUAUACACGCAAUCAGCAAGCAUUUUCAAGAACAACCACAUUCUCUUCUUCUUUUUUUUUUGUGACCCAGGGAACCCCGCACGGCCGGAGCCGGAGAUAAACCACUAGGGGCGACACGUGCCGGUCACCACACAUGUGCCACCGGGUAAGUCGCUAAAGGGCUCAAAGCUAGCUUUCCUACAACUUGCGUUGCAGGAGCUUCGAACACUAGACCUCCUCGAUGGAAGUCUAGUGCCUACCCAGCUGAGCCACCACAGCGGGUGGUCUCUCUCUCCCUUUUGUUUCCCCUAAUUCCCAUCAUUAGCAAUGAUGAUGUGCCUUCCCACAAGCCAAUGCAUGGAGCCUUCCUUUUUGCCACUUAGCAAGACUCAUGCAAGAUGGGCUUGGGCUUGGAAGAAGUGGGCCGGCCACUCCUCCCCUCCUUGGUCGACGGUCACCUCUCCAUGGGCCUCAAUGGGCCGGCCAUUUGGCCCACCAAGAGUCCAAGCUAUUGGGCCUAAGGCCCAACCUAAUUAAAAUCAAAUUUUAACCUUCUUUUUAAAUACUAAUUAAAUCCUUAUUGGACUAAAGUACUAUAGGGUAAAAUAAAAUAACUAAACACUUAAAAAUCACAAAUCCAUAGAUUCUAAUGCACGAUACAUAUGGCCAAAGAUAAGCCAUCCUCUUCCAAGAUUUAUCCAUUUAAACUCGGCCAUAGAUCUCAAUACAAGACAUUAAUUGGAGCACCCCUAAUGACUAGCAAAGAAUUUCAGGAUGCCACAUGAUGGGCGGUCAUUCCCAUUUUCUUGAGUCUUGUUCUAAGUCUUAUUCCUUUGUUUCAUGAUGUCUUACCAAUGAUCUAUCUUUAGAAUUCUAAUAUGUUAGGAGACCUAAAAAAAUUGUGGGAAAUGCUUGGCUGGGUCGAUGUGACCCCAACCGAGCUAUCUAUUCAUAAUAAAGCUAAGAGCCCAAAAUUACAAUAUCUCUCUUAUUACCAUCAUACAUAAAAUAAUAAAGGAAAUAGACAAAUAUAUUCCAUUGGCCAAAUACUCUCAACACUUCCCCUCAAGUUGGAGCAUAAAUAUCACUCAUGCCCAACUUGACUAAAAUAAUAUGAAAUGAUUUAACCUUUGAUCAUUUAGUAAACACAUCAGCAAGUUGAUCACUAGACUGGACAAAUGGCAUAUAAAUUAAAUGACUCCAACUUCUCCGUGAUAAAAGUGAAAUUAAAAGUUAACUAAAAUAUUGACUUUUAGUCAAAUCUUUGACCAAAAAAUUGAAAAAAUAAAAAAUUCUCAAAUGCAUUUUUUUAAUACCAAUUUGACUUUGAUGUAGAAAAUUUUGCAAAAAUCGAUUAAGAAUCUUGUAUUCCAAAUUUUUUGGUUUUAGGUUCUAAAUCAGCCAAAAAUCAAAUUACUUUUAUUAUAAUCAUAAUUAGGUAUAGUUCAUUAUUUAAUAUUUGGUUUAAGGACUAUUUUAAAUCUGCUCAUGCAUUCUGUUUCACGAAUUGCUCAGUCAAUAUACAAAUUGCUAUUUUGAGCCCUAAUUAGGGGGCCAAAAUCGAUUAUUUAUGAAUUGCGAAUGGACGGUUGUUCUUCACUCAUUUUCUUAAGAUAAUUCCAAAUCCAAAAUCGAUUUUGAGGAGAUUUACAUCAGAAUUUCUCGAUUUGAAGAAUUUUACUCUUUCAAGUAUAAGAAAGUCAAGCAAUUAAGCUUUAAUUGGCAAAAUUCGAAUUGAUCAAUUGAAGGUUAUGAUUUAAUUUCAUAAAUCUAGGUUCAAUUUUGAUAUUAGACCUAAAUUCAUUUUUACAUAAGCUCAAGCACUCCAAUUCGAGGUUAAUUUGAAUAUAUUAGGUGAUCUUACGCAUGGGUGAUUAAUUAGAUAAGAUAAUUGUGAUAUUAGUUUAACUCAAUUUAAAUCAAUUUACAAUUUUAUCCAUUGAAUUACAAAUUUGAUCAUUUUAGCCCUUUAAGCUCGAUUAAAAAAAUUUAUGGUUUUGACCUAUUGCCUUUCAUGAUAAUCAUUCGAUUAAGUCAUUAAAAGAUCUCUAUAUCGCAUUCAUAAAGUUUGAUUGGCCUCAUUCGAUUAAGUCAAUAAAAGACCUCUAGAUCCCAUUCAUAAAGUUUGAUUGGCCUAAUUGAAUCACAAUGGGGCAGUUUCCUCUCAAAUAAGGUAAUUAUUCUUUCAAGGCCAAAUUGCAUAAAUUUGAACCCACAAGGGUUAAGAACUGUUGAAUAGGAGUGAACCGGUCUGACUAAUCUGAUCAAUUGGCAGCGAAUUCUAGACCUCCAGCGAAGUGAUUGAUUCUAGGAUCCUCAUUGUGUCAAUAUCACUUAUGCACCUUUAAUUUCUUGAAAUUUUGCAAAUUAAUCAUCGAAUCUCAUAAAAUUGUGAUUUGACCCCUAAGUGGACAUUUUGAUGCAAUUCUCAAUUUUAACUCGGGUUUUCGCAAAUCAAACCCACUAGAUUGAUUACCCGACACCUCAAAAUCGAAUUUUGACUAUUGGAUUACGAUUUCGAUCGUUGGAUUGAAUCGACGUUUGAAAUUCCUUGAUUUGGAGAGGUUGUAUACCUACCAAUUUUCCCUCCAUUUUUAAUGGGCCUCGUUUGCAUGAAAUUUCUUCUCUCUCUUCAAGUUUCUCUCUCAUCUCUUUGUUGUUUCCCACCAUUUCCUCCUUCCUCCCUUUUCUUGCCAACCAAAUUGGUCGCACGAUAGUUCUAGCUCGUUGGCCUCAUGCCGGCGGCCCACCGGACGCCGCCUAGCCCCCGGCGGUCCCUCUCAUUCUCCUCCUUCGUCCCUUGGUGAAAACCGCCAUCUCCGGCGGCUGAUUGAUGGGCUUAAACCGAUUUGUUCUGGUCAGUUCACAGAACCGACGAUCAAGUCGGUUUUCAAGUUUACCAGCUCGACUGCCGGUUCGGCUACUGAGAUCGGCGAAGCAGACCCCGCCGAUCUAUCCCUGAGUUUGUUCCCGACCUUGCUGUGGUUGGGAACUAAUAGAUCAGCCACCGGAAUACCUUCGGUGGCCCGAUCUCUUCGGAGAGUCCAAAACCAGUCCAAGUAGGACCGAUUCUGUUCCAGCCUAAACCGAAGGCCGCCAGUGCUCUCAGGAGCCUCCAACCGCUGGCGAUCAGUAGCUCCAGAGGUCCCUGACCUCGCCGUAGUUAGGGAUAGGCGGAUUGGCUACCGGAUCUCCUCCGGCAGCCAAUCUCCACCGGUGAAUCAAGACCAAUCCAACUUUGGACCAAUUCUGGCGUUUGCUUCGAACCAACGGUUCAACCGACCUCGAUUUGGUUCCCUCGGUGGUUUGUGACUAUCUGAUCGUGAUUCUGGAGAUCCGUGUGCGUUCUGAAGAGCUUGAUUCGAUCGAUGACGUCUACAAUCAACGAAAACGCGUAAAAGGUAACGUACUUUAUCUCGAACCACGUGAAGCGAGGCUGAAUUAACUGGUCGUGGCUAAGGUUCAAUCUUAGGGAUAUAUGCUAUGUUCAUAUGCUCAUUGAUGAGUUGCUCAAACUUGAACUUGAUUGAUUGUUCUUGAUGAACUUGGAUGAUUAAACUUGUUUAGGCUUGAAUCUACAUUUUCGUAUCUACUGGACUGAUCGGAUGUUUUGGCCAAAAUGAGGUCUGAAACGACCUGAUCUUAGUUCGAGUUCUCUUAGACUUUUAAAAUGCACAUCACUAGCUUCGAAUCGAUAGGUUGCAGGCCCCAAUUGAGCGACGUUUGGCCCUCGNNNNNNNNNNNNNNNNNNNNNNNNNNNNNNNNNNNNNNNNNNNNNNNNNNNNNNNNNNNNNNNNNNNNNNNNNNNNNNNNNNNNNNNNNNNNNNNNNNNNGGAGUACACCACUGGGAAUUCGUGGUAUGAGUGGGAAUGACCUAGAAAGGGCCUGGCUAACAUGUAAUCGACUUAGUCGAUUGAUCAAUGCUUGAUCGGAUGUCGUGAAUUGUUUGAAUGCUUGUGUUUAACCUUGAAUUGCAGGUUGGAACUGAGGCCAAGGUAAGUCCUCUGACUCGUGUUGUGCUUAGGCAACCGUAUGGCGUAUUAGUUUAUUAAUCGAGUCUUAGUGGGUAGGACUCGCUGAGACGUGGUCUCAUUGGUUAUUGAAUAACCAUUUCAGGACCUUGAGGAGAAUCUAAGGAAGAGGAACCUGAAGAGGAGAAAGACUUUUGAGGAAGAAGAUGAUCCAGAGAGGGAUCUUGAAUACAACCCGGAUGUGGAUUGAGAUCCCAUCCCUUUUGUGAACCCUGUCUUGGUAUAGAUAGGUGUGCGACUUUUAUGCUGUAAAUAGUAUUGUAAAUAUACUAUGAGUGGUGAUGUUAAUGAAAGUGUGGUUAUGAAUUUCAAUAUGAAAAAUAUGGCCUGCUUUCCUAUCCCAUUGUUUUAUUGUCUGGGGAUUUAUAACUGCUUCCGCAUGUGCUUAAUAAAAAAGAAAGGGUCGGCGAUACAUAGUCAUGGGAUAUCGCAUUAUAAAAUCGACCAAGUAGAAGGAUGUGCGCGCGUCCGAGGAUCGGGGCGUGACAUAUCCUACCAUUAACUUUAGAGUGAUUUUUUUUUUCUCAUUUAAUCAAAAGAUCCAAAAAUUUACUCGCCAUGAGUUUUAGGAUUACAAAUGUUCUUUGAGUGCUGCAACAAAAUUACAGUCCUAGCUCCUUAAUCAUGCAUGCAAAUGAGACACGAUCUGCUGGUUGAUCGUAAUAAUAAGUCUUGCUUGCAGAAAUGACCAAGAAAGUUUCAAGGAAACAGCUUAAAUAUAAUGCGACAAAUGCAAAGGAAAUAGUACUCUAAAAAUGCUGAAACUUUUGAAAGAUAGAUAUGCAAGGUAUAAAUAAAUAUCUGUCAAUAGCUCAAAGAAUAACAGAACAAACAUAAGCAAUAUAUAUAUAUAUAUAUAUAUAUAUAUAUAUAUAUAUAUUAAAAAAUACUAUUCGUCACAUGAACUGCUACAGAAGAAUUCGGUACAAGCAUAAAAUGGGGCUGAGCACCUCAAUAACUGAAUAAGACUUCUUUACUAACCAUGAGGAACUUUUCUUGUGCAGAUGUCAAUGCUUUUCGUGACUUAUCGAGAUGACCACUGUGAUAAGCUACCACUCCUUCCAACAGGUCUAACCACAAAUGCCUGGAAGUUAAUUAUUCCAAUUUUGNNNNNNNNNNNNNNNNNNNNNNNNNNNNNNNNNNNNNNNNNNNNNNNNNNNNNNNNNNNNNNNNNNNNNNNNNNNNNNNNNNNNNNNNNNNNNNNNNNNNNNNNNNNNNNNNNNNNNNNNNNNNNNNNNNNNNNNNNNNNNNNNNNNNNNNNNNNNNNNNNNNNNNNNNNNNNNNNNNNNNNNNNNNNNNNNNNNNNNNNNNNNNNNNNNNNNNNNNNNNNNNNNNNNNNNNNNNNNNNNNNNNNNNNNNNNNNNNNNNNNNNNNNNNNNNNNNNNNNNNNNNNNNNNNNNNNNNNNNNNNNNNNNNNNNNNNNNNNNNNNNNNNNNNNNNNNNNNNNNNNNNNNNNNNNNNNNNNNNNNNNNNNNNNNNNNNNNNNNNNNNNNNNNNNNNNNNNNNNNNNNNNNNNNNNNNNNNNNNNNNNNNNNNNNNNNNNNNNNNNNNNNNNNNNNNNNNNNNNNNNNNNNNNNNNNNNNNNNNNNNNNNNNNNNNNNNNNNNNNNNNNNNNNNNNNNNNNNNNNNNNNNNNNNNNNNNNNNNNNNNNNNNNNNNNNNNNNNNNNNNNNNNNNNNNNNNNNNNNNNNNNNNNNNNNNNNNNNNNNNNNNNNNNNNNNNNNNNNNNNNNNNNNNNNNNNNNNNNNNNNNNNNNNNNNNNNNNNNNNNNNNNNNNNNNNNNNNNNNNNNNNNNNNNNNNNNNNNNNNNNNNNNNNNNNNNNNNNNNNNNNNNNNNNNNNNNNNNNNNNNNNNNNNNNNNNNNNNNNNNNNNNNNNNNNNNNNNNNNNNNNNNNNNNNNNNNNNNNNNNNNNNNNNNNNNNNNNNNNNNNNNNNNNNNNNNNNNNNNNNNNNNNNNNNNNNNNNNNNNNNNNNNNNNNNNNNNNNNNNNNNNNNNNNNNNNNNNNNNNNNNNNNNNNNNNNNNNNNNNNNNNNNNNNNNNNNNNNNNNNNNNNNNNNNNNNNNNNNNNNNNNNNNNNNNNNNNNNNNNNNNNNNNNNNNNNNNNNNNNNNNNNNNNNNNNNNNNNNNNNNNNNNNNNNNNNNNNNNNNNNNNNNNNNNNNNNNNNNNNNNNNNNNNNNNNNNNNNNNNNNNNNNNNNNNNNNNNNNNNNNNNNNNNNNNNNNNNNNNNNNNNNNNNNNNNNNNNNNNNNNNNNNNNNNNNNNNNNNNNNNNNNNNNNNNNNNNNNNNNNNNNNNNNNNNNNNNNNNNNNNNNNNNNNNNNNNNNNNNNNNNNNNNNNNNNNNNNNNNNNNNNNNNNNNNNNNNNNNNNNNNNNNNNNNNNNNNNNNNNNNNNNNNNNNNNNNNNNNNNNNNNNNNNNNNNNNNNNNNNNNNNNNNNNNNNNNNNNNNNNNNNNNNNNNNNNNNNNNNNNNNNNNNNNNNNNNNNNNNNNNNNNNNNNNNNNNNNNNNNNNNNNNNNNNNNNNNNNNNNNNNNNNNNNNNNNNNNNNNNNNNNNNNNNNNNNNNNNNNNNNNNNNNNNNNNNNNNNNNNNNNNNNNNNNNNNNNNNNNNNNNNNNNNNNNNNNNNNNNNNNNNNNNNNNNNNNNNNNNNNNNNNNNNNNNNNNNNNNNNNNNNNNNNNNNNNNNNNNNNNNNNNNNNNNNNNNNNNNNNNNNNNNNNNNNNNNNNNNNNNNNNNNNNNNNNNNNNNNNNNNNNNNNNNNNNNNNNNNNNNNNNNNNNNNNNNNNNNNNNNNNNNNNNNNNNNNNNNNNNNNNNNNNNNNNNNNNNNNNNNNNNNNNNNNNNNNNNNNNNNNNNNNNNNNNNNNNNNNNNNNNNNNNNNNNNNNNNNNNNNNNNNNNNNNNNNNNNNNNNNNNNNNNNNNNNNNNNNNNNNNNNNNNNNNNNNNNNNNNNNNNNNNNNNNNNNNNNNNNNNNNNNNNNNNNNNNNNNNNNNNNNNNNNNNNNNNNNNNNNNNNNNNNNNNNNNNNNNNNNNNNNNNNNNNNNNNNNNNNNNNNNNNNNNNNNNNNNNNNNNNNNNNNNNNNNNNNNNNNNNNNNNNNNNNNNNNNNNNNNNNNNNNNNNNNNNNNNNNNNNNNNNNNNNNNNNNNNNNNNNNNNNNNNNNNNNNNNNNNNNNNNNNNNNNNNNNNNNNNNNNNNNNNNNNNNNNNNNNNNNNNNNNNNNNNNNNNNNNNNNNNNNNNNNNNNNNNNNNNNNNNNNNNNNNNNNNNNNNNNNNNNNNNNNNNNNNNNNNNNNNNNNNNNNNNNNNNNNNNNNNNNNNNNNNNGUAAUGUUUUUGGAAUUUUUGGACAUGUUAGCUAGGUCAAAACCUCAGAUUGAGAUAGGGUCAAUCUGCCCUAUCUUGAUCUGAAAUGGAUUUAAGAAGAAUCGGACAUGUAAUUGACCUUGUUCAACAUCAAGUCCUUCAUGAAAGAUGAAAUGCAUAUUAUAUGUGUUGAAUUGAUGCAUGAUUGCAAAGUUUUGAUAUCGUUUAAUGCAUCGAUUGCAUGCAUUAAGGUAAAUGGGUGUUGCAGAAAAAUAAACCUUGUAUGUUGCGUGUUUGUUUUACUAUUUUUGUCACAACUCGCGUGUUCUUAAUUGAGUUUGAAACUCUUAACGAAAAAUAUUCAUCAUUGCAUGUUCUGUAUGUGAGAUUUUUCGUUGGAUUUUUACAUGUUCAUAGGUGACUGAAAUCAUGCUUGUUUUGUAGCGUUAAGGUUAAGAUGAAACCUCAUCAUGUAUGCGCUUUAUCAUGUCCGUUUGAGUCUAUUAGAGACUAAAUCUUGUGCUGAUGUCUUCUUGACUUUUAAAGUACAUAUAACAAGGUUUGUGUGCAUAUGUGAAUUGUCAUUUACUUUAUGAACACCAUCCCAGAAUUUAUUGCCGUUGGUACUUUUUAAAUUGCUGCUGUCAGGACAUGGUAAUUCUUCCUUACAAAGACAGCCUUCAGUUAUUCAGUCAGUAUCUACAGCAAUUUGACCCGGAUCGCAAUCGAGUAUGUGUUUAUUUUUUGGGUGAAAAUAGGGAGUUUCAUCUCCAUCUCUAGUUUCCAAAAUGUUAAACCUCAAAUUGUUCAUUUCACAUGUCAAUCAAGGGCAUACUGUUUAUGGAAAUAAAGGAAGCACAUAUCAGCAUACGUAAGUUAUUUUUUGAUAAAGUAAUGGCACUACUACUUUUACAUGCCAGUGACGUGAUUAUUCCUGAUGCACGUUAUUGUCUAAUUUCCAUAUAGCUACAUACAACAUCUGAGAGAGGGUGUGCACAACUUCUUCGGAACAUUCAUUGAAGUGCUUCGUGAUAGACCACCUGGUCAUGAUUGGGAGCUUGAACCAGAUUUUACCUGUAGUGACUAUCUGUUCGGAAUGCUUCAGGUUAGUUUGCAACAAGUGCUACUAAAAUUUACCUUUAAGAAGAAUCUAGCAAUAGCUGAAGUUCCUAUGUUUAUUGUUUCUGAAGUUUAAGAUCUCAAACUUCUCUUGGAAAGGAGACAUGAGUUCAGUGGGUGAUUUACUUAUAGUCACUCGGUUGUUUUCUACAAUUGAUCUCUUUUAGAUAUGGUGAACUUCUAUAGGGAAUAGGGUUUGCUCUGUAUGCCAAUGAUCGUGAGUUUAUAACAGUCACUGUCAAAGAAGUGACCCCUAAAUCAGUGGGGGCUCUUAUAGCAUUGUAUGAGCGAGCAGUUGGGAUAUACACCUCACUAGUUAAUAUUAAUGCCUAUCAUCAGCCUGAUAAAUAGUUUACCUUAUAAUUCUUAUUUAAAUUAGAUUAUUGCUAUAUGUUUUGUGCUUAUUGCUAUUGAGAAUAUGUCUGGCCUCUCUUUGAGUCAAGAAACCCAAUCAAUCAUCCAACUGGCUGUCUUUUUUCUUGGCCAUGUGCGAUUGAAAUUCUUAGGUGUCGAAGCUGGGAAAAAGGCAGCAACAGAAGUAUUAACUCUUCAGAAACGGGCGUUGGCUGUACUCAAUGAGGCCAGGUAUUUUACUAGAACAAGCUCUACUAAGAUGGAAACUAUAAGCUCUUGAGAAAUGGGUUUCUAGUUCAUUUUCUUGAAAUUCAGAUAGCUUUGUUAAUUUUGCCUUGGUGUUGCAUUUUUCACCUACAAGGAGCUUGUCGAGCCAUUGACUCUUGAAGAAGUAGCUGAACAUUGCCAUGCUCCUGAAGAGGUAAUCUGCCCAAUCCCUAGGCACAAUUUAGCAAUCCACAACUUUUGAAUUUAGCUAAUCCUUUUCUAUGGCCUUGUGGAUGCAUAUUUAAAUGAUCUACAAGAUCAUCGCUCACAUGGCUGCCUACGACAGAGCAAUCAUUGCUGAGGGUAGUUGUGGAUCGCCUAGAAGCAUCAAAGUUUUCCUCGGGGAGUAUAAUGUUGAUGAGUUAUAUGCUUGAUUUUCGCAGAAGUUGGGUGUCUCGCUGCGCACCUCUUCGUAAAUUUUCAAUAAGUUGAUUUUGAUUGUGAUACUGAAUCUUCAUCAGAAUGGGGGAUAAUUUGGGAGAUGGAAUUCUUUUACUGGAAGAUCUUUGCCUUAUUUGGCUGAAGAUCUUUGUCUUUCAAAAUUUUUUGGAAUUCUAGAGUCUGCAUGUCACUUUACAACAUGCUCCAGGUAAGAUAAUUGUGGAUUCUAUUGACGACCUUAAUAGCUUCAGUAGCAAUUGGCAAUUCACUCUGCUAAAUUAGCAGGCUCUUACCAUGCCGCCAUAUGCAUGGAAAAGCGUGAAGCUGUCAAAGUUAAGAUAUGAGUUUUCACUGUACAUUUUAAGGAUAAAGCAGGUCUGUGCGCAUUAGUUGGACCAAAUAAUUAUUGUAGAGGCCAGAAUGUGUAAGUGUUUGCUAUUACUUGCCGGCAAAGGGCCCACUCCAUUGAAGUUAACUAUGAGGAAAACAAUACCAUAUGUGAGAGAUGAACUUUUUUCUGGACCCAGUGCUGUUGGAAUCAGUGACUUGAUUUGAGGAUUUAUUAUUUGUGUUCUGUGGUAACAUUUAUGGCUAUGCUAUGUGCUAAAAGUUUCCAGCAAGAAUCUCAGUAGUAUGGAUGUUAGCAUCAAAUCCAGAGUCGUUUGAUGUUCUUGAUCCACUUAAAAAUAGGAAAAAAGAAAGUAUUGCUUGAUGGAAGAUUUUAUAGGAGUGGUAUAAUCUGUGCUCUUUGUGACCUUGAAUGGUUAAGUGUGCUGUCUCUUAUACAAGCACCAUAUCACAAAUUAAUUAUUGAAAUUUGAAACGGUUAUUGCAUUAAUAAUGCAAAAGAAAAAAUAACUUAUCCAAGAAUAUCAUAAGGCUCAAGUGACCCAUGCACUUGGGAGAAAAUAUUGGAUACAGCUAAAUUGUUGUCUUUUUAGAUCGUCCUCAUUUUCCACGAGCGUCUCUAUCUUGAAUGAGUUUUAUGUUCAGGUUAUCACUGGAUAAUACUAGGAUGUAAUCUUGCAUUUCAUGUGCAAUGAUGCAAUAUCAUAACCUAAUGAAAAAAUUGGAAGUUGAUACUCUUUUCAAAAAGUGCAUGUGAAGAUUUCUCCCCCAUUGAGUUCAUAGCAAUGAAUGUUAAGGUGCAGUUUGCAUCCAAAAAUUUACUUGGUCGAGUUCAUAGCAAUGGAAAUCCCUCACAAACUCCUCCAAUGUCUUCAACAACUUACUGGUAAUCCUUUGCACUUUAGGAUAUUCGGAUGAUCUUUUCACCCUUGUGUCCUUACGCCAAUUGUAGAAUGCAAUCAACUCAUCAAUUUGCUUAGCGGCACUAGCAUAAACAUCAAAAGCCUUGACGCAAUCCUAGUACUCCAUAUUGACAAACUUAUCAAGCAAAACAGCCAAAACCUCAUAGAUAUCAGCAUAUACCUAAAAACUCUCCUUCACAAUAGUGUGCAAUGCAAAUUAGAUCAAGCCGCUAUUCUUCGCAAGACAAGUGGGCCUACAUACCAAGAACUGGUCCAAUAGCCUCUGCAAGUGGCCCAUUUUGUAUAAAAUCCUUUCUUGCUUCAUUUCCCUCAGUGGAGUCACUACCCUUCUAUCUUCUUUCUCUUCUUUCACAGCCACACCACCGCUCAUAUCCCCAUAUGACCUUGACCUUCUCAUCCCCCCAAAAUUACCAUAUUGUCCUCUAUAAUCACCAUAAUCAUAAUCAUUCGCAUGGUGGGGACCGAAAAUCAUCUCGAUUCCCAUACCUAUCCUCAUUGUGAACACUACCACCACCAUUAACACUUCCACUAGGACCGCCACUGCCGCUCUUUCUAUCGAACAGAAUCAACUCGAGUUGCUGACCCAAAUACAUAGCAUAAGUCCACGCAAAAGCCAAGUGGUCCCAUGAACUCGAGUGAGCCUCAUCUCUAAAAUCAGACAAAUUCAACAACCUACACCAUGCCCGGUCGCAUACGUUAUCUCCUCGCGAAAUGGGACCACGAGUGAGCCUCAUCUCUAAAAUCAGACAAAUUCAACAACCUAGCAUCAUGCCCGGUCGCAUACGUUAUCUCCUCGCGAAAAAUUGGGUCUCCGGGUCUCCAUCAUUCAACAAACGAUGGAUGACCACUAGGGAUUUGAGAGCCACAACGUAGCCGUGGGUCUUGCUCAGUCGCUUCGAAAGCGCAGAAACACACGCAAGAACGUAUCUGCGCAAGUAUGAAGCCAAAUUCAAGGUCCAACGAAUGUAUUUCUCAUCCACAGGAUCAUCAUCGUCGCUCGUGGCUUUCACGAUAUCUACUUUGGCCUCUUGCGCCAUGUUGCCCGCGACCUUCGCGAGGCUGAUGCUUGUGUGGUCCUUGACAGCCCCCAGCAUUUUGCGGAUCGUGCUUGAGACAUCUUCACCGUCACCCUUGCCUACCAAAACCGCACAAGUCAUCGAAACUAGUCACGCUUGACUCAAAAGCAUCACUUGAGGAUGAUGUAACCAGCUUUCCGGUGAUUUCACAAAAUCAACAGCACCAAUAAGCGUAAUCAUUUUAGUGCCCGAAGUCACCAUGCUUUUACUGCGAUUAAUCACGCGAUCGACGAAGCAUUCAGCUCGACCGAUGGCUUCACUUUACCUAAACCCCAUAUGUAGAUUCUAAUCAUUUCACAACUGCAGCUCACCAUGCUCCACUAUGCUUAAUAAAACGAUCAAUGUAGUAUGGAGCUCCGGGAAAUUACCUUUAGAGAAAGUGUAUCAGAUCUGGAGAAAUUAAGCCCCGGCGACGCAGACUUUGAACGCAGGAUGGACCUGCCGAUUACAAUCGCCGAUUGCCACUCUUCGUCUUCUGCGUCUGAGAGUGGCGAGAGAUGAGGCGAAUCUCCAAAGAGUGCGAUAAAAUCCGGACAAAACAGGCUCUGGCAGAGUCGGAACAACCGGCGAUUGUAAUCGACUGGACGGACCACAUCAUGAAGUUCCCCUCCUCCCCUGUCUGCGCUCUCAAUCGUCGCCUCCACUUCGAGGUAGCCGCAUCUCGCCAUCGCGUCGACGGCGCAGGUCCUUCACGCCGCUCUCGCGUCACUCUUCGUGGGGAUCUCUCUGGCUCCAUUGCUCGUGGGACCGGUCGUGUUCGUUAUUGGGCCCGUUUUGAUGUCCGCCCUUCUGGAUUUAUUCUUUUACGCGGCGGGAAUGAUGUCCGCUCCGUCGGAGUUGGCUCGGGCGACCCGUAAUCCAUUGGAUUCUAGUAAUAGGUUUUUCUUAAUCUGAGAAGUCAAAAGUAUCUUUUCGAUUCUAGUAAUUUGUUGCCUUGAUGUCUUGGCCAAAUCCAAUGAACUCAUCAGACAUGAUAACCUAACAUGUUCCUUUGACGAAACUUAAGCUUUACUUUAGUGCAGUUGUCAUCUAUAAAAGUGAAAAAGAUUUAAGUUCAAUUUAGGAGGUUCGGACGUGCAGACUCCGGCUUAUUAAACAUUGAUGGAGAAAUUUUCUUGUGGUCAGCCACCAAGGGCGCCAGUAGCAUGUACAUGAACUCUCACGGUCAAAUUUCCUGUGGACUUUAAUUGCCUGCUUGGAAUUUUCUUUUUGGUCAUACAAAAGAUAGCGCAUAGGGUUAGGAAGUGGUUAGAGAAAAGAAAAUAAAUUAAAAGCAAGGUUUUGCUCUUUUGGGUUUCCUUUCCUUGAGAAUCCUAAUUGUGGAAUUCCAUUAGAAAUUGGGCCACCGCACGAAGAGUAAAAGAAAGAACAUAUGAGCAUUCUUGAAUUAGCUGUGCGAAGGGUUUUGCUAUGGGCUUAAACACUCGGUGAUUUGCCCUAUGAGCUUUGCAAGCAAUUAAGUUGUUUAUUUAUAAACAUAUUUGGAUUUGGUCUUAAUCUAGAUGUGGGAGACACUCGAAUGUAAGUGAUUGUAGUUCUAAUUCUCAAAUUAUAGUGAAUCAUUGAUUGCUAGCUCUUUCUGGGGAUAAAUACCGACACUCAGAUCAAAUCUCGUAAAUAUUUGGUAUCUUUGUCCUUCCCCAUUUAUUUCUUCAAAGCUCAUUCUUGCGUUGAUUUAUUAGCAAGAUCUUCUCAAUUUUCACGUUAAUUUUGCAACAUGUCUACUUUUGAAAUGCCUCUAGUCAAGAUCACUUUCUCCUAAAAGCUCUAAUGCGAAGUAGAUUAACAGAUCUUCCAUGUUUAGAACCAUCCAACUUCCCAACGUUUUCUAGUGCAGUUUUUCGCUUGUACGUACGGACUCAUUGGGAGAAUCCAUUAUCACCCUUGCAAAGGAAGCAAUUUGAAUAAUGUUAAAUGGGCACUCAUUAAGUUAAACUAGCUGCUUUUUGUGAAUCCGAAAGGAAAUCUGUUAUGCUUUUUCUCUAGCGUGAAAUGUGUAAAAGCUACCAAGUAGUAAAUCUUAAUAUCUUGAAAAUAUAAGCAUUCUAUGUUAGUUGUGCCGAACAAUAAGAAGAGAACACUUCAAUUACCAUAUUUACAUCCUAUGUUAGUUUCCCAAGCAAGAAACCAAUUCAUUGUGAGUAAUCCUUCAACAUUUACUAAUUUUCAUGGUACCACCAUUUAAUUGCAUUCUAACUGUUCAAUAUGAUCUUGCGUUCCACUUGGGAACCAAGUAAAUCACAAGACCUGUGCUUUUCAUUCGAUAGAGAUUGAAUUAGUCAUAUAAAUUACAACAGUGACUAGGCUAGACUAGACUUAACGUGUGGAACACAUUAUGCCAAUAGAGACAUUCGGAAAAUUCCCCACCAAUGAAAUUUGGUCAUUGUGAAAGUUACAUACCCCGCCCCGCAUGCUACUUAACCUUGUCACCAUAAGGAGCUGACGUUCAUUCAUCACUACAAAUGACCAAGACUUUGGCCAUAACCACAACUUCUACACUCAAGUACAGGCAUCGCUGAACUCCUAGAAAAUUGCUGUAACUUGCAAAGAAGAAGUUAACUCAAGAGUGUGAUACAUAUAAAGUUUGGUCACUCGAAUCAGUAGUCAUGAAAAAGAAAGCAUUGUGGGCGCUUGUGGUGAUUUGGGGUAUCACAUGUGGUUCUCGUGGGUGUUGGGAACAAGAAAGGGUUGCACUCUUAGCGCUCAAUGCCACAUUUGACCUGAUAUAUAGGGUGGACACCGGGGGAUCAUAUUUCAACUGUUGUAGCUGGGAAGGUGUUGAGUGCAAUCCCACCACAGGGCGAGUCACUCAUCUAAUGCUCUUCUCUUCGAGAUAUUACCUUUCCGGCUUCAAAACUUGGUACCUAAACGCUUCUCUACUUCUUCCCUUUGAAGAACUCAAGAGCCUUGACUUGUUCAACAACCAUUUAACAGGGUGGAUUGCACCGGAAGGUAUAAAUUCACUGCUCGUUCAUUUCCUACAAAAGAAGAGAUACUCAUUAUCUAAUGACCUCAAAACUUAACCAUGUCUAGGUCCUUACUCACUUCCUGCAUUAUAGAUGAUUAUGUCCACGUCAUCAUUAAUCCACAAGUAUAUGACAUAUUUCCCCCCAAAAUGGCAAUAUCGAUUUACACGUGUACUAGAAUAGAUUUCCGCGAAUUUUAUUGCUUUUCAUUGUUUGUUUGCAGAACCAAAUCUGCUAUCUUCAAGGCUGAGCAAACUAGAGGAACUUGACUUGAGUUAUAACUCUCUGGAUAAUUCUAUUCUAUCCAUUCUCGGUACAAUUCCAUCUCUUCGACGUCUGUCCCUCGGUUACAACAAUUUGAACGGGACUUUACAUGUGAAUGGUAAAUUUCUCCAACUUAUUCUCUGCUCAUAAUUCAGUACGAAAUCGCCACCCUACAACAUAUUUCCCCUUUGAAAUGGCAAUACUUGUUUACGCGUGUACUUGAAUAGAUUUCUGCGGAUUUAUAUGCUUUUCAUUGUUUGUUUGCAGAACCAAACCUGCUAUCUUCAAGGCUGAGCAAACUAGAGGAACUUGACUUGAAUGGUAACUCUCUGGAUAAUUCUAUUCUAUCCAUUCUUGCUACAAUUCCAUCUCUUCGGUGUCUAUCCCUUAGAAACAGCAAUUUGAGCGGGACUUUACAUGUGAAUGGUAAAUUUCUCUAGCUUGUUCUCUGCUCAUAAUUCAGUACAAAAUCACCAUCCUUGACUUGAGUUAACACUAUUUGUGGAUGAAUUAGGUGGUUUCAAUAAUUUGAUGGAGCUAGACAUAAGUGGUAACGCUAUCGAUGCGGUGGCUACUUUUGAAGGUACUAUUUCAGUUUGCAUGAACAAGCCUCGUUUUUAUUCAUAUAUUAAACUAACUAGCCUAUGAGUCGUGCGGACUCUUUAAUACCAUUACAUGGGCUUCACAUGAUGAAUAUAGAAGUCAUAUAUUGCAACCCCCUUCUCUUUCCAUAUAGAAAUGUUGUUGAUUCAAAGGAUUCCUAUCCCGAGGCAUCUGCAUGGGUGCUUUCAUUAUUUACUUUGGAUAAUUCUAUUAUACCCGUUCGCGGUAUAAUUUUGACUCUUAGGUGUCUAUUCUCCAAACAACAUUUGAAUGGGACUUUACAUGUGAAUGUGAAUGAUAGUUUCUCCAGCUUAUUCUCUAUUCAUAAUUCCAUACAAAAUCGCUAUCCUUGACUUGAGAUAGCAAUAUUUGUGGACAAAUUAGGUGAUCUCAGUAAUUUAAAGGAGCUAGACAUAAGUUAUAAUGCAGUCGAUGUAGUGGCUAUUUUUUAAGGUAUUGUUUCAGUUUUCAUGUAGAAUCCUCAUUUUUAUUCAUAAAUUAAAUUGACUAGACUGUGAUUCAUGCAUGCUCUUUCAUAUCUUUACAUGUGUUUCAUAUUAAGAAUAUAGAAGUCAUAUAUUGUAAUCCCCUUCCCUUUUCGUAUACAAAUGUUGCUGAUUGAAAAGAUAUCUAACCCAAGGCAUCAGUGUGGGUGCUUUCCCAACUUAACUGCCAAGCAAGUUAAUUACUUGGAAUUUUACUGCUAGGCAUCAAAAACUUGAGCCACUUAGAGAAUCUCUACCUAGAUUAUGUCCACUUGAAGCAUGUGGGGACCGUCGUGCAAGCAUUAGGGGCACUGUCAUCUCUAAGGAUCCUUUCUCUCCAACAUAAUACAAUAGAAGGAACAAUUACUACUCAAGGUUAGUCAAACCUGCAAGUGAAUGUAUAUUCACAAUAACACCUCGUUCAUUACAGGAAAACAACUUUCAAGAAAAUGUUUUUUAGAUUUUCCAGUGUUCGAGUCAUGGAAAAUUGAUAAGUAAAGGAAAAUAUUUUCCUUCAAUGGAAAAAGCAUUUUCAAAAGUCAGGAUAAUGAGGAAAUCAUUUUCCAUUCUCUUUCAUUCACCUAGACCCAUUUUCCUCUGUGCACUCUUUUAUUUAUUUUUCUAUUUCAUUUUUUAAAAAUUCAAAUUCAAAAUUUUUAAUUUCUUUCUUUCUUUCUUUCUUUCUUUCUUUUUUCCUUCUUCCUCUGUUGAUUGUUGGUUACAACAACCGCCGGCAAGCAACCACAUGUGAGGAACAAGCUCAUCGAAGGUUGAGGCCUCGCCAAUCUGAUGAGGUCUAAGCUUAUCGGCCUCGAGCAAUCUUGACCUCACCUGUGACCAGUGAUCGGAUGAAGAAGAAAGAAAAGAAAAAGAAAAAGAAAAAAUAAUUAAAAAUCUAUUUUUAAAAUAAAAAUAAAAUAUUAAUGAAAGGAGUGCACACAUGAAAAUCAAAUUAAAUUUUUCAUACUAAACAUUGUAAAAUAUUUUCUAGUUCAUUUUCAGGUUCCAGCCGAGCACUAGAAAAUAUUGUCAUUUUCCUAAAAAUGACUUCUCGAAAAACAUUUUCUAGAAAAGUGAUAUUUUCCGUGAAACAAAUGAAGUGUAAAUUUUUAUUAAAGAAGCUCCAUUCACUCAUGAUAUCUCUGUACCAUUUCUUGAUUAUGCUUGUUUAAGGCAAUCUGAUGUUCGGUAAUCUUUUGAUUUCUGGGAAGAUUUCCAUAACUUCAGUAAGUUGGAACAACUCAUCUUGGAUGGUUCUUCAUUCAACCCAAGCAUAGGAAUCCUUUCCAGCCUUGGUUCGUUGACAUCCCUUAGAUGGUUGUCGUCAUCCAGCACCUAUCUAAGUGGCAACCUAUCAGAUCAUAGUAAGUUCUGAUCUCUCGGUGUAAAAGCUGGACAUAAAAUGGAUCCUUGAUGUACUUGAAUGUCCUCUUUGCAUGUACCAAUAUAUCUCAUUGGAGGAGAAUUGACUUGUGAUAUCAAUGGCAGGCUUGUGUAACCUGGUAAAACUAGAAGAGUUGGAUCUUAGCUUUAACGGAAUUACUGGCAGGCUUCCUACAUGUUGGCGAAACAUGUCCUCCAUUCGGAUUCUGAAUCUUGAAGACAAUGAAUUUACAGAUAGUGUCGUGUCAUCUCCCCUCACUAGUCUUACAUCUCUUGAAUUUCUUUCCAUUUUGGGCAGCCAUUUUGAUAUCCCCUCAUCACUCGGCCCACUUACAAACCAUUCAAGACUUAAGGUGCUAAUUCUUGAUGACACCAAACUAACAACUGAUACCAAAGUUGCAUCUUUGAUCCCGAGGUUCCAGUUGAAGGUUUUAAGUAUGUCAAAUAGUCCAUCAAGAGGAUUUGAAUUGACUUCUUUGGGCUUUCUCAAUCAUCAAUAUGACCUGAGAAUUUUGGAUCUCUCCUCGAAUGACAUUCUAGGUCCCUUUCCAGCUUGGUUGUUAGAAAACAACACCAAGUUGGAAACGCUUUUUAUGGCAAAUAACUUGUUUACAACAUUUAAGGUUCCAUCAAUGACCCAUUUUAAUCUUUCGUGCAUGGACAUAUCCAACAACAACAUGAGAGGAAAGCUCACUACCGAAUUUUGGGCAAAUGUCCCAAAUCUGUCCUACCUUAAUCUAUCAGCCAACAUAUUGGAAGGGACUAUUCCAUCUGAACUGGGUAGUGUAAAAUCCCUAGAUAUCUUAGACCUGUCUAGCAACAAUUUCUCAGGGGGACUACCUAUCCAGUUACUAGAUGGUAAAUUGAAUGUCCUCAGCGUGGCAUAUAACAAUUUGCAAGGAGAAAUUGUACUUUCCAACCACACCAUGAACCCAGGUUUGUCACGUCUACGGUUAGAGCACAACUUGUUCAAUGGAAGUCUCUCUUUUCUUUCAUCAAUCGUAAAUUUGCGGGAAUUGGACGUUAGCAACAAUAUUUUCACCGGCAAGCUUCCCAGAUUGAUUGCAAACAUGUCAUCGCUUGUGGCCCUUGACUUGUCCAAAAAUCAAUUGGAUGGCCUCAUCCCUCAAGAACUUUGGAAUUUUGGUGAGCUUGAGUAUUUGGAUUUGUCUAACAACAAUCUCUCUGGUUCAUUACCAUUAUUUUUUAUCUCAGAGUGGGUGCGUCACAUCCAUCUGAGUAGGAACAAAUUGAAUGGUACACUCGUGCAUGCACUCUCUAAUGGCUUACGGUUGGUGACCUUGGAUCUGAGUGAAAAUGAGUUCUCCGGAAGCAUACCCUAUUGGCUAGGUAGCCUCUCACAAUUGAAGAUUCUUUUACUGAAAGGUAAUAGCUUCUAUGGAACAUUUCCCGAGCAAUUGUGCAGAUUGAAAAGCUUAAGUAUGAUCGAUCUUUCUGAAAACAAUCUGUUUGGCCCAUUACUAGUUGCUUGGGACCCAUGAAUUUAUCCAAAGAUUACAUUGAUAAGGUAACUUCAUCAUCGGACAUUGGAUCUGUAAUUGCAUUAUGGUCACCUUGGUCUUAUGUGAGGAGAAAUAAACCCAAUACUGACUUUCAUUUUGUCUAUCAUAAAGAAGUGGAAGAAAAAUUUCAAGCUCCACAUACUGUUGGGUUCACAACGAAAGGAAGGUUUGAUUCUUACAAAGGCUACACGCUUCUUAAAAUGGUGGGACUCGAUUUUUCUUGCAACCAGUUCAGUGGCGAGAUCCCAUCGGAGAUAGCAAUCUCACAAGAAAUGCUUGUGCUGAACCUGUCACAUAACAAGCUUAUAGGACGUAUACCAAUGUCAUUGUCGAGCCUCACGAAGAUAGAGAGCAUUGACCUUUCCUACAACAACUUGAUUGGUUCUAUCCCUGAAGAGCUUACUCAGUUGAAUUCCCUAGAAGUCUUCAAUGUGUCUUACAACAACUUGUCAGGAGCCAUACCAAACAAAUAUCAAUUUGGGGCAUUCGAUGAAAGCAGUUACUAUGGAAACCAUCUUCUAUGUGGAUUGCCGUUGAGUAAGAAGUGCUCGACAACCAUUAACGAUAAUUGCUCAACAACAAAAUCACGCUUGUCAACUAAAGAAGAUGGUUUCAUAGACGAAGAGACAUUCUAUAUCAGCUUCGGAGUGUCAUACACGAUGGUUGGACUGGUAAUUCCAAUUGUUCUAUUCAUCAACCCCCAAUGGCGACAUGGAUGGUUUCACUAUGUGGAACUGGUUAUCAACACAUGUCAGAGCUUGUUCAUCACAUGUUACUAUUUUGUGCAGGACGGUUUUCGAAAAUUGUUCAGAGGCCAAACAUUUUAAGUUCUCUCGCUCUGCAUUUUCAAGUAAUGGCAGGAUUGGGUUUUUUUCCUAUUGUUUGUUAUUGUCGUUGAUCAACAUUGGCCUCAAUGUGGAUCUAUUAGGUCAGUGUAAGUUCUUACCUUCACAACUGAAUAAGGUCUUGUUCUACUUUCCUUGAAGACAAUACAUGGCGUGAUCCUCCCUCUUUCAAAAAGGUAUUUUUACGUAAUUGCUUGCUCAUCUCUAUUUGGUUGGGGAUCAUACUACUAACAAUGACAAACAACACGAGAAAGACACAGCUGUCUCCUCACCUUUUUUGUUUCUGCAGUAACAAAUUUGCUUUCCUUUCCGAAUAAAAGUUUUCGUCUCCAUAUAUCACUUGGUCCAUUCGCAAACCAUUCAAGACAUAAAACUCCUCUUGCUUGACAAUAUAGCACAAACAACUGAAUCUUCUUCAACGUCUUAGGCUCAUGGCCAAUCCGCAAGUUGGUUAGGACAUCGAUUUCCGUCUAACUUUUAUGAAGGUUUAGUUGUUCUUGAGUGUCUCCUGAGAUGGUUAAAUUCACGGUCAAACUUGCAUUUUUAUGACUACUUUCGUUGUUCCUGUCUUUGUGGAAUCGUUCUAACAUUUUGCUAGGAGCCUAGCUCUAGUUUAGAAAAAGAAGUACUGCAUUGAGGCAUGCCCUGUUCAGUAUGAAAGAGAACAAAUUUGUCGUCCUGAUGUCUAGGCCAAAAUGCGAACAAGAACCAACCUGGAUCGAGGCCCAGAUUGGUGCAAAUGUAUGAUUUCUAUUGUAAACAUUCCAUUCAUACGAGAAGGUCAGCACUGCUGCCAUUUUUACAAAUUGGUAGAAAAACGUAACAGGCGGUAUGUCAAUCAAAGUAAUAGAAACAACUAUCGGAUAAUCAUGAGCCUAUACUCACAAUCAAGAGAAAAAAGAAGCUGGACUCCUUUUUCGUAAGAAGAAAUUACUUCAACGCUUUAUGGUGGUUUCUACGAACAUACAAAAAAUGCAGCUUUGACAAGCAGUUUUGAGGACAUUCAUUCUGUUAUAAGAACAUUGUUCAUGACAAUAUAUAUUAAUAAAAAGUGAUGGUUGAGAUCCAAAUGCAGGCAAGACAUGCAAAGAAGAAUGUCAGGCAAUUAUUCCCAGUUGAUCUAGCAUGCAGCACAAUGUAGAUAUGCUUAGUCAUUCUGAUAUAUGAUUAAUUUGUAUUGAAAAAUAAUAGUGGCGCUGCCUUUGUAGGCUUAAUCGUGUGCUAAAUCAUAUCGGUGGAUGCUUUUGGGCACGGAUUUGGGUCAUCUAUUACAAUGGAUACAUUCUAUACUUUUGUGAUAGUAUAAUGUGUCAUAAAUCUAAGAAAAAAUCUUUUACAGUCAGACUAAUGCAUUGGCUAACUCAGAAAUACGUUGCGUGGUUACUAUAUUAUUUAACAAUAUCACUGGCAGAAUACACUGAUCAUUCUGAUCCACAAUUUGAAUCACAAAUCCUUCUUAUGGCAAAUUUACCACUCGAAAUAGUAAAUUAAGGUUCAAUAUAUUUUGGUGUGGAGCUAUUCAUCAGAUUUUCUUGUGAAAAGUAUAUCAUGUAUAGUAUUACCUCGUCCCAAAGUACAUACCAAGUAAGAAUUGGUCCUUCACCUAUAUAUCUAGCAUAAUAGACCAUCUGGUGCACAUAUAACUAAUAAUGAGUAAUAUUCCGACACAAUGAUCAAACAAGCCUACUUUCACAAUAUUACAUUUUAGAUGAGGAACAAUUUUAGUUAUGAUUGACAUUCCUCGUUUAAGAGUUGUCCUUGUUUCUGAAACCUUGGUUAGCAUCGUGUAAUAAAUUCCGAUUUUUAAACUCAAUAGCAACAGGGCAUCACAUCAAUUCAGUAGCAAGUUAUGGCAUUCUAAUGGGAAAGGACAAGGUGGCGCCACUUUUUUUUAGUAUAUGCAACCAACUAUUGAUCUGAACAGUUGGUAAACUCUUCUACAAAAUGACAUCCCUCACAAUACAUCUCAAUUCCCACAUUAUGCAUGUUACAGAUUAAGAAGCAUUGAAGCUUGGUACUGGAUAAGGCCAAAAAUGCUUAGAUUAUCAUAAGUAACCACAGAGCGCCAGUAACGGACCUCAUCCGUAGCAAAAACUUCCAAUGCAUCUUCACACUUUUGCCUCCUUAUAAGUUACUUUGCAUUUGAGUGAAGCAUCAAGCCCAUCAUCACAGCCAUGGAGAAAAUCCAAAAGGUUUUUUAAAUGCCAAUUCAAAACAAUUGCAGCUACAACAGCAGAUUGUGACCGACAAAAAAAAAAAAAAACAGCAGAUUGUGAGAAAAGACUGCUUGAGAAAGGAUUUCUUAAAAAACAAAUUAGUCUACUGCCAACCCUCUGAUCAGUUUCAGAUCCCAUAUUUACUUGCUUUCCACUCUGAUCUUCAAGUUCUAUGUUGAAGUCUUCCAGUGGAAAUUACCCAUCUGCAUGUCUCUUAGCCAGUGCAGUGGCGGAUGCUCUGUAUUUAGAAGGAUAUACACAUUUAAUUAUAUGAGUGGAUGUGCACAUACACGCACAGUAGCCAGAAAGACUACUGUCUCUGAAAACAACAAAAACGCUGGCCAAUAUCAUCAAAAAAUUAAUACAGGAAAGGGUACCACAAGAGCAGAUAAGCAUGUCCAUGUAAGUGAACAUCUCUAGGGAUGUAUAUCCAGAUUGCUAGGCUCAUCAGAGCUUCUGGCCAAGCAUAGAAAUUUUAUGGCAUAACUAUAAACAAGUCACUUUAUCAAGACAUGCAGUCUUCUUUUGAAUAAUAAUAAAGUCCUGUGCUCAGAGCCGAAUGCCUCUUUAAGUAUCAAGAUGCACUGCCUCAUGAGUUAAGUAACGUACGCCACACUAAGAACGUUGAUUGGUCCCAUGACUAUACGCAAAGUUGCUAAAAAGGGGUGAAAACCAAACUGAAUAUGCAUGCGAAAUACCUGAUGAAGGAUUGAUUUGGUGGUGGCCGCUUAGAAUUAAAGUGAGCUUGGAAUGAGGAGAAAGCAUCUUCCGAUGCAUCAAAGCUACUUAAGAACUUCUGCGCCACAGAAACGCCAAAAGCUUCAGACUGAGCAUUAUUAACCAAGGAAGGCAUCUCUUGAACUCGGACACACUCAUCCCAAGACCACAAAUUGCAUUGCUAUUUGACUCAAACCUGUUCUAGAAAAGCCGAGGCAUUUCGAGUUCCUUCACCUAUAACAAGAAUACGAAGCUCGCUGCCAUCGUUAAAAGAGAAAGGGAGAUGUAAUUGAUACACUGAACGUAGAGAAUUCUUAGCCUCAUCAAAUAUGAGCCCCCCUUAAUCACUCCAAGCAAGAUUUAUCAAAACCAUCAACCGAUUAACAAAGAGAGCAGCAGAAGCCUGAGAUAGAGAGCAGCAGAAGCCUGCUUUCUCAAGGCCAGCUGCCAUUCACCACAUUAUAUUUUACAAGGCCAGUCCAACAAUUCAGAAAUAUUCAGCAAAACAAACAAAUAUUCCUCACAAUGUACAUAAUAUAAACCAAGAAACAGAAAACAAAGAGACAAGUUCCUUAUAAAUUCACCAUAUAUUCGAUGCAACGAAUCCAAUAAGUCAACAACUUUGCUGGACCAAUCAAUUAGUACACCUAUCCGCUGCCGGGAACCGGCAACCAAGUCAAAAUUAAGCGAAAAGAUAGACGAUUGCACCCUCGCACACGCACUGGAACGAGUACCCAACCCAAGCAAGCCUGCUGGACCGCUCGUCCUCGGCCAUGGCCUCUUCCUUGAGUGACUUGCCCUGGUCAACGCAGACGCGGGUCGAGAGUAUCAUGGCGUUGCCCCUGACGCCGAGCUCACUCAGCUUCGUCGCCCCGUCACCGUCCAGCUGUCCAGCUCGACCUCGAUCACGCCGGACCACGUGCCAGCCACCUUCAGCUUCGCCGCCAUUGAUGGGUCAGUCGAGAUCAGAGAGAAGAGAAUUGACUGAGAAAUUGAAAGAUCGAGAC
rnacentral:lncRNA from 1 species